rnacentral:lncRNA from 1 species
ACUUUGAUCCUGACCAAUAUGACAGUAUUGCUGCGAUUUCAGAUGGAGCAAACAAGCUUUUGAUGCUGGUAAGCUUUAGAACUUGUUUAAUUGUUUGGUCUAAACUCUGAAGUCCAAACUAUGAUUUGGAGCCAAACAGUCUUAAAACUCACUCAAAAAGGGAUAAAGCUGUCCUGCAAUGUGUCAUCCUUAAUGAUGGGGUCCCAUAGAAACCAAAUUUAUGAUUGUUUUUCUUUUGCAAUGUUUUGUAUAUUCAUGCCUCUUUUCUUCUGGAUUGUUGAAAAAAAGCGAUGUUACGUUCUUUUUGUUUAGAUUUUUGGCAGAAAACAGGCAUUUUUUUGGUUCUAUAUCAAAUGAUCUCCUAUCAUUGGAAAAUGCUGGGAUGUCUUUUAAUUAUUUUGAAGUUCUAUAUCUAUAUCGGUUUAUGUUCUAAAGCCUUGUAUCCUUUUUGUCUUCUAAUUAUUUUGAAAUGCUAGAUUAAUCCAAUCUCAAUUUUCCUAUGGUUCAAUGUUAGGACAACUUACUUGAACAGCCAUUAAAUUAUGCAGAUUGAUUGUAUUACUUGUUAACAUUCUGAGAUAUGUUUGGUAAAAUGGUGGAGAUCUACAAAAUUUGACAGCCAUCUACAAUGUUGCAGGUCCUGGCAGCUGUCAUUAAAGCAGGUGCUUCUAGAGAGCAUGAAAUACUUGCCGAAAUUAGAGAUGCUGUUUUUGCUUUUAUCCGAAAAAUGGAACCAAAGAGAGUAAUGGAUACCAUGCUUGUUUCCCGUGUUAGAAUUUUAUAUAUAAGGUCUUUGCUUGCUAGAUCACCGGAGCUUCAGUCCAUCAAGGUAACUAUAUACUAGAUGCUGGUUUUUACUCAAUGUCUAUAUAUACUUUUACUGUUAUGGAGAUGAAUGUGAAUUUCAUCUUUCAAUUUUUAGGUUUCCCCUGUUGAGUGCUUUCUAGAAAAGCCUAAUUCAGGACGCAGUAGAAGUUCCAGCCGAAGUAACAGUCCUGGAAGAUCUCCUGUGCGCUAUGUUGAUGAGCAGAUCCAGGGAUUUAAAGUAAAUAUAAAGCCAGAAAAAAAAUCAAAGUUGUCUUCUGUUGUUUCAAGAAUACGUGGAUUUGAUCAGGUAUGUGCUACCAUAAGUGUUUGGUUCUUUUCCUUUGCAUCGGCUGGUAGAGAACCGUAGCCUGCUCCUUGAUGGAAGCUUCUUAUUUUUAAUGGUUCUCAUAAAAAAAUUACAGUAGUCAUUAUAUGUUUCAAAUUCUUUAAUGCAUACACUUAUCUGGUUUAGAUGUAUCUUCAUGUGGCAUGAGAACCAUCAAAGUUCGAAGUUUCUUAAAUGAGUACAAUUAAACGUACAGGAUACCCUGAGGCAGCAGCAGGUUACUGGUGGAAAGCUAAGAGAAAUACAAGAGGAGGCCAAAAGUUUUGCUGUUGGAAACAAGGCUCUUGCUGCUCUUUUUGUCCAUACUCCUGCUGGUGAAUUGCAGCGGCAAAUUAGGUCGUGGCUUGCAGAAAACUUUGAGUUUCUUUCUGUUACAGGGGAUGAAGCAUCUGGGGGGACCACUGGCCAGCUAGAGCUUCUUUCAACUGCUAUUAUGGAUGGUUGGAUGGCUGGGCUAGGUGCUGCACUCCCUCCUAAUACGGAUGCUCUUGGUCAGCUUUUAUCAGAGUAUGCAAAGCGGGUUUUUACUUCUCAGUUGCAGCACUUGAAGGUAUGUAAUAUACCAUAAAGAUAACUCUUUAUCCAUCUUUCUGUAACUUGUCUUUUUUAACUAUUUAGUUUAGACAUGAGUAUGCCAAACAUUGGACUAAGAUUUGCUAUAGAUAUGCAUUAAUUUUAUACGGUGGUAGUUUCUAUCUUCCCUCUGAAUAAUUGUUUUCUCAAACACCAUGACAUAAACCCAUGGUUUUUUUACUCAAGUAAAUGCUUACCUUUUUGGUAGGAAAGUUGGACCGAUAGUUUAUUGGGUUAUAUCCAAAAUCUGGAUUAUCAUUGCGACCUAGUCAAAUCUUCAAUACUUCUUAUAUUAAGAGAACCGUAUAAGUUAUUUUUCAUUUUAGGUUCUUAAGGGAUUAAUUUUAAGAUUUUUUUUUUCUUUGCUUCUGCUGAUUUUAGAAAUCUCUUCCCUAUAUUUUGAUUGAACUAAAACAAGGGAAGGGAAAAUAACUUUUCCUUGUUUGGAUUUUUUUUUAUUCAAGCAAAAGAAAUUAAAGGGGGUUCAAUAUCCUAGCUUUCCCUUGAAACUCUCCAUAUUUAUUUUCCCCGUAUUUGGGGGGAAAUUGGGAAAAGGAAAGUAAUUUUUUUAAAGAUGUGAAAUACCGUUUUUUAUUUUGUCAAUCUUUUACGUAAUUUAUUUUAUGAAAAGGAUAUAAUUAGGAAAAAAACCAUUAUAAUCAAUCAUUCCCUUUUCUUUCCAUUGUUUAACCAAACAAAGGUUGUAAAAAUUCCUUUACUUUCAUUUCCUUACUAAUUUUAAUUAUUCAAACAAAAUACUCACAUCGUUUCCUUUCUUUAACCUUCUUUUCCUUCAUAUUUUUCUACCCAAACAUGGUGUUAACUUUACUCGUGGCAUGUGUUCUGUUGAUAGGGAGGUACAUCUUAAUAGAGUAGGGAUGGUUCCGUGAGUGGAAGGAUACCAAUUGUUAUUCUUGUUAGUUUCUUCAAAAUUUUGGGUGCAAUGUUUAGCAUGUAAGAAUUCUUGACGUUGUUCCAAGCAGGGUAAGGUAGUGAGACAUAUCUCUUUUUACUUUCAGGCUUAAGAUAGUUGUAAGUCAAAGGAUAACCUCUUUUUUUGGUGUAAUCAUUCAACCUUUACAGUUCAUGGGGAAAAAAGUUGUUUUAUAGAAAGUGGGAAGAUUACAAGUAUAACCUGAGCACGAAAAUCAAUUUAUAUUCAUUAUGUUUAUUUACUAAUAUUUAAAUCUAGCAUAAUGAACAAUUAAGAACAAGUCAGUAUGCUGGACCUCUGAUAAUAAGUGCCUAAAUCUCUGGGAACCAAUUACUUUUUUACUCAAAAAAUAAUGUUAACCAGUCAAGAGGGAAGGCCCGGUAUGUUCAUUCUUUAAUGACAAAUAAAAUAAGUUUCAUUGUCUUGAUCGAUCGAAAUGAUUGCCUUGAAGGUUUUUGGGCCAGUUUCUCUGGAACUAAUAAAAGGUGAAAGAUGUUGAAUUCUAGAUUUCCUCAAAAUUUGUUUCUUCCUCUGUCUUUAGUGUGAUAUUGUAUUUGAAACUCUGUUUUUCAUCAUUUUCAUUCUUAUCUGAGCUUUGUGUUUCUUGGGAUUUCAUAUUGUAGUCUUCCUAGUUGCCCCAACUCUCGUCUUAUCUUUUAGGGGGCUGGAUGGAGGCAGGGCACUACAAACAUUUUCUAGGCACUAUAGAAAAUGUUCACAUUAAUAGAUAAUUUUAUUGAUAAUAUUUAGUGUGACUAUGCGUAUUGAAUUGCAAUAGAAAAAGCUCCUGCUGUUCUAUUAGUUGCCUAUAUGUGCCUUGCAAGUGUUUCUUGUAUAUGCUUAUGGAAAGCGCUCAAUUUUAUUACACACCUCCCCGCUUAAAAAAAAAUGAACUAUAAAAAACCAAUUGUGCAGUUCAUUGUAGACAUUGCAAGCUUGUUUAUGCUUAUGGAAAACGCUGCAAUACCCCCCCCCCCAAAGAAAAAAAAAGGAUAGAAGACCAAUUGUGUGAUUCAGUGUAUACAUUGCUAAUAACCUUUUUUUUUUCCCUCUGCUAGGAUAUUGCUGGAACCCUAGCAACAGAAGAGGCUGAUGAUGCUUCCCAAGUGGCAAAGUUGCGUUCAGCUCUUGAAUCUGUUGAUCACAAACGAAGAAAGGUGAACCAUCAUGUUUUUUUUUUCUGCCGCAUAAAUAUCUUAUAAUUAGCUUCUAUGUACAGAUUAGCUGUUGUUUUAUCUAAAGUUAAUGUUUUUAAUGUAAUCAUGUGUACCAGUUUUUCGGAGUAGCUUAAUUUUAAUGUCAUAAUUCUUGAUCUAGCAAAAUUCACCAUUAUUAGAAAGAGGUCUUGAGAGUUGUGAAUGCUUGACGUAUCUGUUGUGACUUCUUGGCCAAGGCCCUGACUCUUUAGAUGAUCUUUGUGGUUGACCUUGAUUACUCCAGUCAGCAUGUUUAGUGUGGUUAGUUUGCUUCAUAGAUCAGGACAAUUUAUGGUCAAUAAAAUACUUGCAUCUGGAUGUUAGAAUAACUUGUUACUUAUUCUUUAUCUUCAAAUGUCCUUUUCCAGGUGUCUUAGGGUGUAUGACAUUGACCCUUUUAUGGAAAGCUGAGAAAUUCCUUUCAUGUUCAAUAAGAAUUCAGGAUCGUUUUGAUCUCUUUUUCUGUAGCAUUUAGAUUUAAAAUCUCUGGUUGCCAUUGUAUUAUGUACUAUUGUCUGCUUGCUUUUAUCCCUUUGUUAUCUCCUUCAUAUUCUCAAAAGCAUUAUUGGUCUUUUAGCUGAAUUUCGCAUGAAGACGUUAUUAGCUGGAACACGCUAAUAUUUUGUAUGUCAGAAGUUAUAUAUGCUGACAGAUUAGAAUGAUAUUUGUUUGUGAUUAGAUUUUGCAACAAAUGAGAAAUGAUGCUGCGUUGCUAACAUUGGAGAAUGGUAGUUCACCCAUUCAGAACCCUUCUACUGCAGCUGAAGAUGCCCGUUUAGCUUCUCUGAUUUCUCUUGAUGGCAUCUUGAAGCAAGUCAAGGUGUUUAGCUCGUCUCCAAGUUGCUGUUUACUUCUACUCAAUGAUUCUCAGUAGAGUAAUAAAAAAAUUUACAUUGUUCUUAUGUGUUGAGCAGGAUAUAACAAGGCAAUCUUCUGUAAGUAGCAUGGGUAGAAGUAAGAAGAAAGCAAUUAUAGCAUCACUAGAUGAGCUGGGGGAACGAAUGCCCUCCCUUCUUGACAUCGAUCAUCCAUGCGCUCAGAGGCAAAUUGCCAAUGCUCGGCGCCUGGUUGAGGUAUGGGAUUGUCUUUUUAGCAUUUUUAGUGCUGCAAAAUUUCUUAUACAUGUGCUUCCAACUUGGUCAUUAAAUGAAUUAUCCAAACUAGUUUGUAACUAUGUUUCUGUAGCUUUUCUAUAUAUUUAUGUGGAUGGCCAGGGCCAGGUAUGGAGAUGCCUGUCCCAUAUUUUAUUAUCCCUGAAAUGUCUGAAUCCUAUGUUUUCCAAAAGCUUAAAGUGUUCCAUACCAACACAAAUUCUUCUGAAUGAGACAUGUAGUUUGUGUAUUUGGUGCAUAAUGAGAACUCUUCGAACCUGUACUUUAUGGUUAUAGGGUUGUUGGUAACAAAAUUGCCCAAACAACAUGAGCAAAGUAGACUACCAAGUGCUCUAGAAGGAACAAUGAUUUCAUUGUUGCAUCACUUUAUCUGCCCUUUUGACAAUUGAAUGACAAAGUGCUGCACUACAUCUUAUAUUUUAUUGAGGUUAGCAUUUAUAGUGCUUCAUUUGUUUUUCUCACCCUCUUUAAUCUGCUAUGUACUUCUGAAGUCGGUUCGUGAAGAGGAUGAUCCGGCACCAGAGAUACACCAUGCUCAAAGGCCAUCUGCGGAAUUGGGAUCUGGUACUGAUACAGAUGUUGCACAAUGGAAUGUAUUACAAUUCAACACAGGCUCAACAACCCCAUUUAUCAUCAAGUGUGGAGCAAAUUCCAAUUCCGAACUGGUUAUCAAAGCAGAUGCAAAGGUUCAGGAACCCAAGGGUGGUGAAAUUGUGAGGGUUGUUCCUAGACCCUCUGUUUUAGAAAAUACGAGCUUGGAUGAAAUGAAACAAAUAUUCUCUGAACUUCCAGAGGCUCUGAGCUUACUUGCCCUAGCCAGGACUGCGGACGGCACCCGAGCUCGGUAUUCCAGAUUGUAUAGGACAUUGGCGAUGAAGGUUCCAUCGCUAAGGGAUCUAGUUGGGGAGCUCGAAAAGGGGGGAGUAUUAAAAGAUGUAAAGUCGUGAAUGCAAAGGGUGUUAGUUUUAUUUUUCUGAUGUUGGAGUGUGUGUGGGGGCUGCGAUUUGCAGGGACAAAGUGGGUGUUGUUGUAAACCUGUGAUUUGACGUGCUUUGUAGGGAUUUGCGGAGUCAAAUGUAUUGGAAGGUGGUGCAACUGUUGAUGCCCCUUGUAUCACAUCUCACGUUGAUAAUAGUGGCAAUUUUAUGCAGGCAUCCAUGAUUUUUGAGUACCGAAUUUUACAUUCAAAUAUAAUUUCCAACAGCAACAGAAUCAUACAAGUUUAAGUAGAGCUCUAGGUAUUUAGCUUAGUUUAAAGAAGUUUUAUACGUGGAAAAUAAAACUUUUCUUAAUUACAAUUGGUUAGGAUAGUUUACUAGAAUCUUAGUCUAUAAAUUCAAAAUGGCAUGUUUCUAGAGAUUUUUUGUAAUUUUUUUUUGGCAACGAUAAUCUAUUUUUAUUUAUAAUUCGUAAUUCAAUUUAUCUUAAAUUCAAAAUUCAGACUCGUUUCUCAUCUUUGAUUUCCUGCUUCCGAAAAUUCAAAGACCAAGAAUUUAAGAACUUCUCAACCGCCAUUCCUUAUAUUUCUCUUUAGUUUCGAUUUUUCUUUUUUGUACUUUCUAUCUAUCAAUUCCAAUUUCCUUAUAAUCUUGUCCCCUUUUAGCCUGGCUUCAAACUUUAUUUGCAUCCUAAAAAUUCAAUUCAUGAUAUAAUUCUUCCCUCGAUUUUGAUCCAAUUAAAUAAAUUCAACAAUGGGAUCCUCAAAAGGAGAUUUUAUUUUAUAAUACUAUGAACUGAAUUGUAAUUUUAAUCGAGAUGCAUCUUUUCAAAGGACAACCAUAUCCCAACCCCCCCCCUCUUUCUAAACGGCUCAUUGUUUACUGGCUACGCCAUUUCUCAUUCCUUCAUCAACCUCAUAGUUGCAUGGGACGAGUCUCAGUCCACUCCCAGUUUGCUGAUUAUCCUCUCGCAUUUGCUACUAAUCAUCACCUCGGCCUACGGGCAUUAGCAGCCAUUUGCUGCUAUUAUCCCCCUCCAAAGGGAAGAUUCUUACCCGUUACCCCUGCGCCAUUGGGAGCAUCCAACUUGCAUGUGUUAAGCAUGAUAUCUAUUUCACUAAUCUGAAGUUGUAGUUAGAACAAGAUAUACAGACCUAUUUUGGUCCCAAAAAGUUAUUUCUUUCACCCUGCCUCCCUUCACAUAAAACUUUAUGCUUCCCCUACUCAAUUUCAUGGUUGCAUUUCUACGAAAAAUGAAUAGCUCACUAUGUAAACUAAAACUUAGUAAUCAAGUCUAUAAAACAAGGGUUCCCAUGAUAUUAUUGUCACCAUCAAUAACUUGAAAACUAUGUAUGAUAUGUGAGGCAACGAACAAAUGCAUUUUCCGAAAGGAGAUUUGCAGCACAUACCAAUCUUAAAUCGGUUGAACCAAAGCUGGGAAAUUUUGUAGACAGGAUCUAUCUUUUCGGUGAAGUGUGAAGUCAGUUUCAAUGCUUAUAAAAUACGAGUUCUCUACUACAGUUGGCUUUGAUAGCCUCUUCUAGUUUCUCAGAUUGAUCGAAUUCAACCUUGAAGGAAACCAUGGUGGUCCCAUCUUUGCCUGUAUCAUAAUCCUGUUUGAUGUCCUCAACUUCGAAAGAUUGUAACUGCAGCAAAGAACAAGGUUACCAUGUGAUACAUUUUGAAGGUCCCCUUUCUAGGGCAAAGACAACGAGAGUAACAAAAUAUUAGAAGAAUUUCAACAAUGCAACUUACAUACACCAAUUUUAAUUAGUUAUCACCUCUACAUAACUAAAACCAAAUAUAAAUAUAAAGUUGAGAGCAAAUAAAAAGAAGGCAUAAAAUGGGAGAGAAAAUUAUAUAGCUUGUUUUGAUCCCCAAAAGUUAAAUAAAUAGUUUAAAAUCAUCUUAUCCCUAAUUAAGAGAUACCAUUCUUUUGAACCCAGAGUUUAACUCGGUUGGUUCAUGCUAUUACCCUUAAGAGGUGGUAUUCACAUAAUCUGGGAUCCAAAUCACAGCAUCUGUAAUCCUUAGUUUACAACCUACUUUGUAACAUGCUGGUUCCAGAAAAUGAUUCAUUCGAGGUCACAAUAUGACUCAGAUGAACUGAAACUAACACUUACAAAUAGACAUGAAAAAAUUGACUUGUUACUAAAGGGACAUGUCGCUAGAGAAACAAGCAAGCGGCAUCCAAGGAUGUUACAAUCAUUAUUCAUACACAUCCUAAUGGUGAUAAUCAGAUGAGAAACUACAACCACACACAUUCCAAUCAUACUAAUCGGAUCAGAAACUAAAUUACAUAUCCAACACAUUCUGACGGCGAUAAGCCAAUAAUUGGAUGAGAAACCACAUUAAGAGAAAUUUAUAUAAAAGAAGCAUGAAAUUUUUCUACUUUUUAUUUGUAAACAUUAUAUGCAAACAACUAACAGACACUAAACACUAACCAUAAAAUAUCAAUUUACUUGGCAUUUAGAAGGACUAAUUUAAACAGGGAAAAAAUUGCUCACUUGAUGGUAUAGAACUCCCAAAAGAUCGAAAGGAACCUCCACUCCCAUUGGAACCUUCAAAAAUUCCAAUCAAAUAUCAACAUUUCCAAAUAUUAAAAUCAUAAAAUUUAAAAAUUAAAAUUGUCAUACAUAGAUUAUUUCCAUUCUUACUUUAGAUUUUACAAGACAAGUUGGAGCAUUUCUCAAGCAUUCCGAGGCCACUCCACCAUAAGCCCUAACAAGUCCUCCCGUUCCCAAUUUAAUUCCCCCAAAAUACCUGAAAUUUAUUUGAAGAUUCAUGUUAUUUGUCCCUUCAAUUUUGAUCAUGGCAAUAUAUGUCAAAAGUAAAUAAAUAUACCUAAUAACGACCACCAUGAUUCUGUCUAAACCUGAAGAAACAAUUGCAGAAUGAAUCGGCUUCCCCGCCGUUCCAGAAGGUUCGCCGUCAUCAUUCGACCGAUACUGAUCCCCAACCUAUUAAACUUUUGAUAGGUCAAUUAUGAGGUAAGAUGAAUGAGAUGAUAGAAAAGCGUGGUGUCAUAUUAGAUUACCUUGUAAGCCCAACAAUUGUGAGUGGCACGCGGAUCCUUGACUUGGUUGAGGAAAGAGUGAGCGGACUGCUCGUUAGAGAUGGGACCAGCGAUGGCGAUGAAUUUGCUCUUUUUUAUUUCUUUUUCGAAUGUUACUGUUUCUUUAAUGGUGGUGAAGGCGCCUGCGUUGCUGGGGGUGCCGGAGCUGCUGGCGGUAGUGACCAUUGGUUUUUUGACGGUGGAGAGGGCGGAAAUUGAGGCGGAGAGGCAGUGGUUGACCUUGUGGCAGUAGCGAUAGCCAGGUGUUGUUAUUACAACUGGCAUUUGCUUGUUUUUGGUUCUUUUCGUUUCAAUAAAAUCAGUGACAAACAAGCCUUUUUCGUACUCCGGCAGCCGUUUCAAAAGGUAGUCCACUCGUAUUUAAACGAGACGUUGCAACACCCAUUUUACUAUUUUUUUAUUAAAAUUUAAUCUUUAUAUUUUUAUUUUCAAAAUUUAAUUCCUCUAUUUUUCAAAUUUCAAAAUUUAAAUCUAACUCUUAAUAUUAUUUUGUUAAAUUCGAAUUCAUUACUAACUUAAUUCUAUUUAAUUACAUUACUAUUAAGCGAGUUUUUUAUUUUAAAAUAUUACACUAAUAAAUUUAAUAAACAAUUAAUAACAAUUAAUUUGAAUGUAAUAAAAAAUUAAUACAAUUUUAUCUAAUUAUUCUAGUGUAUAUUUGUUGGGUUAUUCGCUCUUUAAUAUUUAAUAUAUGUUCCUUAUUAUCAUUUGUUGGUCAUUGAUCAAGUUAAUCAUCAUCUGAAUUUUAAUCUACAUCAUUAAUAUUAUCAAGAUCUUCUUUUUUCAUGUACUUUUCGAAGUACAUGUAUCAUCUCAAUUCCACUUAUGAUUGAAGUUAUGAAAUAAGCAAUAUGUUAGUACUAUACAACCUUUUUUUUAUAUUAUAAUAAGGUGAUGUUAAUAGCGGAAAUAUUUUUUUAGAUCAACAAAUUUCUUCUCAAUCACAUUUCGAAGCUUUGAAUAUCUCAAAUUAAAGAGUUUGUAAGCUGUUCAUAGUGCUACCAACGACAUGUCCUUAAUCUAAUUGAAAUAAGGAGGCGACCAUUAUAACAUUUAUAAGGAUUUUGAAUUUCUUGGGUUAGUAUAGAAUAUAUAUAUAUAUAUAUAUAUAUAUAUUUAUAUAAGAUAAAUUUUUAGAUUUUUGUGCAAAUAAACAAGUGGGAUAAGCUAUCUAUACGUUAGAAUUUUUAGAAGGAUCUUGACAUCCAUGAAUGAUAAGAUCACUUUAAAUUUUCGAGAUUUUCACCUCCUAUUUAAAAAUAUUGUUUAAAGAUUGAGUCAGGUAAGGGUUUCUAAACAGACAUUGACAUAUAUAGAUGUCAAUAUUUAUUUAAAUUUUCGAGAUUUUCUUUAAAGAUGGUAUAAGAUUUAGUUUUGUAGGAUUUUAAAACAACGUUGACACAUAUGAGUGUGGAAAUUGGUUUAAAUAUUAAAAUGCUACAAAAACACAUAGACAACAAAGGAUAGGGUUUUAAACUUUUUACUGUGAGUUCAACACCCAAGAAUGUUAAAGGCACUUGUAAUCGUUACCCUGUUUGCAAUGAACUUGCCGAUGCAAGAGAUACAGGGGGCCCUAACACCUAUAAUAUGUAUUAAUUUGAUAUUUAAUACCUUUAUUACGUUUUGUUUUUAAAAUUUAACUUGUUUUGAUAUUUUGAUGGGAUAUAUAAAUUUAUCUGUUAAAAGAAAUAUUUGUUUGGUACACGAAAAGUUAACUUUAUUAAAUUUAUAAUCUAUAGCUAGAAACAAUCCCAAAUGGAUCUCUUUAAACACCUGUCCAAACUUUAUGUAGUGACAUUGGGUUUUUGUUUCAAGCUCAUGAAAAAUUACAAAUUAAGUUGAAGCAAAUAUUUAUAAUUUAAGUUAUGAUAAUAAAUAAUUAGAAAUAUGAGAUUUUUAAACUUUGUACACAAAAUCGGAAGAAUAAUAAAUUACGAAUAAGUAAAUAUUGUUAUGAAUAUCUUAUUAAGUGGAUGUCCAUUAUGAUCAAGAUAAAGUUUUAAUGUAUUUUAAAUUCUAAUAGCUAUUAGAAUUAGAUCUCUAUUUCUUUUAUACUUCUUAUGCCUAUAAAUAGAGACUCUGAUGAAGUAUUGUAAUCACCCUUUUUUAUCAAUAAAGGACAUUCUCUAUUGCUUUCAUAUUUCCUUUGUUCUUUAUUCUCUCCAUCUCUCUUUAUUUUAUAACACGUUAUCAACGUGAUAUGAAAGAUUAUUUGCUACAUAUAUGACUUUUGCCUAAAAUAUUUUAUUUUUGUUAAUAUUCUUUGAGGAAGGAUAUGAGAAUGUUGUAAUAAACUCUAUCAUUAUAUAUAGAAAGAAUUUAUCUUAUUUGGUACUAAAACAAACAAAUAUUAUUUCAAUAUUUGAUAGUACAAAAUUAGUCGAAAGCUUUAGAAGAGAUAAUAUAUUAAUAUUUUAUAAUGGUUAAUCCAUUUGUUUUAAAAGAUAUUUAUAAUGGAUCUUAUAUUGAGAUUGUGAAUGAGGAAAAUAUUAUAUUUCAUAUGAAUCACUAUUGUUAUAAAUAUUUAUUUUGAAAGGAUGAAAAAAAAGAGGACUGUGUUAUUAAUUUAUAUUUAUUUUAUAAUCUUUGUGAUCUUCCUUUGUCAUCAUCUCCAUUAAGGGGUUGGAAGCAAAUUAUUUGACUGUGAAAGAUCUAUUUAUGAGCAAUAAAAUAUGAUAAUUCUAUCUAAAGCUUGUUAUGGUUGGAUGCACCUGAAGUUGUAAAUUUUUUUUUAAAUAUUUGAAGAUUUUGAUAUAUUCCCUGAAGCGAAUAUUGCAUAUAAUUAUUUGAAAAUUAUAUUUAUUUUGUUGACUUAGUGACAUUAUAAUAUUCACAUUGAUUUAGACAUUUUCAGUAGUAAAUGUCACAAUAGCACUUAUAUGUGGAAACAAAGUAAAAAGAAUGAUAGUAAAAUUAUCAAUUUGUUACAAUUUAGUAUAAUUGAAAUGCAUGUUAAAGUAAACCAGAAGUUUACUGAUACAAAUACAUUUACUACUUGGCGUGACCAGUUAGACCAUUCUAGAUCAUAUAUGAUGCGAAAAUUAAUUAAGAACUCAUAUAGAUAUUCAUUAAAGAACCAAAAGAUUCUUUAAUUUAAAAGAAUUCUUAUAUGUUGCUUGUUCUCAAUGAAAAAUUAAUUAUUAGCAACUCUCUAGCUAAAUUUGAGAUUUAAUGUCUAGCAUUUCUGAAAUGAAUAUGGGCCUAUUCAUCCACCAUGUGGAUGAUUUUGAUAUUAUAUGAUUUUAGUAGAUGCAUUUACAAAAUAAUCACAUAUGUGUUAUCAAUUUGCAAUUUGUCGUUUGCAAGAUUGAUUGUUUAAAUAAUUAAUUUAAGAUAAUGCAAUUAAGACAAUUUAUCUUGCUAAUACUGAUGAGUUUAUAUCUCAGUCUUUUAUUGAUUGAGUUUGAAAUUUUUUUGUAAAAGUUUAUUAUUUAUGCGCAUAAUGGUUUAGAGAAAUUAUUGAUUGAACACCUUUGAUUAAUGUCUAAACCAUUACUUAUGAGAACUAAACUUCCUAUUUUAACAUGAGAUUAUGUUGAUUUACGUGUUGUACGCAUCAAGCCAAUAAAUUAUAAAUACUCCCCAUUACAAUUGAUUUUUGGUCAAGAGCCAAAUAUUUCUCAUCUUACAAUUUUUGGAUGUGCGUAUAUGUUCCAAUUGCUCCACCACAACGCACAAAGAUGAGUGAAUCCUCAAAGAAAGUUAGGAAUAUAUAUUAAUUACAAGUUUCUUUAUAUUAUUAAAUGUUUUGAAUGUAUUCGAGAUUCAAUUAUGACAUCAUUUGUGAUUACAAUUUUGAUUUGAUAGUUUUCUUGAUAUUAGGGGGAGAGAAAUAAUAACUUGUAAUGAGUUAAGGGGAGAGUAAUUUGAACUAGAAGUUCAAUAAGGAUAACUCAUUACAAGUUAAUUGUUAGAUGUAUUUACAAACUUAAUAAGAAUAACUAAGUGUUAUAUACCAUCUAAUAUUUUAAUUUGAAAUCAAAGUCCCAGUUGGACAAUCAGUUAGAAUAAAUAAUAGAUUGAUCGGUUCCAAAGAUGAAAAUUAUUCUAAAUGAUCAUAUAGUGGAGGCGGGUGCUCUAGAAGAAACUCAAAACAUAACUAAUAAGUAAAACUGCAGAAGAGAUUCAGGUACCUGAAACUAAAGAUUAAAAUAGUGAAAAUAAGAGAUCUCAAUAAGUUAUGUCAAUUUGAGAAAAUGUGGAACCGAAUAAUAAAAGUGGUUGACGAUGAUUUUGCAUGUGAUAUUAUUAUUGAAAUAAUGAAAUAAAGGGAGGAUCUUGAAUAUAGAUAUGGAAUAAAUUGAUCAAAAUAAAAAGACACAACUCAAGUACAAUUAAAUUUGUGGAGUUUUUGGACCAGUAGUCCAAAUAUCUAAAGGUAUAAAGCCUGUGAGGGUGCAAUUAAAGUAGUUUUGCAAAAACGGAAUAAAAAUAUGAAUUUUUUCGCUAAGUCCUAGCAUUGGCCAUGAAAAGAUAUAAUAUUCUUUUGUGGUGGAUUUACCUUUAGAUAUAUUAUUAAAUUGACCAUUCAUAAAAAAUUUAACUUGUGCCUAAUGGUUGUUGUUACAACCUUUUAAGGAUCACUAUAUAGUAAAGUUUAUAUUAAAAUCCUUAAAGGAUUUAGAAUGCUAGAAGCAUAUUGAAAUUCUCAAAAAAUUAUUCAUUUAUAUGAAUUGAAAUAAUUGAACAUAUGUGGUAAAUUUGACUUAGUCAAUAGUAGUUGAAAGAUGAUUAUAAAAUGAUCCAAAAUAUCUAUUUGUGUUUUUAUAAAAGAAUCAUGAUUAAAGUUUGUUAUGAUUAUUGUUGAAUCUCCUAAAGAGAUCAAAACAUAUUUCCCCCAAAUUUCCCUCACUCAUGACUUUUAAAAGAAUGAUAAUAUAAAUGCCUAGCAAUACAUUCAAAUAGUCAUUUGAAAAAGUAGUAUUCAAGAUUGAAAAAGUAGAAUAUGAGAAAGUAUGUGAUGUUUUCAUGAGAGGGAGUAAAUACGCGUUGUACUCUUUUCCCCUUAAUCGAGGUUUUGUCCCAUUGGGUUUUCCUGGUAAGGUUUUUAAUGAGGCAGCAUAUUAUGCGUAUGUGUACUCUUUUUUCCUUCAUUAGGUUUUUAUCCCACAGGGUUUUUCCUAAUAAGGUUUUAACAAGACACAUUAUCUACCAAUGGACAUCCAAGGGGGAGUGUUAUGAAUAUCCUAUUAAGUGGAUGUCCAUCAUGAUCAAGAUAAAGUUUUAAUGUACUUUAAAUUCUAAUAAUUAUUAGAAUUAGAUCUCUAUUUCUUUUAUACUUCUUAUGCCUAUAAAUAGAGACUCUGAUGAAGCAUUGUAAUCACCCUUUUUGAUCAAUAAAGUACAUUCUCUAUUGUUUUGGUAUUUUCUUUAUUCUUUAUUCUCUCCAUCGCUCUUUAUUUUAUUACAAAUAUAACAAUUAUUCAAACUUGAAAAACUAUUCAUCUAAAAAAAUGUAAUUUUUUUAAAAAAAACCCUAAAACAAUUAAUUAAAGUUUCAAAUUUUUAUAAGGAAUAAUAAUUUUUAGCAUCUGAACUUGGUAACCAGGCCCAUUUUGGUACUUGUACUUUUUUUAUCCACUUUGAUACUUGAACUUGAUAACUAGAUUCAUUUUGGUUCUUGAGCUUGAAAAAUAAAAAAUUUUAAAGACGUGACACUUAUUAAAGCCAUAAAACUCUUAUAUAAACUUAGAACGUAAACCAGAAUCUGUCAUGCUAGAUCACCAAAAACAAACUAGAUGCGAAAGUGUACCUAAAUCCAUUGACAUCUUGAAAUCUUCAAGUCUUGUGGUUUUGAUAUUCCAAAUUAACACAUAAGUAUUUUAGAGAAGGUGACUCUUUUUUCUGAAUAUGGGAUGUUAGAAAAGUUACAUAUGUGUAAUUUGGAUACGAUAACCCUAAUAUAUAACUUUUGCACAUUAACUUUAAUUUCUAAUCAGCUCAUCAUCAAUUAGAAAUUAGUUACUAGAGUAUCUACACAUAUUUGUCCCAUACUUUAUAUAAUAACUGAAGCCCAAUAAACCUUAACCAAAUUAGAACAUUUUUAGUUUGGGCUAACAUUUUAUGAUAGUUAAUAAUAACAUGUAAUUAUUCUUAUUAUAUAUGUGAUGUCCAUAUUUUUCUAACAAUCUCCCACUUGGACUACAUAUAUAUACAUACUAAUUACUCCACAAUUAUAUGUCAUUAUAAAACCUUAUGAGCUCAAAACUUUACUAUUAUAUUCAAAAGGUAUUUCGAACAAACUCGUCCUUUAAUUAUGUCAACAUAGAACUAAUGCGACUUUCAUUACAUAUAUCAUAACUAAAUCCAUCAUUGAUCACAUAUAUUAACACAACCAAACGACAUAGAUCAAGUAUGGAUGUAUAGCAUGGAAAUUAAAUGUAAUGUGAUCUCAACAUGUCUAUUUCCAACUAGUCCUUCUUAACCUUAGUGAGAUCAAAAUUUACCAAAACUAGAGCGUGAAUAAAUCAAAUAUACCUAAUUUCUACAGAAAAUAUCCUUAGUAUCCGUAAACUAAAAUAACAGAAAACGUGUUUAUAACAGAAAAGCAUUUAAAAUUACAAACUUCCACUAAAAUCAAGUAUCUUAAAAUGACAUUACAUUCAUAUGAGCAAUGUGCUCAUAAAAACCUUGGGUGGUAGUCCCUCAGUAAACAUAUCCGUAAUUAUGGAGUUUGUCCCAAUAUGUUUAUAAAUACCUGACCACUCUGAACUCUUGCUUUAACAACUAAGAAAUUAAAGUUUAUGUGCUUUGACUUUGACUGCUUUUGUUGUAAUUGGAAUAAAGAAUUACAAUUUAUUGCCACAAUUUGCACUUUAGUGAUAAAAUUUUGCAUCCAUAUUCCAUUAAAAUCGGAUUUUGUAUAACUGACAAUCUCUAACUUAUCAUACCUCCAAUAUGUGAGCAUAUAAUGUUUUGUUUUUUGAAGGUAAUGUAUGAGUCAUAUGGUUUCUAUCCAAUGAUCCAUAUUAUAGAUUAUAAAGUUAUGGACAAACAUUAUACUUCAAUAACUUGAUAAAGAAUUGGAACCAACCAAAUGUAUUAUGAAAAAGACUAAAAUUUUCAUUUCUAAAUGAACAAGAAAAACUGAAUUUGUCCAAUAUUGAAAUGGAAAUAAAAUUCCGUGUAAAAGAUACAAUAACAAAAGUCUCAUUCAAAUUCAAAUAAAAUAUAGUUCUUAAAAAUAAUCUAAAGGAAUAAAAUUUGGUACACUGUUAGUGGAGUUCUUAGACUCCACAAGCAGGGUCAGGGGGUUGACAAGUGUCUUAUAGGGGUAUAGUAAAUAUUAAAAUAUAAAUAUUUUAAAAAAGUGACACAUGUCAAUUUUUUAAAGCUUCUUGUGGAAUAAAAAAGUUACACUGCUAGUGUACGAGACUAACCCUAAUCUAAAAGCCCUUAUUGCUUCAAUUUCUACUGAAUUACUGUCACCUUCAUAGAUGUAUCUUUCACCAUCAUUAAGCUCUUGGUAUGGAAACCUUGCAUAAACACACUAAUGUAACUUGUUACACUAAAAUCUAUCUACCGUGUCUAGGUACCAAAAUCAAAUUAACUUCAUAACAAAUAAAAUUAAGAAGUGCACCUGUUGCACCACAAGACAAACAACCAUACUUAGUUAAUUCCUUUUGUUGUUUCUUUUGCAAUGUCGUAUUUGCUUUCUUAUUUUUCUUUAUAUACCUCAUUGAAGUUAGAUUUGUUAAGAAAAUGCCAAUUUCAACCUUUUCAUUCUUGAUAAACCUCUUUUCAAUGUCGGCAAUAAAUUCCUUACCUUUAGUAAUCUUAUGGGACAUAGUACCCCUAAAUGUUCCAAUGCAUGUAGUGAUGUUGGUAAGUAUAAUAAUAGUUUCAUCAAUUCAAAAUAAGCUCGCAUAAUAUUUCAAAUUUAAACCAAAUUAACUGAAUAAAGGUAAAUCCCAUCUCAACAUACACGUCAGUCCAUUAAUAUUUUAUCUUUGGAUAAAAUAUUAACUUGCAAGUGGUAUCUUGGCAUGGUAAUUAAACGUUGACAAUAAGAACACACAGAACAAUAAGUCUUCCUUUGGGCUAAUUUAUUAUUCACAUGUAAAACCAAAUAAUCAUCACAUGUUUAUUACCAUAGUUGCACAUGUAAUUUUGUCAAAUAUUAACCUUCUUUUGGGCUGAUCAAUAUUAACAUAACUUAAGUUACAUGCACAAAACCUUUUACAUUUUAAAAUAAAAUAAUUUUCACAAUAAAAGUCACUUUGGCGAUUUAUUGUUUCAAUUAAGUUAUUUUAAUAUAUAUAUAUAUCUAUAUAUAAACAUACCAAUAUUCAAAUUUAAAAUAUACAUAAUAGUCAAAGGUCAAAGUAAGAUUUUUUAUUUGACUACAGUUUCUGAAAUAACCCAACAUAAGGUUGUCUAAAUGGUCCAAUCAGAAAUUCAAAAUCUUAAUAUUUGAUUAAUUUUAUUUUUAAUACUUAAACAAGAAACCAUUAAAAUUUUACAAUUAAAAUUCAAAACCAAAUUUUAUAAAACCAAACUUAAAACCCUAUUAUUUAAACUUGUAUCAUGGUCAACAUGAGUUUGCAUCAAAGCACCCAAAAUUUGAAUCUAUAUAUCCAUAUCAGAAAAUUAACAAUUAUAAUGAAUGUCCAUAUCAAACCAAUUUGACAAAAAAAUAUAAUUGAAUCUAUAAAAAAUAUUAAUAAGCUUAAAAAUAAAUAACAAUAACAAUAACAAAAUUAAGAGAGAAUUUAUGGGAAAUUUAGGAAAACUUUAUAUUUCAGGUUCGAGGUUUGCUUGUUUCUCUAUCUUGUACUCCCUUUUCAGUUUUUGCCGUUUUAGUGAAGUUUUCUUUAUUCAUGGUUUUUUAUUCUCUUAUGAGAGAUUUUUCCAUGUAAAUAUUUGUGUCCAAUUUUCUUGGUUUUCGUUCUUGUUAGUUGCAUAAUUCAAGUUUGACCCUAGAAACUGGUAUUAGAGUUUGGUUCGGUUUCCACAUUCAACUUGUUAGAUAUGACAAUAAAGUACGAUAUUAAGAAAUUUAAAGGGAUUACAAAUUUUAUCUUGUGGCAAGUUCGGAUGACGACAAUUCUCGUUAAGAACGGUCUAAAAAAGGUUAUUACAGGGCAAAUGCUCGCAGAUGUGAAUAAGACAGGAUGGAACUUGAAGAGAAGGCAUUAUCAACAAUUCAGUUAUGCCUCACUAACAAUAUAUUGUAGGUGGUACUUAUGGAGAAUACGACAACAACCUUAUGGAGAAAAUUGGAAGCCUUUUAUAUGACAAAGUCAUUCGCAAAUCGCUUGGUAUUGAAACAUCGAUUAUAUAUGUUCCGUAUGGAAGAAGAUGAGUCUAUUAGAGCUUACAUUAGUAAAUUUGUAACUCUCCUAAAUGACCUGAAGAAUGUCGAGGCCAACAUAGAUGAUGAGGAUCAAGCUAUGUUAUUACUUUGUUCUUUGCCCCCUUCAUAUAAAACUUUCAGGGAAACCCUAAUUUACAGUAAAGAUAGACUCUCGUUUAAAGACGGGAAACCUUUUUAGCAAGGAUAAAUUCGAUAAUGAUUUAGGCUCGAAGAACAAGUCAGAUGGACAAGCCUUACUUUUGGUUGCUAGAGGAAGGUGUUGUGAAGUGUGUUCAUAUUGUAGUAAACAUGUAAUUAUUUUCUAUGUAUGUAACAACCCGUUUUUAGUGAAAUCAAAACAGUGGUUUUGGGACCACAAAUCUGAUGAGUAAAUUAUUAUUAUUUUUAUUAUUUUAAUGCCUAUGGAAUAUUAGAAAGGUUGAAUAAACAUUUCGUUAAGAAAAUUUGACAUUUGCAUGCUUAAUUAUGUGAAAAGGACUAAAUCGUAAAAGGUGCAAAAAUGGAGUUCUAUUUGUUAAGAGGGUUAAAUGGCUAUGAAACUUAAAUAUGAGAGGACUUAGAUGGUCAUUAGACCAUUUAAAUAGUUAGUGGAGUUUAAAUAGUUAGUGGACUUUUAUGGACACAAAUUAGGUGUUUUUUAAGUUAAAAUGUAAGGUUAAUUAAGUAAUUUAAUUAAUAAGUUAAAGAAAAAUAAGUAAAAAUAAUGUAUCAUCUUCUUAGUUGGUAUUUUCCACCAGAAAUUGGUGAAGGAGAAGCCAUAGCUAGGGUUUGAAGCUUUGGUCACUUACAUAGCUUGCUUGUAAGUAAAUUUUGAUCUCGUUUUUAAUGAUUUCUAUGUUUUUGAAGUCAUUGUAGCUUAAUCUAGCUAGCCCGAUGAUCAAUUUGCAAAACUGUUAAAUAUUUAGGAUUUUUCCAUGAAUGUUCUUACAUGAUUCUUCAUGUUUUAUGAAAGAUUAUGAGUCCUUGUUGAUGAAUAAACAAAUUUUGUAAAGUAAUUUUUGAUGAAAUUGACAUUUAGUGACUUAAUUAUAAAAAUGAUAAAAGUUCAUGGUGAAAUUGUGAAAUGAUGACUUGUAUGAAUUGAUAUAGAUCCCUAGUGGAUUUGGCUAGCAUGAGAUGAUGAUUAAAAUGCUUAAAUUUCAAUUUAUGAGCUUAAAGACUAAUUUGUAAAAAGUUAAAAUGUUAGGGGCAAAAUAAUAAUUUUGUAAAAAUGAAAUAUAGACUGAAUUGAAUAAUAGAAGAAUUGUAUGGAUUGAAUUUGUCUAUUUAGACUAAGAUAGACCAUGUACGGAUCUAGAUCGAGGAAAAGCUAAAGCCUCAGAUUAGUUGAUCUUGUUUCUAUGUCUUUGUCAUCGAGGUAAGUUCGUAUGAUUAAAUAUUGUUUUAAUGUUAUAAUGAUUUAUAUGUUAAUGUGUUAUUUUCCAUGUAACCAAAAGAUGUAUAUCCAACAAUGUCAUGAUAAUUAUCGAGCCCCUUUUGAACCUUAGGAAUUCGUAGGAUACAAAUGACAUGUCAUUAGGGUUUCCAUGUUUCGAGUGUUGGUCUUGAAUGUCCUACCUAUGGCUGAGGUCCUGCAUUUGUUGCGAAUACUCCAUAGCUUGUGUGAGUAGCAUUGUGUAGUUUACAUUUUGACCCAUAGCUCGUAUGAGUAGGCUCAUUUCAUAGCUCCUUUGAGCAACGAUGUAAAUGAAAGGUUACGGUUAUAUGUUUAGCACACUUCAUGUGAGCUUUCUUGAGUAUCCGAUGAUAUUCUAAAUGGUUCAACGAGCAUGAAAAGGAAAAGAACAGUAAGUGUUCAAAUGAACUAUAUCAUGAAAUUGUGAAAAGGAUUGAAAUGGAAAGCUUCAAUAGAAGUAUGUUUUGUUCAUGAAAAUGAUGUGUUCAAAUGAAGUAUGUUUAUGUACAAAUAGCUUACCAUAUGUUAAUUCAAGUGAAUUAUGUUUGAAUGAACUAACAUGUGUUGUUGAUGGUGCUUAGGCUUUUUCCAAGCUUGUGGUUGGAUUAUGUUAUGCUUAAUCCUAAUGUUAUGUAUUGAAAUGGUAAGUUAUGUUCAUGUUUUACGAACUUACUAAGCAUUAUGUGCGUAGUUUUCUUUUCUAUGUUUUAUAGAUAAUUGGAAGCUCGAUCAGUCUAAAAACUCGUCAGAGAUCUACCACACUAUCUAGCGAUUAUAUCGGUAGUUUUUGAUGUUUUGGCCAAGGUUAUAAUGGCAUGUAUAUGUGGACUUGUGUUUGAUGUUUAGUUGAAUGCUUAGAUGUUGACUUUGGUAUGUAUGAGUUGGUUGUUUUGGUACAAUUUUGUUGAUGGUUGAAUUGUGUCAAUUUGGUACAUACAUGAAUGGCAUGGCUCAAGUUUAUGUUGAAAUGGUAUGGGUCAAGUUAUGGUAUGUUUUGAGAUGGAAAUGAACUAGAUGUUUAUGAAUGAAAUGUGAUCAAGUAUAUGUAUAUGUUUAGGUAUAUUUGUAUGUUUGGAUUUAAGGUGCCUUGUAUGGCAUAUUGGUUGAAUGAUGUUAAACUAUUAAAUUGGUCAUUUCAUGUUGGUUUUGGUCAUGUUAUAAUGCCUUGAUCAUGUGUUCAAAAUCCUUUUAGGUACAUGCUUGUUUUGGUGAUAGAAAUGACUUGAUUUUAGCCAAUUACAUGUCCACACGGCCUAAGACACGGGUGUGUGACUUAGCCGUGUGUAACACACGGCUAGGCAGCACGGCCGUGUGUCCCCUAUAGGUUUUAAUGCAUGCAAGUCAGGCUGUUACACGGCCUAGCACACAGUCUAGGACACGGACGUGUGGAGCCAUUUUGAGAGUUACACGACCUGACACACGGACGUGUGGCUUGGCCGUGUGACCCAACUCAGAAAGUUACACGGGUGUGGGCACAGGCUGGGACACGGUCGUGUGUCACUAUUUUGAAAGUAACACAGGUGUGUGGCUUAGGCGUGUGACUGACACGACCUGGCCACACGGCCGUGUGACCACUGCAGUCCAAAUUUUCUAACUUUUUCUAAAACUUUCCAAAUGUUUCCAAUUUAGUCCUAAAUUAUUUUUAAAGUAUUUUUAGGGUAUCGAGGGCUCGAUUUAGGGAUGAUAUGUACAUGAAUUAAUGUUUUAUAUCAUGUUAUGUCAAUGCAUGUGUAACAACCCAUUUUCUAAUGGUGUCAGAAAUAGUGGUUCUGGGGCCACCAAAUCCGACGUGUAAGUUCGUAAAUAUUAUUAUUUAAUAUUUACGAGUCAAAUAUGGUUUUAAAAAAGUUUUAGAUUUCAUAAAUUAUGUUAUAUAAGUGAUUUAUUAAGUUCAAGUGGUAUGACCCUAAAGUCAAGUGGUUUUACAAAAUGAGGUAUUGGGACCUCGUUUUUAUAAGUUGAGCCGUAAAUAUUUUAUAAAUAUUUAAAAAGUGUCAUUAAGGUAGUAUUAAAUUUUCGUUGAAAAAUUUUAACGUUUCGAUGGUUAAUUAAUUAAAAAAGUACUAAAUUGUAAAAUAUGAAAAAUUUGAUCGCUAUUUGACUUGAGUGAUUAAAUGGCUUCAUAAAUGAAAACAUAUGGACUAAUAUGGUAAAUAUAUCAUAUUACAUAUGAGUGGGCGGUUGGCUUUGUCUUAUUAUGAAAAUAUGUAUGUUUUAUUAAUUAAAAAUAAAACAUAUUAAAAGCUAAGUAAUUAAAGUAAAAGAUAUCAUCCUUUUCUUUUUAUGUUUUGCCGAAUUUGAGAAAGGAGAAAGCCAUUGUUGGACCUUCAAGCUUCAGCCAAGCUUCAUAGGUUGCAUGUAAGUCCGAUUUAGCCCCGUUUCUUGUAAUUUUUAUGUUUUUGAGAUAGCUGCAACUAGGUCCAACUAGCUCGUACCUUCGAUUUUGAAACUGUUAAAGGUUUUGAAUGUUUCCAUUGAUUAAUCUUGUGGUUUUUUAUGUUAUAUUAUGAAUUUGGAAUGUUGAUUGAUAAUUAAAAGUAUUUUGUUAAGUGAUUUUUGAUGAAUUUUUCAAUUAGGGACUAAAUUGUUAAAAUAGUAAAAGUACAAGGAUUUGAUGUGAAAUUAAUACAAAUGUGGGCUGAUAUGGGUGUCAUGAAUAUUCAUAUGUUAUAAUUUGACAUUAAAAAUGGUUAAUUUGUAUGUUUUGGGCUCAUGAACUAAAUUGAAUAAAAAUAAAACUUUAAGGGUAAUUUUGGAAAAAUGUCAAAAAUGAAAAAUACAUGAAAUAAAUUUGUUUACUGUAUAAAUUUAUAAAUUGAAUGAAAUUAUUAAUUUAGAUCAAGAUCGGGUGGAAAAUCGAGAAAAAUAGAAAAUUACCAAAAUGCCCCUGAACUUUGGUAUUUCUACAAUUUAGCCAGGUAAGUUCUUAUGAACUGUAUUCUGUAUCAUUUUGAUUAAAUUGAAUGUUAAUAUGUGAUUAUAUUGUGAUGAAAUCAAUAUAUAUAUGUUAGUAUGCAAUUUACCGUGUUAUGAAACGACGUAAAUCCAACGACGUACGACGAUUACCGAGCCCCAUUUGAACCUUAGGAAUUCAUAGGAUAUAAAUGGCAUGUCAUUAGGGUUUACAUGGUUCGGGUGCUGGUCCUGAACGUCCUACCGAUGGCUGAGGUCCGACAUGUGUUACGGAUACUUCACAGCUCGUAUAAGCAGUAUCGUGUAGCUACGUUUCGACCCAUAGCUCGUGUGAGCAAGCCCAUUUUCACAGCUCGUGUGAGCAUACAUGUACAUGAAUUGACAAAGUAUAGUUAUAUGAGUUAGCACACUAUGUGUGAGCUAUCUCGAGUAUCUAACCGUAUUCUAAAUGGUUCAACAGGCAUUAUUCAGAUAAGAAACGGUAAGAGAAUGAUAUGUAUUAUGACAAGUAUAUAUGGACAUCUUUGAUAUGAUGCUACAUGGAAAUUAUGUAAGUUGAAAUGAGUAAUAAACUUAAGUGUUACAUGUUGAGAAUAAAUGGUAUCAAUGUUGAAUUUAUAUGAAAUAUGUUCAAGUAUGCUAACAUGUGUUGUUGUUUGAUGCUUAGGCAUGUGUCAAGCUACUGGUAGAAUGAUAUUAUGUUUACUUAUAAGUUGCAUUGAAAUGGUAAGUGCUCAAAUGGAAAUAUGCUUAUGUUCAUGAAAGAUUUGUAAGGUUUAAAUUAUGUAAUUUCUUAUGAAAUGGUUUAUCAUGUGGUUAAUUUCAAAAGAACUAUGUUUAAAUGCACUAGCUUGUGGCUAUGGUUGAUGAUAUGCUUAUGUCUUGUGUGUUAAGCAUAUGAAAUGGGUGUGGAAUGGUAAUGAAAUAGUAAGUUCAUAAUUGAAGUGUAAAAUGAUGAAAAAGGGAAUGACGAGUUGAAUUGAUAUUGUUAUUUAAGCUAAAGAAAGUAAAUAAAAUGGGAAGUAAUGAAAUGCAAAUGAAAGUAAGAAAAUUUGAAAGGGUUUAAAGUUUUAUAAAAUCCUACUACGCUAGGGAUGAUAUGUAUAUGUGAUACUGUGGAUUUAUUCACUUUGUAAGUUGUUGAAUAUGGUUUUAUGAAUCAUACGGUAUUGGUAUAAGAUUAUUCUUGAUAUGUAUAAAUUUCAUAUUUGAAUUGGAUUAAUAUGACUAAAGUUUAUACGAGCUUACUAAACAUUCAUUGCUUACAUAGUUGUUUUUCCUUUACUUUUCAGAUUAUCAAAAUCUCGAUCGGAUUGAAAGCUCGUCAAAGAUCUAUCACACUAUCCAACGAUUAUAUCGGUAGAUUUUGAUGUCUUGGUUAAGGUUAUAAUGGCAUGUAUAGGUGAACUUAUGGUUGAUGAUUAGUUGAAUGUUAGUUGAUGUGUUUGGCAUGUAUGUGACAUUGUGGGUGAUGUAGCCUUGGUACAUUUGGUGCCUUGUUGAUAUGUGUUAAUUUGAUAAUGUGUUAAAGCAUGUUUGAAUGGCCAAAGUGAUAUAUGAUGAAUUAACCUCAACAUGGUCAAGAUAUGGUAUGCUUUGGAAAGAUUUUGAACUAGGUAUGGCAUGAAUCUAAUAUGGUGUGGUGAUUAUGUAGCAAUUAUGUUAUGUUUUGGCAUGGAAACAAGUUAAUUGAUAUUUGGAUAAAUAUGCACAUGUAUAGGUGUUUUUUGUUGAUGUUUUACCCAUUAUGUUUUGGCUUGUAAAUUUGGUAUUUUGAAUUAUUGAAAUGGUUGAUAUGUGGAUAUAUGUAUGUAGCCUUUUGAUGGAUGACUUUAUAGCCUUUAUGAUGCUUAGAUGAUGGAAGUUGUACAUGGUCAUUUUGGUAUUAAAAAUAUAGUUGGUAUUUGUGGCUUAUGAUGCUAAAUGUUAAAUGGUAAAUUAGGUACAUAUAAGUGUGGAUUUGAUAUGUGUACAAAAUGGAAAGUUUUGGCUAAACUAAGCAUUUAGUUAUAUAUGUUUAAUUGUUGUGAUUGAGGUGUCUUUUGGGCAUAUUGGUUGUAUGAAUAUGUACCUAUUUGGAUAGCUUGUCCUUGUAUGGUUUGGUGUACUUUGGGAUGCUUGAUUACAUGUGGUAAAUUGGUAAUAAGUGUGUACAUGAAUGGGUGAGAAAAAUUUCUUUGAAAUGACCUAUUUUUCGUCCACGCGGUCAGAGACAUGGGCGUGUGUCCCCUGUAGGUUUUUAAAGGUUGCAUUUUGAGAGUUACACGGCCUGGCACACGGGCGUGUGGCUUGGCCGUGUGACCCAAGUCAGAGAGUUACAUGAGCUCAGACACGGGCUGGGACACGACCAUGUGUCCCUACUUCGAAUGUCUACACUGCCGUGUGACCCCUGCAGUUUUCAAAAAUUUCAUCUUUUUCUAAAAAAUUCUAUAUGUUUCCGAUUUACUCCCAACUUGUUUCUAAUGUGUUUUUAGGGCCUUGAGGGCUUGUAUAAGGGACAAUAUGUACGUUAUUGAUUGGUUUUACUGUGAUUGAUGAUAUGAAUUAAAUGUUUUAAAAUUUUUUAUAGCUUUGGAAUGUAAACUCCGUAAUGCUCAGUAACCCUAUUCUAGCGACAGAUACGGGUUAGGGGUGUUACAAUAUGAAAUGUAUGAUUUAAUGUUUAAAUUGUACAGUAAUGCUCCGUAACCCUAUUUCGGUAAUGGAUACAGGUUAGAGGUGUUACAAUGUAUUUGAAUGAUGAAUAAAUAAAUAAAGUUAAUUUCAUAUUUCACUAUUAUGUCCUUUAUGUUUCUGUCUUUCAUGUUUUGCAUGCAUAGUGAAAUUGUGACAAACAAAUAUUAGCUCAUUAAUUGUCUAAAGUUCAAAGUGAUGAUAAGUGACACUGUAAGAAUGUUUAUACUGCGAGAAAAAUAACUUACUUCAGUAGAUAAUCUAAACGAGUCUUUAAUCCCGUAAAAGAAUCAAAGUGAACAUUUGAUUCAAAUACUUAGAAGGAAUAUUAUGUCGUCUACAAUUCCAAUUGGGAGAUGGCUAGUCUUGGCUAUCGGAGCAAUUGACUCAAUGGGUAAAGACAUAGAUGUAUUUAUUGGAAGAAUGAUACAUUGGACUGAACUCAAAAUGAAUUAAUUCACUUGUGAUGUUCAUGGUGUGAUUUACAUAAAUCUUGAGUUAGUCACUUACCUUGCAUAUGUAACUCAUGUGCUUUGAUAUAAGUGGAGGCUUAUGCUCUAAAGAUGAUCGAGCCUAUAGCCAGUAUGUUGGGUACAUGACUUGUGUAUGACAUGGCUUUACUAGAAAUAAUGGAAUUCAUAGCUUGAUUAAAGAGUUAACGAUAUCCUCUCAUUGGCAUUGUGUGGGUUGAAAAAUAUGGAACGUGGCCACGGGUUGCUUGUUCUCGAAUGAGCAAUUUGUCACGGUCAUUUAUUGACAAUGAUCAUAUUAAUCAUUAAGAAGACACAAUGGUGACAAUGAGAUAAAAUAGGAUUGUAUUGAGUGAACGAAUUUAACAUAAAGUAAUCAAUGAUAUCAUAUGAGGGUAACACACACAUGAUGAGGUCACAAAGCAAUUAGUUAAAUUACUUUCGUAAAGAGUAUAAAAUAAGGAGUUUUCAAUCAUGGUACUUCCUGUGGACUGACUCCAUGAUUAAGUAAACUGUGAAUUGUCAGAACGAUACUUCUUAACAUAAUUGCAAUUACUCGAGUCUAAUUGUAUAUGUCCAAUUGGUCCCUCUGCUAGCUCAACAAAAGCUCGAUCGAACUGCAUCUGAAUCAGAAAAAAAAUUCUACGACUUUGAAAAUAAUUUAAUUAAAUCGAUUUAUUUGAUGUGGAAUUAAAUCAGAGAAUUUGAUUAAAGAAUUUUCUUGAAAAAAUAAUUUGGAAAAUCUAAGUGAUUUUUGGGAAAAUUAAUUUUGAUCAAGUAAAAUUAAAUUAAUCAAAUUAAUUAAAAAUUAAUAUGGUAUUUUUUGAAAUUAAUUUUCAAGUUGAACAAUUGACCCAAUGGGUAAUUAAAAUUGAAAAUUGGAUAUGAUAUCGAAAAUUGGGCCCAAGAACCCAAAAAUUGGUCGAACUGGGCCUGGUGUGUGAAACUAGGCCGAUGGUCCAACCGAUGACCGAGCCGUCACUAGCCCGGACUAAACCGGCAAAAGUUGAACUGGCUCCGGGUGCCAUGAGGAUGUUGCACUUGCGAUGGCACCACUGGACACGACAGUGCUAGUAGCGGCGAAGACGAUAUUCUGGUGGUCAGCAGGUGGUCCUUUGGCGGUUGAACAGUGGAGGAAUCACAUUCUUACUAGGACUCUACCGGAUAAUUUGAUUUCAGAUUAACUAUUCCAAAAAUAAUAUUAUUUUAAUAUUAAAUUAAAUUUAAUACUUAUAUUAAUAAUAUUUUAUUAAUUUAAUAUUAAAGUGAUUAUCUUAAUAUUAAAUUUUAUUCAAUAUUUACCUUGUAGAUAAAUAUUAUAUUAAUUUAAUAGAUUUAAUAUUAAAUUUAAUCUAAUAUUUAUCUUGAUAAGUAUUAUAUUAAUUUAAUAUUAAAGUGAUUAAGUUUAAUCAUACUUGAACUCUCUAUACUCUCCCUAUAUAAAGAGAGCAUUGAGUUAUUAUUUUUCACACACAUGAAUUAAAUGGAAACUUGUAAAUAGAAAUUUCUCUGAAGAAAUUAUUUCAGAAAAUUUCUAGAGAUAUUUUUCUUGUUUACAACUUGACUCAGAAGUUUAGAGAAAUUGCAAAAUUACCCUACUUGUAAUUUUGUGAAAAAUUUUUUGAUUCGAAGUGAGCCCACACUCGAUAAACAUGAGCUUGAGGAUAGUGAAGAAGACUACUUGGUCGAAGCGUUCAUUCUAGAUGAAUCUGUAAUAGCCUAAUUUUCAGUGGUGUCAGAAACAGUGAUUCGAGAUCACUAAAUCCAACCAGUGAGUCUUAAAAUUUAAUAAACUAAUUUAGAAGAAAUUUUGAAUUAGUGAAUUUUGUGAUUUAAAAAUAAUUUAAUAGGUAAAUUGGGUCAAAAAUGAGGUAUCGACACCUCGAAUUCAUAAUCCGAGCCAUAAAUAUUUUUAUAAAUAUUUUUGGAGUGCCAUUGAGUUAGUAUAAAAGUUUCGUUAGAAAAUUUUAACGUUUGGAUAGUCAAUUAAUUAAAAAGAACUAAAUUGAAAAUAGUGCAAAAUUUGUUAAAUUGUGAUUAAAUAGCUUAAGUGACUAAUAAGGAGGGAUUUAAAAGACAAUUAGGCCUAAAGUAUAUGGGCUGGACGGUUGGGUAAGAAAAAUCAGCAAGAAAGAAAGGAGAAACAAGGGCAAAAUUAGAAACUUCACAAAUUAAAUAUAUAAAACAAAGACAAAAGUGAAAAAUCUAGAGAUUUCUUCAUAAUUUAUCAACAAAAACGCCAUAGGAGGUCUGAAAGAAGCUACUUUCUCAUAUUUUUAUAUCAUGUGAGUUCAAUUCUUGCUUUUUCUUUGAAAUUUUUAUUUUUUUUGUGAAUUUUACAAUUAGGUCCAACAUUGAAUUCAUUAGUUUUUGAUCCCACGGGAGAUUUUGUAAGUUACCAUGAAUAAUUUCUAGAAUUUUAUGAUAAAUUAUUAUAGAUUUGAAGUUUUAAUUCAUUAUAUUAUGAUGUUAUUAAGUGAUUUUAAUAGAAAAUGAUUUUUAGGACCUAAUUGUGAAAAAGUUAGGAAUUGGGUUUUUGUACUGAAAUUCUGAAUAUAAAAGGCUGUUUAGUUGUCUAAAUGAUUAGAUAAAGUGUUAUUUGAGGAAAAAAUUGUUCAAUUAAAGUGUUAACUGAGUAGGGACUAAAUUGUAAAAAUUAUAAAUUUUUAGGGUAAAAGUGUAAUUUUCAAAAAUUAAAGGGCAUAAAUUGUGAAAUGAAUUAGUAUUGAAUUAUAUGCUAAUGAAUGAAAAAAUUUAUAUUAUAGAUCGGGAAUCCGAAGAUAAGCGCGGAAAAGAGAAAGUAUCAAACUAGUCUCUGAACUUUUACAACUCCUACAAGUUGGCCCAGGUAAGUUGAUACGGCUAAAUUUUUAUGAUUAAUUAUUAAUGUGGGAAUGAUGUAUUGUAUCUAUUCGUAUACUAUUUUUGAAUUAUGAUUAUGCCAAAAAUGAGAAUAAAAUGAGAUUGUUAGUUCAAAUUAAAGGAUAUGGAGGAUUGAGUACAUACGUUUGGUAACCAGUGAUGAAUUGACGAAUAAGUCCAUGGUGGAUCCAUGGCAAAGUGUGAAACUUAGGUAUGGUAUUCCAGUGAAGAAAACCAUACUGAGUUGUGAAAAGUAGGUAUGGUAUUUCAAUGAAGAAAACCAUACUGCGUUGUGAAAAGUAGGUAUGGUGUUUCGGUAAAGAAAAUCAUACUGAGUUGUGAAAAGUAGGUAUGGUAUUUCCGUGAAGAAAACCAUACUGAGUUAUAGCCUUGUGAAAUAUUCAAGCAAAUUGUGGCACUGUGUAAGCGAUGUACUCAAUUCCGUAAGACGAUCCUUAAUUUGACAAGUAUUUGUAAGUGCAAUUGAAGCUAAAUGUCGGAAUAGAAGUUGACAUCUGAUAUUGAGCUCGAUUGGAUAGAUUCAUUGUUUGAGAUUGUGGUUGGCAGGAAAUGUUGAAUUUUUAUUUGUUUAUUAAUGUUGUUAGUGAAAUUUUGGUAAGAUUUUAUUAUGAGCCUAUGAACUUACUAAGCUUUCUGCAAGCUUACGUGUGUGUGUUUAUUGUUUCUUGUAGAUUGAUAUAUAUAUUUUCGGAGGAUCGGAUCUACAUCAACGAUCACACUAUCCAAAUUUACUCCGGUAGAUUAUGUUAAACAACUUUUUGAUUUAUAUGGGAUGUACAGGGAGUUGGUCAGUUUGUGUGUAUUCUUAUGAUAUGGCUAAGAAGUAGCAAGUAAAUAUUCGAUAAUUAUUAACUAUUGAAUUGGCUAUAUAAGAACGUUUUUUGGUAUUGUGUAUGCUUAAAUGAUAAUUAAUGCAAAGAAAUUAUAAAAGAGUAAAAAUUUGCAAUGGAACAGUUUUUGGACAGCAACAUUGAUGUGAUUUUGAAAAAUCACUAAAAAUUGUGGAAAUUGAAUUAGAAGUUGAGUGAGAUAUGAAAUUAAAUAUGAAUGAGUCCAUUUUCACAUGAAAAGAUAGAGUAAGCAAAAGAGUUGUAUAUUUUUAGAUAUUUUAAUUUUAGUGAGACAGGGUCAAAAUAGUUUUUGAAAUCCCCUGUUCUAACUUUAGAAAAUAAAUAAAAAUUUUACAGAAAGAAUUGGGAGUUAUAAUUUAUAUGUAUAGAUUCCUUAGUGAGUCUAUUUUCAAUAGAAACAAACAAGAAUGUUAUCCAAAUUUUGUACAAUGAGAUAAUUAAUUUUUAGUGAAGACGGGUCAGAGCUGUUGAAUAGUGAAAUAGGGGAGACUUUAAAGAAUAAACUGUACUAAUUGACUAAACCAAAAAUUCUGAAAAUUUUAUGGUAAGAAUAUAUAUAAGUCUAGUUUCAGGGAAAAUUUACAGAUUUAAAAUUUGAGUUUUUUAACUUGAGUUAUAUUUAAAUUAGUGACUAUUGCGCAGGUAGACAGUUUUAUUGUGAAUAAUGAAAUAAAUUGUUUUAAUUUGUUUUAGUAUUUGAAAAAAAUUAUUAAUGUUCCCGAUUUGGACUCGAACUAUUUCUAUUGCAUGAUUUAGGGUCUCAAAAUUCCUUUUUAGGGACAUAUUGAAUGAACGUGAGUGAAUUAAUUUUUUUUAAAAGCAAAUUUUUAUGCUCCGAACUAGUAAGUUAAGUUAGGUAAUGCCUCGUGCUCGACUCCGGCAAUGGUCUCAGGUAAGAGGUGUUACAGAAUCGAAAAAGAAUAAUUUUGAUUAAGUGUUUAUUUCUUUAGAUAUCACAACCAAGUUCUAGUUUUGAAAAAAAAAAUUAAAACUCUAAUUUUUCCUUUAACUUAUUUUUCAUUACAUUUUUCAAGCCCAUUUUUCUAACAGAAGGCAACAAUCUAAGGAUUCAGGUUAAAGAAGAUUGAGGGCGAGAUCGAAAUCUAGAAACCGUGACAAGCAAUAUGGCUAUUGCAAAAAGAUGAGUCACAUUAAGACAGAAUGUUACAAACUUCAUAAUAAAAACAAAAAGGCUGUUGAAAAUGAUGAGAGAGGAAAGUAGAAUGCCGAUGCAACCAAUGCUAGUGUAGCCGAGGACAGAGGUGAUGAUUUGUUGCUGGUGUUAAUGAUCGAAAGGUCUAAGUUUAGAUCCGGGUGGAUCUUGGAUUCAUACUGUUCCUGUCAUGUGUCCCAACAGGGACUAGUUCUUCACAUACAAUUCGAUUGAAGGUAGAGUUGUGCUUAUGUGAAAUAAUUCACCUUGCAAAAUAACUAGCAUUGGUACCAUUCAAAUUAGGAUGCAUGACGAGAUAAUCAAAACAUUUUCAGAUGUUAGAAAUGUACUUUAUUUAAAGAAGAAUCUCAUCUCUUUGGGUAUUUUAGACUCGAAUGGUUGCAAGAUCGUCAUUGAGCCAAAUGACUUAAAAGUAUCUCGUGGAGCCCUUGUUUUGAUGAGUGGGCAGAAAGUCGGUAGCCUUUACAUUUUGCAAGGUGCAAUGGUGUCCGGUUCGACAACAAUUAUGGAAGCAGAGGCAAGAUCGUUGCCACGUCCCGAUGAGGACUCUUUUGACAUUACGAUGACUCGUGAAAAUAUGCUCUUUUCGAGUUCUGAAUCAACCUAGCUGUGGCACAUGCGACUUAGUCAUAUGAGUGAAAAAAGGUAUGACCGUUUUCAGCAAAAGUGGUCUUCUUAUAGGCAUCAGAGUUGGAAAGUUAGAUUUUUGUGAGCAUUGCAUGUACGGGAAGCAGACUUGAGUCAAUUUCGAUUUGAUUGUGCACAGGAUUAAAGAGACCCUUGACUACAUUCAUUCCAAUUUAUGGGGUCCGGCUCCAGGCAUCUCUAAAAGAGGUAACAAAUAUGUUCUAACUUUUAUAGAUGACCACUUUAGAAAAGUUUGGGUAUACUUCCUGAAGUACACUAAUGAAGUUUUCGAGAUCUUCAAAUAGGGGAAGACCUUACUCGAAAAGCAGACUAAGAAGUUCGUAAAGUGGUUCAAAACAAAUAAUGGGCUCGAGUUCUGUUCAACUGAGUUUAAUGAUUUUUACAAAUGGGAAGGGAUUGAAAGACAUCGCAUAGUUGUUGAUACCCUAAAGCAAAAUGGUGUUGUUGAACAAGUAAACAUAACAUUACUUGAGAAAGCCUGAUGCAUGCUCUCCAAUACAGGUUGAGAAAAAGAGUUUCGGGCAGAAGCAAUUAAUAUCGCAAGCUAUUUGGUAAACCAAUCUGUACAUUGAACGUUGGAUGGAAAGGUUCCCGAUGAGAUUUGGUCAGGUAAUCCUCUUAAAUACUCUAACUCUAGAGUAAUCGGUUAUCCUGCUUAUGCUCAAAUUAGUCUGGAAAAGCUUGAACCAAGGGAGGUGAAGUGUAUUUUUCUAGGUUUUACGGUAGGGAUAGAAGAUUACAAGUUAUGUUGCCUGGAAACAAGUAAGAUCGUCGUUAGUAGAGACAUCACAUUUAAUGAAACAUCAAUAAUCCUAUCAAAAAGGGGGUCACUGAGUCAAAACAACAUCGAAAAGUCGACUGUUUUGAGCCAGGUGGAGUUAGAAACAAAGACAAACGAUGACAUGCGAUGUCAUGGAGCAUGAUGUCGCAACGUUAUGACGAACAGGGGAGACGUUCCAACAGGGAGAAUCACCACGUCAUGACGUUGCGUAGAAAUUUUGAAGUCGACGUCUUUUCAAUGUAAUAGAAGGUUUUUGAAGCCACUCCAUCCCAAUCAGUAACCAUUGCAAAAAUACUGUGAAGGAAAUCUAGUGACAUAUGCUCCAAGUGUUGCGAAGAGCAUCGAUUCAUCUAACCCUUCGAAUUCUUCUGAAGCAGUUCGGGCUUCUGAUUCCAACAAAUGUCUUGUCGCCAUGGAAAAAGAGAUAGAGUCUCUUUAAAAGAACGAGACGUGGCAGCUCGUUAAACCACCCACCAGAAAGAAAUAGUUGGUUGCAUGUAGGUGUUCACAAGGAAGGAAGGAUCAGGUCGAGAUGACACUAGAUAUAAGUCGAGGUUUCUCACAAAGGACUACAGUCAAGUGGAGGGAGUUGAUUUUCAUGAUGUUUUCUCUCUAUUUGUGAAGCAUACGUCCAUUCAGGCACUGUUAGCUCUUGUUCCAUUAUACGAUCUCGAGUUAGAGCAAUUAGAUGUAAAGACUACAUUCAUUCACAAGGAUUUGGAUGUGGAUAUUUAUAUGCAAUAACCUGAAGGCUUCAGGAUUGAAGACAAGGAAUACCAUGUUUGUCUUCUUCAGAAAUCAUUAUACAGCAUGAAGCAGUCUCUUCAGCAGUGGUACAAGAAGUUCGACUCCUUCAUGUUAAGCAUCGAUUUUGCACGAAUUAAGUAUAAUAACUGUGUAUACUUGCAUCGUCUUGAUGAUGGGUCGUUUAUUUACUUGUCGUUAUAUGUUGAUGAUAUGUUAAUUGCGGCUAAGGAUCUAUAUGAAAUUGAAUGACCUAAAACCUUGCUUAACUCUAAGUUUGAGAUGAAGGAUUUUGGUGUAGUUAAGAAAAUUUUAGGGAUAGAAAUUUCAAGAAAUCGACACUCCUCACAGUAGAGAUACAUCGAAAUGAUUCUCGAGCGGUUUGGAAUGCAAGAUUCUAAACCAGUUAGUACUCCCUUAGCUACACACUUCAUACUUUCGAUUUCAGACUCACCACAAACCGAAGACGAAGAAAAGUACAUGUCCUUGGUUCCUUAUUCUAGUGCAAUCGGAAGCUUAAUGUAUGCAAUGGUUUGUACUCUUCUCGAUAUUUCACAUGCCAUUAAUGUAGUAAGUAGAUGUAUGGCCAAACCUGACAAAUUACACUGGCAAGUUGUCAAAUGGAGUCUAAGAUAUUUGAGAGGGACUUCUAAGACCUGUUUGGAAUUUGGAAGAUGUUCAGAUGGUCUAGUAGACUAUGUAGAUUUGGAUUAUGCUGGAGACUUAGACAAAAGAAGAUCUUUCACACGUUAUAUGCUCGUUUUCGACAAUUGUAUAAUUAGCUGGAAAGCUACCCUUCAGGCCACUUUGACAUUAACAACUACAGAGGCGGAAUAUAUUGCUAUCAUAGAGGCUGUGAAAUAGGCCAUUUGGUUGAGAGGUCUAUUCAGGGAGCUUGUUGAUAAAAAUGACAAAACUAUUGUAUACUACAAUAGUCAAAGUGUCAUACAUCUCGCGAAAGAUCAGAUGUAUCACUAAAGAACAAAUCAUAUAGAUAUUCGAUACCACUUUAUUCUAGAAGUGAUUGCUUAAGGAGAUGUUCAGAUUCACAAAAUCGACACAAAAAACAACCCAACAAACAUAAUGAAAAACUGUCUUCCAAUUUCCAAGUUCAAGCAUUACUUAGAUUUGGUAGACAUUUUACAAAUAUCGAGUUAGGCCCUGACGGGGCUCGACAAAGAAGGCAUUUUGAAAAUACGAGUCAAGGUGGAGAUUUGUGGAGUGUGCCUUGCAUUUCGGAUGAAACAGAGCUGACGUUGAGAUGAGAAAGAGUCGACGUCCUUAUGGCAAAACACACGACGUCCUGACAACGCGAUUCAUGGCAUCUCGACAAGCCGAACACAACAUCGCGACAUGGUGACUUGUUCCCCACUUAUCCGGGUUUCUUCUCUUAGUUAAACUCUAUUAUCUUUUCCCAGUCUAACUCUGAUUAUUCUAGGAAUGCUUUAGUUAUAUUUUCACAUGAAAUUCAGCUAUAAAUAGACCAUUUACCAACCCUAGAUAGUUUAGAAUAACAACAACAAAAUUAAAAAGAGUUUGUGGGAAUUUCGAAAAAAAUUUAUAUUUUGGGUUCGGGGUUUGUUUGUUUCUCCAUCUUAUACUCCCCUUUCAGUUUUUUCCAUUUUAGUGAAUUUUCCUUUUCCCAUGAUUUUUUGUCCUCUUCAGAGGGAUUUUCUUAUGUAAGUAUUUGUACCCAAUUUUCUCAAUUUUCAUUCGCGUUCGUAGCAUAAUUCGAGUUCGACCCUACACAAAUGAAAGAAUGACAACUAUUGUUUUAAAGUGUUAUAGCUUUGAAAAGAUAUGGUAUGAAAUGGUGUAGUUUUAAGUUAUGGGUUUAUUUUUUUUAAUUUUAAUUAUAAAAGGACGUGGAAAUGAUGUGAAAAAAAUAAAUGAUUAAAAAAGUACAUGUCAUUAAAUUACUCGCGAACUGAACAAUUUGUUAGUAUUUUAACGAUUUUGGAUUAAAAAACAAAGAAUAAAUUAUAUAAAUAAUCAUUUGAUUACUAAAAAUUUUAUUAUUAAGUUACCCUAUUUUAAAAAGUUACAACGUUUCUUUUUUCUUAAGUCCAAAACCAUUAAAUUGCUAAUGGUCGGCUGACAUGGCUGUUAACUUAAUGAAUUUUUUAACACAUAAUUUCCAUGUCAUAUUAUAAAUAAAUAAAUAAUUUUAAUCCAAAACUACAACAUUUUCUUCUCCUCUUUACUGGUCGUAAGAAGGAAUCAUCAUAUUCAAGUAUUUUGAUUUUUUUUUAAUGUAGAAAAUGAUGGGUUUUUGGAUCAAAGUCAAUUGAUUCAUUGUUUGCUAGUUAUUGUAUUGGGGUUCGUCUUGAAUUGAUUGUGAUCGGGAUCUUUUUUUUUUUUUUUUGAAAAUUUGAUUUGGGUUGUUGAAGGAAAAAAGGGAUCCAAUCUGUUGUGCAAAUUCCUGGGUUGGGAAAAAAAUAAAAAAUCAUGACAAGAGGUAGAGGAGAUAAAGAAGAUGAUGAGAAGUACAAUGGCUCCACAUUCAAAUAUUUUUAAAUGCUCUAUUUAUUUUUUUCAAAUCCGAAUAUUGGGACUUCAAUAAUUUAAUUACUAUUUAUAGAAAAUUCAGAUGCUAAUACUAACCGUGAAAUAUCUAUUAUAUGCAUCUAUUUUAUUUUUGUAGAUAAUAAAUUUGGAUUUGGAUUUAAAUUAAUUUUAGGAGAAUGAUGUUCUCAAAUUGAAUGUGAAUAACAAAUUUAUGGAUUUAGAUUCAGAUUUUAAAAAGAAAUGAUAGAUAUUUAUAUUAUAGACAAGUAAGCUAGUGUGUAAAAUGUAUUUAGGUAUUUUAAGAUGUAUAGGAAAAGUAAUAAAAAAUAAGAAAAAGGUAAUGCAAAAGAUAAGAAACUUUUUUGUCUUUAUUAUUUUUCAUGUAUAUAAAGUAUUAUAAUUUUUUGUUUUAUAUAAACAGUUGUUAGCUCAAUUUCAAUUUGAACUCUUUUGGGGUAGGAUAAGCCAAGGUAUUAAAAAUAUGUAAAAUAUUACAAAUGCAUAUAAAAUUCCAUAUUUUAGUAAUUCAUUUUAGGGUAAAUUAUAAAAAUAGUCUUUUUUGUUUGCCUCAAGUUACAUUUUAGUUACUUAUGUUUGAAAUGUUACGUUUUAGUCACUUACGUUAUCGUUUUGUUACGAAAUGGUCCCUCUGUCAUUAAGAUUUGUACCUCCUAAACGGCAGUUUGACGUGACAGUUAAAAUGAAUUUUAAAUGCCAAUGUAAAUGUCCAACUAGGAUGAGAAAACUAAAUUUUUUUUUAUGAAAAUAGAAUACAAAAUUUUACCCUAAAACCUAAUUUUCUCCAGUUUAAAAGUAAGCAACAAUUGGGUUCUUUUUGUUACGAUCAGAGAAGAGAAGAGCAGAACGUCAUAGAAGAAGAAGAAGAAGAAGAAAUGGACGCACCAAUCUCUAUACUUGCUUGUUAUUGUGGUUGCCCACAAUACACAAAAAAACAAGGAUAAAACAUGUCAUUUUUGUUUGUCACAUAUGCAUAAAAACAUGAAAAGAUGGACCACCUUUUUGCAAAAAAAAAAAACCAUAAUAUCUGAACUCAAAACCCAGGUAAAGAACAAAAAACACAAUACUUACUAUAAUCCAUGCUUGGACCCUUCAUUGAAUCGAUAAUUUGUUCUUCUGUUUUGAAAAAAUAAUUCAAUCGAUUGACGAAACACUCAAUUUGAUUUAUACUAUUUCGAUUCAACAAAGAUGACUAUGAAGAUGAAUGGUUUUUUAGUCAAAAUGGAAACGAAAACUAAAAGAAAAAGGAGACUGAUGUUCUUUUUUUUUUUCCAAUUCAAGGACUAAUCUAAUGCAUUGGUUUUGAUUAUUUCGUGAAACCAAAUUAACAUUUUCCUUUAAUUAAUUUAUAAAAUUAAUUAAUUAAAUUUAUUUAAUUCAAAAUCAAUUAAUUUACUUGGUUGGACAUCUACGUUGACAUUUAAAGCCCGUUUUAACUGACACGUCGGACUGUCGUUUGGGAGGUAAUAGAUCUUAACGGCAGAGUAACCAUUUCGUAACAAAACAAUAAAGUAAGUGACUAAAACGUAGCGUUUCAAACAUAAGUGACUAAAAUAUAACCUGAGGCAAACAAAAGUGACUAUUUUGAUAGCUUACCGUUCAUUUUAUGAAUAUUUUGGCAUAUUUAUGCAUUUUGUAUUUGUGAUGCCUUUUUUUAAAGACAACUGACUAUAUUUUAUUAGACAGAAAUAACUGAAAAAACAUAAAAGUGAUAGCCCACAAAGUAGACAUGAGCCUAUAAAACCUAAUCCAAAGAAAAUCAGAAAAACAAAAUCCAAAAGAAAAAUGAAGCCCAUGAAAAAAAACACAAUAAAUAAAUAAAAAAUAAAAUGAAAUGCCCCAAGACACUUCUUCAAUUAGUAAAAUAGAUGGCACCCACUCCUUAGAAAAUAUCCAAACCCUCAAAACUUGUCGGUACCAGCUUCCAAAAACAAGCAGCCUUCCAAAAUCAAAACCAUUUGCUGCUCAUUCCUCUCUCCAAAGCCUACCUCUUCUUCUUCUGUCAAUCUGGUUCCCUUCUCCUCCCCCAUAAUCUAUCAUUGAUGACCAUCGGAACAUUUCCAAUUAGGUAACUCUCUCUUCCAUUCUUUAAGCAAUCCGCGGCUAAACUAUGUGCUAGGAUAUUAGCAGAUCUGGGUAUGUGUUUGAGCUGGAUACUAUUAAAACUCCUUUUCAAUUGUUGUAUGUCCCAAAUAAUAGCCCCUAUCACUGAUUUAUCUCGAAUGUCCGACUGACUUUUUUUAAUAAUGGUUUUUGCAUCUCCUUCUAUGGUAACUAAUGAGAGGCCUAGAUGGUUUCCCAAAACCAAGGCCUGAAAGUAAGCAUAUCCUUCCGCUAUAAAUGGCGAAGCGAUCUCCUUGUGCAGUGUCUGUUUUGAAGCCAAAAUCUCACUUGGAGAGUUACGAACAACCACUCCAGAUCUAGAUCUCACCAAAAUUUGAUUACAAGCGGCAUCAAAAUUAACUUUAACAUCAGAACCUAAUGGGGGACACCAUUCCUCAUUAACAAUAGAUCUGGUAAACUUCUUAUCUUCUAAACUGUCAAUCUCUCCAAUAUAUCUUGUUAUCUAGUCCGCUAUUUCUUUUCCUUUAAUCUGACUCUCGUCAUGCAGGACUAGAUUUCUAUUUGUCCAGAUUCCUCAUAUGGCACAAUAAAAUAAUUUGUACUGGUCAUUGGAACUCAUUCGAAAAACCCAGGUAAACCAAUCUCUGUCGUUCAAAUCUAGAUUAGAAAGAAUCUAGUUUAGAUUUAAAUAAUUCCAAACUUUUAUUGAUAUAGAACAUUAUCUGAAAACAUGAUGCAAGGGCUCUGCUGCUCCACCACACUUGUGACACAGGACAUCUCUUCUAAUCCUUCUGUGUUGGAGAUUAACAAAAGUAGGCAAGAAAUUCCAAGUGGUUUUCCAUAGAUUAAUUUUUACUUUUGAAGGGAUUUUUAGAGAUCAUAGUUUUUUGUAUAGCUCCCUAGAAUCAUAAUGUGUAUAAUUAGGGUUAAAAGUACCUUUAUGUAAUAGUUUAUAGGAACUUCUGACAGAAAAUUCCCUUGAAGAUUCCCCCUCCAGACCCGUAUGUCUUCAAUCCCUUCUUUGGCCAAAGGAGUUCGUAAGAUUUUCGACGCAAUCUCUUCAAGAAAGGUACUAUUAAUUAGAUUUACUUUCCAUUCCCUAUCAUCUACAUCAAUGAAGUUAGAAACUAAGUUUAACCCACCAGUAUUAAUUUAUUCAUUAAUUCUAUAGUUCGGGGAACCUGAUAACCAAGCGUCGUCUUUUACUGAUAUAUUUGAACCUGAGCCAACUCUUCACCAAAGCCAGUUCUCUAGAAGACCCUUAGCCAUCCACACACUUUUCCAAGUAUACGAAGGUAAAUUGUCAAAUCUCGUAUUAAAAAAAAAUUAGAGUUUUGAAAAUAUUUCGCCUUUAACACACGAGAUAAUAAUGAAUUGGGAAAAUUAAUAUUAUGCCACCCUUGUUUAGCUAACAAAGCAACAUUAAAUUUUGCAAGGUUGUCAAAACCUAACUCCCUAAUCUCCUUUGGUUCACUCAAAUAAUUCCAAGUGCACCAAUGUAUACCUUUCUUACCAAAAUAUUGUUGCCACUAAAAUUUUGUCAUAAAACUCUCUAAUUCGUUACAAAGGGUCUUAGGCAAUAAGAAACAUGCCAUCGAAUAAGCGAGAAUAGCUUGAAGGACUGAUUUAAUAAACACUUCGUUGCCCUUUUGAGACAAGUACCUAACACUCCAACUUUCGAUCCUCUACUUAAACAUGUCCUUAAGAAUUUGAAAAGAAGCCUUCUUCUUUUUCCUUAUCAUGUUAGGCAACCCAAGAUAUCUUUCAGGUUCAUUCGAAUGCCUAACUCCCAAAAUCCCCAAUACGAGUCGUUGAUUACUCAUUAAAGUAUUCAUGCUGAAGAAAAUAGUGGAUUUACUAAAGUUAAUACAUUUGCCAGAAAAUUGCUCAUACUCCCGCAAAACCCUUUUUAAUGUUUGCACCCUCUUCACAUUCGCUUCCCCAAAUAAAAUAGAAUCAUCAGCAAAUAACAAAUACGAAAUUUGAGGGCCACUCCUGCUUGCCUCUGCCCAUUUUAACAAGCCAUCUCUCAUAGCUAAUCUCAUAAGAGAUGAUAGUCCCUCAUUAUAAAUCAAAAAUAGAAAAGGACUCAAAGGAUCACCUUACUGAAGUCCUCUAUUAGGUCUAAACCUUUCACCAAUUUUCCCAUUUACUACCACUGAAUGUGAAACUGUAGAGAUACGUUUCAUUAUGGUCUUAACCCAUUGAGCAUCAAAUCCCGUUUGUACCAACAUUUCCUGAACAAAUUGCAAUUCCACUCUAUCAUAGACAUUACUCAUAUAUAAUUUCAUGACCAUGAAUCCCUUUUUCCCCACUUCUUUUUGAUGAAACGUGUGCAAAAUCUCAUAAGCUAAUAGCACAUUAUCUGAAAUCAACCUUCCAGGUACAAAAGCACUUUGGGAUUUAUCAAUGCAUGCAUCCAAUACCCCCUUAAAAUGACUAGCAAUCAUUUUUGCAAUAAAUUUAUACAGAAUAUUGUUAAAGCUAAUAGGCCUAAAAUUCACCAUACUUUUAUUUAAAACUUUCAAGCAGAAAUCAAUAACCUCUCCGAACAAUGUGCCAGUACUUUUGGAAAAACAAAUAUGGAAACCCAUAAUCUCUAGAGGCUUUAGUUGGACCCAUUUCUUUCAACGUUGUGACGACAUCAUCCUCCAAAUAGGUUGUCGUUAACUUCGAAUUGACAUCCUACGAAAUAACAUCAUCCUUGUCAAUCUUGAGAUUUAAAUGAACCAUUGUAUCAAUGAUCUUCAUAAGACUCUCAUCAUUAACAUUUACCCUUAUAAACUCUUCUAACUCCAUUGUCAACUUCGUUUUGAGACCUUUUCUUUUUAACUUAAUCGAACGAACUCAAUCCACCAAUCCCUUCUUUAGGGCCUCCAAUUUAAUCAAUAAAUCACUAGAAGUAGACGCCCAAAUAUUCACCACAGCUUCCUCGAAAGAAUCUUCCAAUAUCCACCAAACUUCAAACUGAAACCUUCUCCCUUUUAAUACAUUAGAACCCUAAUCAAUUUGAAUAAGAAGAGGCUAAUGAUCUGAGAAAGAAUAAGGAAGAUGUUGAAUCAUUGCAUUAGGAAUGUAACACCCUAAACCCGGCCUAAACAUUAGGGUCGAAUCUGGUGAUGUCACAUUGUAACACCCCUUACCCGUAUUCUACGCUGGAAUAGGGUACGAGGCAUUACCAGAAUAAAUACACUUAUAAACAUAUUAAACCGAGUUAUAAAAUUUCAUCCAAAUUAAAAACUUUCAAAUUAUUAUCUUUGAGUCACUAAUUAGGGUUUACGAGACCUAAUACAUACCUAUUCAUAUGCUCAAUAUAUCCGUUAAAUCAAUCCAAUAUUGAAGAAUCCACUUUAAGUCAGAAUCAAUUUUAAUCACAAUCAUAAAUCUUUUCAUGUUAUUUUCAUAUAUCACUAACUGAACUUCGAAUGUCAAUUUACGAAUAUGUACUUCACUUACACAUUCUGGUAUACACAAUGUUUAAUUGAUGAAAUCAUUUAAUUGAGCUAAAUUUCAUAUUCACUCCAAAUUUUCUUCUAUAUCCAUAAAUGCUUUCACUUACCAUUUACCUAACCAAUUUCUCGAACCAAGCUAUCACACAACAAUAAUACAUCACCUGUGCUUCAUGAAUUCAAUGUUCAGAUCUUAUCACUAUCAAAUCCAUGUCAUUCGAAUACUUAAAGUUUAUUCAAGCAUAUAUUAUUACAUUUCACAUACCAAGCAUAUGUCAAAAUUACGAAUACACAAUCAAUUCAUUUGUCAUUUAUUUGACUAGAAAAUUAAUCUCAAAAUUCAUAACAUUCUAUUACUUAAGAUAUGCCAUAAAACACUUCUUUAACAUAAACUAGCACCAUGGCCGAAUUUUCAUUAUGCUAUUUAUUCCCCUUUUUCCGAAUCACAUAGCAAAAUAUUACAAAUAUGUAUAUAUUUGAAUACUAUAAUUAUGCAUCAACUUACAAACAUGAGUUAAUUCAUGAGCCGCUCAUGACAUCAUUUCAUGCCAAAUAUACCACACACAUAUGCUAUGAAACUUUAUUUUCUCUCAUGAGCUUAUCAUGACCAGUAAUGCACCAAUAUAAGCAUCACCUCUAUUUCAACGUUUAUCGAUUAUAAUCGAUCAUAUAACCAAUUAUACACAAAUAAUUUAUAUAUAUAUAUAUAUAAAUUUCCUCCUCCUCCUCUCCAUUCCACAUCCUUAAUGUACUUAACACUCUUAGAAAUAACAUUUUCUAAAGUUUCAUUAUUCACCCUUAAGUAUAUUCAAAGCUGUCUAUCCGAGUUAGUAUCACUUAAUUAUUUUUAUCUGAAGCUAAAGAACUCCAAAUUAUGCACUGCUAAUUUUCCCUGAAACUAGAAUUACAUAUCUUCUUACCAUAAAAUUUUUAGAAUUUUUGGCUUGGCCAAUUAGUACAGUUUAUUAUUUAAAGUCACCCUUGUUUCACUGCUCAACAUCUCUGACCUCUCUUCACUAAAAAUGAAUUAUCUCAUUGUACAAAAUUCGGAUGAUAUUUUCGUUUAUUUCUUUUGAAAAUAGACUUAUUAAGGAUUUUAAUAAAAUUAUAACUCAUAAUUAUUUUUUUAAAAUUUUUAAUUAUUUUCCAAAGUCAGAACAGGGGAUUCCGAAAUCAAUCCGACCCUACCUCACUAAAAUUAAAAUAUCUCAAAAUAUAUAACUCUUUUGCUUGCUCUAUUUCUUUUAUGUAAAAAUAGACUCAAUAAUCUUUCAUUUCAUAUCUCAAUCACCCUCUAAUUCAAUUUAUACUAUUUUUGGAGAUUUUUCAAAGUCACACCACUGUUACUGUCUAAACCAUUUUAAAUCAAGUUUUCACUCUUUCAUGAAUUUCUCUUACUUCAUUUCAUUUUUUCGAUAGUUCAAUCAAAUAACGAGUAAAUUGUUCAUAAAUUUUCCCACUAUAUAUGCACUUAUAAAUCAAAUAGUCAUUUCGUCAUAUCAUGUAUUUUCACUUAAUAAAUUUCCCGUUGAACUUAUUGGAAUAAAAUAGAUUUCUCGGUGGCCUGCACACAGUUCGUACCAGCUUUGUAUAAUACCAGAUUCUCGGUGGCCUGCACAUAGUCUGUGCCACCCUUGUAUCUUAACAGGUUAUUGGUGGCCUGCACACAGUCCGUGCCACCCUUGUAUCAUAACAGAAUAUCGGUGGCCUGCACACAGUCCGUGCCACCCUUGUGUCAUAAUAGAAUAUUGGUGCGCAUAGUAGCCUGCACUUAGUUUGUGCCACAUAUGCGACCUAUCAGUCUGGUACACAUAGUGGCCUACACUUAGUCCGUACCACACGUGACCCAAUUAUAAUCAUUCAUAUAUUUUCCAUUCCGAGUUUCAAACGGGAAAUUCUUACUUUUCAAUAAUUACCAAUUCUUCUCUAACCAAUCUUAAUUCAUAAUUUGCAUCAUAUAUUUGUUCCACGUAUAGUACAUAUCUCAAAUAAAAUAAUAAAACACUUAGCAUAAAUACAACAAUAUAUUAUCUACAUACAAACUUACUUUGGUGCAAUAAUAUAGAAAUUUAACAAUUUAGUCUUCAAUAUUUUCUUUUCUCUGAUCAAGGUUGAUUCCACUUCUUUCUUGAUCUAUAACAACAUAUUUAGCUUAUAUAACAUUCAUAUGAUCCAAUUCAGUCAAAAAAUCACAUUUUGGUAAAAUUAUAUUUUUGCCCCUAAAGUUUCACAAAAUUAUGAUUUUGCCCCUAGGCCCAGAAAUUAAACUUUAUUGCUUUUUCUUAUGUUUUAUGACAUGCUGAACAUUUUUCCCUUCUAUGGAAACAUCAAAUUCUCACUCUAACACUUACUUAUGAACAUUAGGGAUUUUUAUCGAUUAUGUCAAUUUACUCAUUUUCACUUAAAAUCGGCUAGCAAAAGUUAUUUAACAUAAUUUCAAGCUUCAUAUUCUAUCAUAAAACAUCAAAAUAAACACAUUUCACCUAUGGGUAUUUUUCCAAAUUUGAACCCUAGGUUAAAUUAUUGCUAGAAUAAGCUAAAUCAAGUUACCGGGACUCCAAAAACGUAAAUAACAUUAAAAACGGGGCUUGGAAUCACUUACCGUGGAGCUUGGAAGCUUGAAAACCCUAAAUAUGGCUUCCCCCUUAUUGAUUUCGUUCACCAUGGAGAAGAUGAUCAAAUUUUUGGCUAUUUUAGCCUUUUUAAUUCUUUUUAAUUACUAAAUGACCAAAAUGCCCCCAACUUAAAAUUUUCCUAUUUCACUUAUCUCUUAUCUAUUUUUGUCCAACAAGUUAACCAAUGGUCUAAUUACGAUUUAAGGACCUCAAAUUUAAAAUUUCGUAACAAUUGGACACUUCUAACAUGUAGAACUCAACUUUUGCACUUUUUACAAUUUAGUCCUUUUAGCUAAAUUGAGUGCCCAAACGUCGAAAUUUUUGAACGAAAUUUUCACGAAAUCAUUCCUUGAAAUUUUAGACCAUAAAAAUAUAAUAAAAAAUAAACUUUUUCUCGUGGAUUUGUGGUCUUGAAAUCACUAUUCCGACUAGGCCUAAAAUCGGGCUGUUACAAGGAAACAUACUCAAUCGUGCAACAGUAGCCAUACCUCUAUCUAACCUUUCCCUAACAUUUGUCUCUGGUAAAUUCCCCUUUUCCCAUGUAAACCAAGCCCCAAAAUAACCAAUAUCCAUCAACUAACACUCCAACACUUCUUUGAAAGCCUCUAUUCUACUUUCCUCCCUGGUCAACCCCUCACUUUUUUAAAAACAUACAUGAUUUCAUUAAAAUCCCCACAUACCAACCAAUGAAGAUCACAAACAUGACCUAAUCUAUGCCAUACCCUCCACGAAUCAUCCCGAUUGUGUGCAUAAGGGGAACCAUAAAAGCGAGCGAAUCUCUAAAUUUUUCCUUCCUCAAUAUCCUCCAUGUCAACAUCAACGUGCCUAAUUGAAAAACUCUUGAGAGUCAUCGAGACAUUACCCCUCCAAGCCAAACAAAGCCCUCAUCUAGUUCCCUCAGUUGAAACAUCAAUUCCACUUAAAAACCCAUACCUCUAAACUUUCUCCAUUUUCAUAUUACUUAUUUUAGUCUCCAUAAAGAAGACCACUUGGAGAUUAUGCAACUUCAACAUAUAUUGAAGUCUCUGCACAACCUGAGGGCUCCCCAACCCUCAUACGUUCCAACUUAUCAUUUUCGUUAUGAAAGGUUGACAUGCCCAUUGGCAGCCACUAAUACAAAAAAAUUUUGUUCCGACACUUUUCCAUUAGUCGUCCCCAAAGAUCCCAACUCUACCCCUGACUACAUUCACUUAAAUCCCUUCUAGGCCUCUUUUUACCAUCCCCUCCCCCUAAUAUAAACUCUUCCGAAUCAUGCUACAUGGCCAUUAAACCCAGUGCUUUAGACGGAUCACUUUCCUAAAGGGACAUAAUGGUUUGAUCCCCUUCUAAAGUCAACCCUAACAUUAGAUCAAUACGAAUCCCACUCUCCAUUCUUUCCUCUAUCCCCCAACUCCGUCAACCCGAACUCUAACGUCCUUAAUUACCCCCUUCCCACCCCUACACCUUCAUCCCUUAACCACACACUAUUCAUCACCAUAGCUCACCUAGAUUGAUCCCAUAAUGUCAAAUCCCAAACUAGCUCUAUUACCUCAACGCCUAAAGCCAUCAUUGCCUGACAAAAUGAAUCAUUAUGUCCCAAUUGACCAUAGAAGAAACAAAACAGAGUCAAACGCUCAUAUUUGAAAUACACAUAUGCACAAUUUCCAUGUGCAAACAUUAGUUUCUUUUUUCUCUUCAAAGGGUUCCUAACAUGUAAACAUAUCCACACUCGCAUAUAACUCAUUAGCCCUUUCCCUAUACUCACACUAUCAUACUCCAUAAAUUUCCCAAUAAAAUCACCUAAUUGUCUGGCCAGCAACUAAGAAAAGAAACCCGGUGGAACAUCAUGAAUUUGAACCCAAAAAGGGCAAAAAUUAAUGGCACCUUUAGUGGAUCCUCCCCCAUAACCAACCGAUGAAACACCAAUAAAUGAUUAUUAAACGUCCAAGGAACCCCAUUAAUAACCCUCUCCAAAUCCUUCUUGUCAAAAAAUCAAAACAUGAACCUUUUUUCUCCUAGGUCUGAGAUCUGAACUCGCUUAAUAGGGUGCCAUAAAUUAGCCAUCGUACUCCUCAUAGUCGGAAAGUGAAUGACACUAGCUGUCAGGAAACACCCUACCAAACAGAACUCAUUCUCAUUCACUGUCGAUUCCACCUGUCUUUGCACCUCCACAAUCUCGUCCUCUUCAUCAUCCAGAGAGAACAUUGCCAGUUCCCUUUCCAUCAUUAAACCCCGAUAACCUACAACCCACAGCUAACCUUCGUAAACGAACACAAAACAAAAUUGCAUAGCAAAUCAAAAAACACCUAAGCCACACCAAAACCUUAAAAGCAUUGUCAUCAAAACCAGACACAUAUAGCAGACCAGAAGCGUGCUAGAAAGCAGACAAAAUUUGUUGAUCCAAAUUCUAAAAUUUUAAUACUCAAAAUAAUCUAAUGUCAACAGGGGCGAAACCUUUAUGCUGCUUUUUGUGUGUUUUAAUUACUUUUUCUAUGUUGUUUUCAUAUAGUGCCUUAAAUCAUUUCAUAUUUGUAUAGUUUGACAAUUGUUAUUGGUAUUUAAUGUAGACUCAAUUCAUAUAAACUUUCAUAAUAAUUCAAUUUAGGAAUCGUUGAUGUUAUUUUUGAUGUUCAAAAUUUAUAUUUUUUAAGCGUUAAUAAUUUGUCAUAUAUAUUUUAAUAUGUUUGUAUAUUAAGAAAAAAAAUUUAAGAAUUGAUUCGACAACUUAUGAUUUGAGAAAUAUAAGCCCAAUCCAAAUCGAAUGGUAUUUUUUAUUUAAUUUAUGAUUAUUUUAAUUUUAUAUGAUGUAAAAAUAAAUAUUUUAUAUUAAAAUGGUGAAAAUAACUUAAAAGUUUUAUUUUAAAAAAAUAAUAUAUAAAAGUUGUUGAUUUUUUUAUUACUUGAAAAUUGUUUUUUUAGAAAUAAUCAUAAAAAAGACUUUAAAACUUAUCAAAUAAUAGCCAAAAAUAUAAAGCAAAGCUCAUUUGUUAAAAUAAAUCCAAAAAUUCAAAAUUUGAGAAUCAAUAAGGAAAAACUAAAAACCAAACUAAAUUGAAUUAUGAUGAUGAAUUCGCCAAAGUCCAAAAGAAUUGACGAAUCAAACCGUGAGCACCCCUAACUUUUUGUGUCAUUUUAUAUUUUAAAAAGCUAAUUAGCUAGAAUAAAUAAUCCAUACAUUUAAAUAGGAUGAGACUCGAAUAUGUGAUCUCAAAGUUCUCAAAAACCUCAUUGGAAAUGCAUCUAAUGUUAGAAUAUGCCAUAAAUCCUUGCAUUAUUCAUAUAUUUGAGGUUUAAUCCAUUUACUUUUAAUUCUAGGAAAUUAGCUCCUCUAUUUUUUAGAUUUCAAAAUUUAAGUAUAAUCGUAAACACUUUUAAAAUUAUUUUGUUAAAUUUAGGUUCAAUACAAACAUAAUUUUUUAGCUACAUUGCUAUCAAGUGAGUUUUUUUUUUAAUUUUAAAAUGUCACAUCAACAAAUUUAACCAGAAUUUAUUAGUGUUAACAAUUAACCUGGUUUUUGAAAUCUAAAAAGCAGAGGAACUAAAUUCUUAAAAAUCAAAGUAUAUGGAUUAAAUUUUUGAACAUAUCACACUUCUACCCAUAACACAUUCUCCACGCUUAAAUUAAAACUCCUAAUUAUUGCAAUAGCAAUUGAAUAAAAAAAAUCAUAUCUAAUUCAAUUGGCAUAAUGAUUUAUUUGACCCUCCAACUUUGUAAAAAAAAAUAUUUUAGCUCUCCAUUUAAUUUUUUACCUCUUUUAGCCAUUAAACUUGUAUUGUUUGUCAAAUCACUUCACAAUGGAUGGAAAAAUUAACAAAUGUUAAUUUUAUUGACGUGACAUACAUGUGGAUUGCCAUGUGUAUGCGAUGUUGGCAAUAAUUAAUUUUUUAAAAUUAAAAAAAAUGUUAAAAAUAUUUUUUACACUUAUUUAAUAAUUUAUAUAUAUUUUAAAAAAAUUUGAAUUUUAUUUUAAAAAUUAAUUAAUUAUUAAUGUGGCAGUCCAGAAUAUGUCAUGCCAGUAAAGUUAAUAAACACUAACUUUUCGGUCCAUUUUAGAAGUGAUUUGAUAAAUAAAGCCAAAUUUAAAAACUAAAAUGAUUUUUUGGAGGGAGGAAUUAAAAAAAUCAUAUCUAAUUCAAUUUGGUCUUAUGGUUGGUAAUGAAAACAUAAUAGGAAAAUUAUAAUGAAAUCGCAAUAUUAAAAUUCAAACAGUAAUUUUGAAUGGGGAAACAAUUUCAAACACUAAAUCUACCAAUUGAACCACGUAAAUAAGAAGUAGGUGUGGCACUUUAUUGGGUAUUGACUAUUUCCAGGCAGUGGACCAACAAAAUGUAUAAUUCUAUUUACGAAAAGUAAAUGGGUGCAACAAAAACAAUCGUGUGGAAAUAUUCUAUCAUAGAAAAUGACAAAGCCUCCACAAAUUGACCAAACUCUCUUUGCCUCGUUCAAACCAAAGGAAAAAAAACAAUCACAGUUCCAGGCUAGGUCGCAAUUCCAAUACCCAGAUUUUCAUUGGAAAUAAAUAAAUCCCAAAACUGACACGUGCUUCAUUCACUUUUAUUGCAAAACAUCACAACAAUCCACCAUGUUGUUGGUUUUAUAAGCAAAUUUUUGUGCUUCUAAACUCUCUUCAUUCUGAGGUUACUGAGACAGAAGCAUGGGGAGGAAAUUGGAUGCUUUGCUUGGAAGAAACUUCAAGGCUUCCAAGUUUAAAACUCUGGCCAAGCUUGCUAUUUCUCGGAUCGGUAUCUUGAAGAACCAGCAUCAAGUACGGUGUACCCACGCCCGGUCCGAUGUGAUUGAACUCCUUAACCUCGGUCACCAUGAACAGGCCCUUCUUCGUGUAGAGCAUUUGAUUAGAGAACAGAAUAUGGUGGAUGCAUUUACUAUCAUGGAAACCUACUGUAAUUUGUUGAUAGAGAGGGUCAUGCUGAUUCAAAAGAACAUGUAAGUUUGGUUUGAUAUUUUUCCUCUUGGUUUUAUAUUAAGUUCUCUGAAAUUUGACAUGCUUUCUCGACCAUGUAUAUAGGGAAUGUCCUGAUGAGCUUAAAGAGGCAGCAUCGACCUUGAUGUUUGCAUCAUCAAGGUGUGGUGAAUUCCCUGAGCUUCUUCACAUUCGUGGGGUUUUUUCAUCGACUUUCGGGAAAGAAUUUGUGGUUCGUGCCAUUGAAUUACGCAACAAUUGCAGUGUGAAUCCUAAGGUGAUACAAAAGCUUUCAACACUGCGGCCAAGCUUAGAAAGCAAGUUAAAAUUGCUCAAGGAGAUUGCUACUAAAAAGGGUAUCACCUUGAAUUUGGAGGAAAUGGCUGUAGAGGUGAGGAACUUAACUGAGUCAGCCAACGAUUUGCCUGUAGGAAAAGACAUGGAUGAAAGCUUAAGUGAGUCAAUGAAAGCAAGGAAAAAGUACAAAGAUGUGGCAGAUGCUGCUCAAGAGGCUUUCGUAUCAGCAGCUUAUGCAGCAGCAGCAGCACGAGCAGCUGUGGAGCUCUCAAGAAUUGAACCCCAAGACUUUGAUUCUCCAAAUAAUGCCAUGGCCCGAAGCGAAGACCUGGAGCUGAAUGAAACGGAAGAGACUAGACAAAGUUUAUCCAGAGAAAGGACAGUUUCUAGUUCAAGUUCAGAUUCGGAUGCAGACCUUUCAGGUGAGGAAAGUGAUGGGGAGAAGGCAAAAGAGGAGCCACACACACAGCCCCAUGAGUUGAGCUAUGAGAUUACCCAAAGUGAUGAAGUCAAUGAGGAUGAAAGCAAGUUGGGAUAUCAAUCUUCAAAGCUGAAGAACACUGAAAGCUUUGAAGAGCAUUUGAAUUCACGUAAGAACAAAAAAUGGGUGUCGAUGAGGACUAGAAGAGAUUAGACCAUGGGAUCUGAUUUUUAUUUAUUUUAAUUUGUUAGUGAAAUUUUGUUUGUUGCUUUAUCUCAUCAUCAUCAUCAUUAUUAUUAUUAUUAUUAUUAUUAUUUGGUUAAUAUAUUUAUUUUUUCCUAAUACACACAGCUGGACCUGAUGAGAUUCUUUUAUUUGAUUUUUACAACAUUUCUCAAUUUAGGCUCCAUUUGUUUUAUUGAAAAUGGUUUUUGAAAAAUGAUUUUUAAAAAAUGACUUACUUUUCUGGAAAAACUAAUAUUUUCUGGUGUUAGAUGAAUUGUGUAAAAUAUUUUUGGUUGUUUGACAGAUUUCUUGAAAAUAUUUCAUAAAAGUUGUUUUCAAUGAAACAAACAUACAUUUGAGAUUUUACUAUCUUUUCAUUGAUUAGUUGAGUUUAUUUCAUAAAUCUUAUUAUAUUUUAAUUAAUCAUGUUUUAGUUUUAAUUAAUCUUAAUUUACUUAAUUAAGCUUAAUCAUUAAUUUCGUACAUUUGGGAAUAUAAAGUUAUAGAUAUAAAUUUAUGAUUAAUUAAGUUGAAAGUGAUAAAUAUUUAUUUCGAAUAUUAUUUGGAAGAGUAACUUGAAAAAUGAUUUAAUUUGAUGAAAUUGAAGUAAGGACCAAAUUGUAAAAUUUGUAAAUUUUCAAAUUCUAAGGGUUUGAGUAGUGAAAUCUGAAACAUUGAUGUAGUAACUAAAUUAUAUGAUUAUGAAAUAUGAAAAUUUGGAAAGUUAAGCAUAAAAUAGUAAAUUUGAAACUAUAGGGGUUAAAUUGUAAAGAUUUCAAAACUUGAGUUUUAGGACUAAUUUACAUUAUUUGAGAAUUUAAAAUUCUGAAAAAUAGAUUAUGAAAGUUUAUCUUUUCAAAAAUCAAGGACUAAUUUUUGGAAAAUUUAACAAUUUUAGUUGUAAGGACUAAAUUAUAAAAUUUGGAAAUUUUAGAAAACGGACUAUUUUGUAAAACUGUACAAAAUGAGGUUUAAGACUGGACUAUAGAAUAAGAAAAUUUUUUUGAGGAAUUAAAUUUUAAAAUAGUAAAAAUUUGGAUUUUAGGGACUAAAUCGUAAAAAAUAUAAAAUUAGAAUAUAAGGGACUGUUUUCUUCGACGGUGAAGCGAGCUUCACCUUUAUUGCUCUAAAAGCUUCUCCUUUUCGUUUCUUUGACAGUGAACAGAGCCUUAUUAGUUUAGAAAAUGUCUUGCGAAAAAAAUUUUGGUAAGACAUUUUUCCUUAAAAAAGCCUUGAUUUUACCUUUUUUGGAGAAUGAUUUCAUUUGGUAAUUUAUUUUCUACCAAACAAACACCCUGAAACAAUGAAAAUAUUUUAUUUUACAUGCAAACAAAUGGACCCCAUUAGUUUUAAACAUGCAUGAUGCUAUUGACAAAUGGAUAGUUGAUACAUGGAGAAUAUAAAAUUAAUUGAAUUAAAAUAAAAAGAAAAUAAUAAUUUAAACUUGGAAAUUAAAAAAAAUGAAAUGAUAUUAGUAAAAUACAUCUUCAUCCCUUUAAAGAAGGUUUCCAAGUUUUACUAAUAUCAUUUCAUUUUUUAUUAUUGACAAAUGGUUAGUUCAAAUAUGGUAUUUUGGUAUAUGAUAGUUUAAAGUUUUGUAGCUUAUCAUAAUGCUUGGUAUGUGCUUAGCUUCAUAUUUUAUAACUUUAGAAGUUUGAAAGUUAGUUCAAAUAUGGUAAGUGUGAUAUGAAUAAAAGUAUUGAAUGUGUGAUGUGUUGUUGAUGUAUUUGAACAUAUAAAAUGUGGUACCAAUGAGGGUAUAUUGGUUAGGCAUAUUAGGUGAUGAAUUUGGUAUAUUUUGGGCAUGUUCAAUCGUGUUUUGAAUAGGUUAAAUUAUUGGUAAUUGAGUUACUUUGUGUCCAAGUAAAUAGGAAAUGAUAAACUUGAGUUUUAAGGUACUUUUGGGUGCACAUGGCCUGGCCACACGGGAGUGUGUCACACACGGGGAACACACAUGGGCGUGUGACCCAAGUCAAAGAGUUACACGGCUUGGCCACACAGGUGUGUGACCCUUUAAAUCAAAAUUUUUGUAAUUAUUUCCUAAACUUCUAGAAUUAUUUCAAAUUAGUCCCUGCCAAUUUUAAACUACUUUUAGGGUCCCGUAGACUCAUAAUAGGGGCUUUAAGAGUAACUUUUACUCUUAAUUGGGGUGGAUUAACAAACCUAAAUUAAGUGCAUUCCACUAACAUUAUCAUAUAUAAAUUAAAAAGAUAAUUUUAGACAGAGUAUGGACUAAUACUCUGAUGCUAAUAAUUGGAAUAGUCUUGUAUAUAUCCAAAUUUUGACAUUCUAGAAGGGAUAAAUAGUGAUAAGAGUGUAGACAGUGGAAGACUAAGUUUAGCAAUGUAUAAAUAGUGAUAAGAGUGCAGACAGUGGAAGACCAAGUUUAGAAAUGCAUAGCAUAAUUUAUUAUUCGAAUGUAUAAGAAUCUAGCAUGAAAGUGUUAGAUUGUUGUGACCUUCCCUGCCUAUUAUAAUGUUAUUAAUUAGUUUAUAUGUGGAUUAUGAUUGAAUUAAUUGUUUGAUGCGUUAGUAAUGCUUGUGACCCUAAUCUGACGAUGGAGAGGGGUUAGAGGUGUUACAUUUAGUGGUAUCAGAGCUACAAGUUUAGCCGAUUCUUGGACUAAAUCGAGCUCAAAACUGGGUCUAGAGGUACAUGUCAUAGUUGAGUUGAGCUGAGUCAGGAUUUUGAUGCUGAUGAUAAUUGUUUUUGUUUUAUAGUUAAAAGAUGGCAAAUGAAUCAGAUAAUGAAGUGGAACAAGAGUUCUACUCUAGUAUGAGCAUAGUGAUGAUUGUGAGGCAACGGAGUCGGUAACUCUGGAUGUUAACCCAAUCGUCGCUCAACGAUCUAAUGUUGAGCGAAAUGAUAAUGGUGGAGAAGGUGAUUCACAUUUACUUAGAGCUAUCGCCGAUGCACUUCAGCGGGUUACGGGAACUACAUUUACUACAGUGCCUACACCUACCGUUCAACGGGCUCCGAUAAAAGAACUACGGAGAUAUGGUGCGACUGACUUUUUUGGGUUGAAAGGGGUCGAUUCCUCGGAAGUGAAAGUUUGGAUUGAAUCCACUAAAAGCAUUUUAUAACAACUUGAAUGCAACUAGCGCGAAAGUGUAAUUUGUCGAUCUAGUUGGUAUCGCAUUGGAUUACAAGGUUUGUUGAUCUAGUUGAACGGGCAAAGAUGGUAGAACAAGCCUUGGGACUAGAUAAAAAGGCUGAGGUUACUCUCACUUCUAGAAAGCGGUUUGGAGCUGCUAGCUUGCUUCCACAACCAAAAUGAACCAAGGAAUUUUGCGGUGGCUGGAAAUAGACUUUUAAGUCUAAUAGAUCUAAUAGAAAUCGUGAUCGACAACCGACUGUGCCUACGGGUUGUCUGUAAGGUCCGACCAGGGUUGCUGAUAUUUCGAAUUGUGAACAUUAUGGAAAAAAGCAUCGUGGUGAAUGUUGGAAGCUAACUCGAGCUUGUUUUGGCUGUAGAUCUAUGGAGCAUUUUGCUCGAGAGUGUCCAAAGAAUGAAAAUGCUACUCCUAUUUCUUUUUAAAGGUCUGUACCUGUAUCCAGGGGCCGUAGAACACGUCGCAGUGGGUCUUUUGCUAGAGGUGAUGCUAGAAAAGGAAGUGAUGAUGUUACUCACUACAUAGAGGCCAGAGCGCCAGCACAAGCUUAUGUUGUAGGAACGCGUGAGGACAAUGAUGUGACCGAUGCUGUGGAAGGUAUCUUUUUAUUGUAUCCAGAACCUGUUUAUUCUUUGAUAGUCCUGGGAUCUUCACACUCAUAUGUUAAUGCUAAAUUAGUUAAAUCGUGAAGUUUAACAGCUAAGAUGUCUAAAGUAUCUAUAGUUGUAUCAAGUCCUUUGGGACAGUCUGUAAUAGUGGAUCAGGUGUGUAGGCGAUGUCAGUUGGAAAUACAAAAUAUGACCUUCCCUGUUGAUUUGUUGAUAAUUCCAUUUGGUGAAUUUGAUUUUAUUUUGGGAAUGGAUUGGCUUACUGAGCACGGGGUGAUUUUAGACUGUCGUAAAAAGAAAUUUGUGGUUCAGAGUGAAUAUGGUAACAUAAUUGAAGUGAAUGGUGCUCGAACAAGUGGGUCAACUCGUACCAUUUCGACAAUUCGAGCUAAUAAACUUCUCAAUCUGGGUUGUAAAGAUUUUUUAGCUUAUGUUAUCAACUCAAAUUCUAAUGAUAGUCAGAGCAAUAGGAUCCGUACCAUUUGUGAAAUCUUCGAUGUGUUUCCAGAGGAAUAACCGAGAUUACCACCAGAUCGAGAGGUUGAAUUUACAGUUGAAGUGUUUCCUAGUACAGCUUCAGUGUUAAUGUUCCCUUAUAGUAUGGCACCCACAGAGCUAGAAGAAUUGAAGGUGCAAUUGCAAGAUUUGCUGGAUCACGACUUUAUACGCCCUAGUAUAUCGCCUUGGGGAGCUCCAGUAUUAUUUGUUAAAAAAAAGAUGGCUCGAUGCGACUCUGUAUAGACUAUCAAAAAUUGAAUAAGUUGACGAUUAAGAAUCGAUACCCCCUACCUCGUAUCGAUGACUUGUUUGAUCAACUAAAGGGAGCUUCUGUCUUCUCUAAGAUCGAUUUGAGAUAUGGUUGCUAUCAGUUGAAAGUAAAAGAUAGUGAUGUACCUAAUACGGAAUUUCAUACGCGUUAUGGCCACUAUGAAUUUUGGUGAUGCCUUUUAGGCUGACUAAUGCUCUGGCAGCAUUCAUGGAUCUCAUUAAUUGUAUUUUCCAACCGUAUUUGGAUCAAUUAGUGGUAGUUUUCAUUGAUGACAUCUUAAUCUAUUUGAAAUAUGAAUUCGAGGAUGAGCAACACCUCAGAAUUGUUUUGUAAGUGUUACGAGAGAAACAAUUAUAUGGAAAGCUUAGCAAGUGUGAAUUCUGGUUGCCAGAAGUUGUGUUUUUGGGACAUGUUAUCUCAGUAGAUGGAGUUAGAGUUGACUCGAAAAAAAUUGAAGUCAUUGUUGAAUGGAAAGCACCGAGAAAUGUGUCAGAGGUUCGUAGUUUUCUUGGCUUAGCUGGUUAUUAUAGAAGAUUCAGAAAUGGAUUUUCUAAUAUAGCUUUAUUGAUGACAAAGCUGUUGCAUAAAAAUGUUCAAUUUAUUUGGAGCAAUGAAUGUCAAGAAAGUUUUGAGAAAUUAAAACAAAUGUUGACUAAGGCGUCAGUUUUAACUCUACUUGAAUCGAGAAAAGAUUUUGUGAUCUACAGUAAUGUCUCAUUGAGUGGCCUCGGUUGUGUCCUGAUGCAAGACAGAAAAGUGACCGCAUAUGCGUCUCGUCAACUAAAAAUGCGUGAACAUAACUAUCCGAUGCACGACUUAAAGUUAGCUGCUGUGGUCUUUGCUUUAAAGAUCUAGAGACACUAUCUGUACGGUGAAAAGUGACACAUCUAUACCGAUCACAAGAGUCUUAAAUACCUCCUAACAUAAAAGUAGUUGAAUUUAAGACAACAUCGUUAGGUCAAGCUUCUAAAAGGUUACGAUUUUGUUAUUGAUUACCACCUUAGUAAAGCUAACGUCGUAGGUGACGCGUUGAGCAGAAAGACAAUCAUCGAAUUGUGAGCGAUGUUUGCUCGACUUAGUAUCAAUGAAGAUGGGAGCUUGUUGGCUGAGUUGAAGUUCAAGCCGAUGUUGUUUGAUCAGAUUAAAGUAGCACAGUUAGAUGAUGUCAAGUUAGUGAAGAAAAGAGACAUGGUUCAAAAUGGCUCACUAGAAAGUUUUAGUAUUGAUGAUUGUGAUUGUUUGAGAUUUCAAAAUCGAAUCUGUGUUCUGAAUGUUGUAGAAUAAAAGAGUUGAUACUUUGCGAAGCUCAUGAUAGUCCUUAUACUUUGCAUCUUAGAGGAACAAAAAUGUAUCACAACUUGCGAGAAGUGUAUUGGUGGCCAAGAAUGAGAAAAAAUGCAGUUGAGUUCAUAGCUAAAUGCUUAACUUGUCAACGAGUAAAGGUAGAACAUUAGGUUCCCACAAGAUUACAUUAGCCUAUUUCUAUUCCUGAGUGGAAAUGGGAACGCAUCACGAUGGGUUUUGUAACGAGAUUACCAUUAUCUUCGAGUAAGAAAAAUACUAUUUGGGUUAUUAUUGAUCACCUUACGAAAUCAACUCAUUUUAUUGUAGUCAAGACUGAUUGGUCACUUCAAAAACUUGUUAAAGUGUACAUUUAGGAAAUUGUAAUAUUGCACGGUGUUCCUAUGUCGAUUAUCUCUGAUCGAGAUCCACUAUUCACUUCGAGAUUUUGGAAACAGUUGCAUGAAUCUCUUGGUACGAGACUCAAUUUCCACAUAGCCUUUCACCCGCAGACAGACGAACAAUUUGAAUCAGGUUGGGAACGCUAUUUACCUUUGGUCAAAUUCUUAUACAACAACAGUUUCCAAUCGAGUAUUCAAAUGGCUCCGUACAAAGCCUUAUAUAGUCAUAGGUGUCGAACAGAUAUUUGUUGGAUUUAAUUGUGUGAAAGAAAAUUUUUUGGUCGUGAAUUAAUUUAAGAAACGGAAGACAUUGUUAAGAUAAUCUGAGAUAGAUUGAGAACAACUUUUGAUAGACAAAAAUCAUACACAGACUUGAAACGUAGAGAUAUUGAGUUUGCUAUUGGUGAAAAGGUGUUUCUAAAAGUGUUACCCUGGAAGAAAGUUCUGCGAUUUGGCAGAAAAGGGAAGUUGAGUCCUCGUUUUAUUGGACCGUAUGAGAUUACUAAAAGAGUGGGACCAAUUGCGUAUCGGUUAGCUUUGCCUGCGGAAUUACAGAAAAUGCACGACGUUUUCCAUGUGUCAAUGCUUAGAAGGUAUUGAUUGGAUCCGUUUCAUUUUAUUUCAAUGGAAGAAAUUGAAAUUCAGCCCGACUUUUCUUAUGAAGAAGAACUGGUUGAAAUUUUAGUUCACGAGGUGAAAGAAUUGCGUAAUAAAUGUGUUCCAUUAGUAAAAUUUCUAUGGCGUAGCCGUAGUGUUGAGAAAGCGACUUGGGAACCCGAAGAGACGAUGAGAUCUGAAUAUCCGCACCUCUUUUCAGGUAAAUUUUGGGGAUGAAAUUUAAUUAGUGGGGGAGAAUUGUAACAACCCGAUAGUCAGGGGUAUCGAAAAACGUAUUUUUGGGACUCUAUUUUAGUAAACCAGGCUCAUAUAAGUCAGGUUUAGGAAAAUAGAGUCCCAAAAAUACGUUUUUUGACACCCUUGACUAUCGGGUCGUUACAGCAACUAUCUGACACAUGAUUUAGAGCUAGCCACUGUAAUUUUUGCUCUAAAACUUUAGAGACAUUAUUUAUAUGGUGAGAAGUGUCAUAUUUAUACCGAUCACAAAAGUUUUAAAUACGUCCUAACCCAAAAGAAGUUGAAUUUAAGACAACGUUGUUGGAUUGAACUCUUAAAAGAUUACGGCUAUGUCAAUUAAUAUCAUCUCAGGAAAGCUAAAGUCAUAGCUGAUGCAUUGAACAGGAAAACAACAGUUGCUGCGGACGAUUUUCACUCAACUCAGUAUUAGCAAUGAUAAUUGUUUAUUAGCCGAAUUGAAAAUCAAGUCGAUGUUGUUUAAACAAAUCAGAGAUGCACAACUUGUCGAUACCAAGUUGUCUGAGAAAAAGAAGUUAGUUUAGUGAGACAUAGUGGAGAAUUUCAUUAUUGAUGAUAGGGAAUUCUUACAAUUUCGUAAAUGAAUUUGUGUUCCAAACAUUACUGAAUUAAAAGAGAUGAUUCAUCAUGAAGCUCACGAUAGCCCUUUAACUUUACAUCUUGGUGGUGUGAAAAUAUAUCGUGAUUUGUGAGAGACGUACUGGUGGCUCAGUAUGAAAUGAGAGCUUGUUGAAUUUGUCACUAAGUGCUUGACUUGUCAAUGAGUUAAAGCUAAACAUCAAGUGCCAAAGGGAUUAUUUUAAAUGGAAAUGAGAGCUAUAACGAUGAAUUUCAUGACAGGGUUACCGACUUCACCAAGCAAGAAAAAUUCAAUUUGGGUUAUUAUUGGUUAGUUAACAAAGUCCACGCAAUUCAUAGUCGUGAGAAUGGAUUGGUCUCUACCAAAGUUAGCUGAAAUUACAUUCAGGAGAUAGUUAGAUUGCAUAGUAUGCUUGUGUUGAUUAUAUCUAAUUGAGAUCCCAGUUUCACCUUAAUAUCCCAGAAAUAGUUGCAUGAGUCUUUAGGUACAAAACUAAAUUUUAGCACUGCUUUUCACCUUCAGACGGAUAGACAAUCGAAAUCAGUUAUUUAGAUUGUGGAAGAGAUGCUUCGAGCCUGCAUAAUUAAAGUUAUUGGGUCAAAUUGCCAGUUGAGGAUUCAAAUUGCUACGUAUGUAGCAUUAUAUGGUAGGAGGUGUAGAAUGUCUGUUUUUUUUUCAAAAUUGAAUGAAAUUAAAGUUAUUGGGUCAGAAUUGAUUCAGGAAACUGAAGAUAUGGUUAGACUGAUCAGGGAUCAUUUGAAAGUAGUUUUAGGCAGAAAUCAUAUAGAAAUUUGAAAUUUCGAGAUAUCAAAUAUUCUGUGGGCGAUAAAGUAUUUCUAAAGCUUUCCUCGUGGAAAAAUUUAUCAUGGUUUGGCAGGAAAGGAAAGUUGAGCCCCAAGUUCAUCAAACCUUAUGAAAUUGUCGAAAGGGUUGGACCAAUGGCAUAUCGAUUAGUGUUACCAGCGGAAUUACAUAAAAUCCACGAUGUAUUUCAUGUUUUGAUGCUGAAGAAAAUUGCUCAGAUCUGUCUCAUGUUAUUUCAAUUAAAGAAAUUGAGAUUCAACUUGAUUUAUCCUAUGAGGAAUGUCAUACCCCUAUCCCCAAUAGUUGACUGAGGCGUUACACAGAAAGCAGACGUUUAUUUUGUUCGAUCAUAAUUUAGUCUCAACGUAUAACAAAUUGAAUUGGGGUGUUAACUCAGAAAAUUUUUAAAAGAACAAGUAAUCAAAUCGAUAUACGCCAUAAUAUAAACUUGAUUAGGUUUAAAUCUUUCGGCGGAAGUCUUUCCUUUAAAAAUACAACACUGGCAAUAAAAUAAAGUAUAAAGUAAUUUGGCACAUACAAGUAGAAAUCACUUCACAUGCCAUAAUGUAUAAAACUUUAAAUAAUCCCUCAAGGGUAACAUUCCUUUAAAACAUUAAUUAAAUAAAGAAGUAUUAUUACUAGAGAUCCAAUUACAAAAUAGAACUACACGCCACCCCCAAAAGAACAUAUGCAUGUCACAAAACAAACACAAGCAAAGCUCACAACAAAGGUCGCUCUCUCUGGCUGAGUCCCUUCAACAAGCUCUACAAAGAAUUUCCACCUGGGAAAGUGGAAAUAACAAAGGUAAGUUCAAAAGAAUUUAGAGAGUUCCAUAGUAGCAAAACUCAACCCUUUCUAGAGAAUUUACAAAAGCAAGAAUAAUAAUAAAAUUGCAUAUACAUACACAUAAACUAAUGCGUCAACUAAUACGUCAAUACUCUACAUGCAGAGACAUUUAGGCAUAUAUUCUCAUGCUAAUGGCGGAUACUUAACCAUGGCGGAUAGCAUUUCCAGGUGGACUCUAUCACCGAGCGUAUCUUUUCUUCAUUAAAUCCAUAGAGAACUUUUACUUUGACAAAACUGACACUUUUCCCAUGGAACAUAAUCUCUACUAACACUAACUUUUACAUAAAAAACGUACCAUUAGAUUGAUUUUUACCUGCUUCCUAAACUCACAUUCACUAGGGCAAAUUUAAUACGCCAAUUAAAACACUUAAUGAGUACACUACGUGCUCAACAUAACAAAAAAGGAUAAAUACAUGAUUUACCAUUUAACAUUCAAUAUUAUCAAAAAAAUCUUAUUUAUAAAUAUACAUGGCAUGCAACACAUCAAGAAUCAUAUUUUCUUACUUUUUUCUUGUCCUUCCUUUGGCUAAACCUCGAAUCCCAUAAACACACAUCAGAACAGAUAUCACAAUUCUUAUUAUUUUGAAUACAUGGUGUUCCCAUGAGUUCAGGGCUCUUUGCAUUGGUUAACAACUAACAUGUCUUGCCAAUGGCAGCAAUCAUAUCACUAGGCUAGUUAACAGCUAGCAUGCCCUACCAGAAACCUAGCAGUCACACCAAUCUGGUUAGUAACUUUCAUACCCUACCAGUGGCCCAUCUUAUUUUUUGAUAUGGUUCCAACACAUCUGUCUUUCUGGUUAGCAACUAACAUGCCCUUCUAGUGGCCCAUAAUAUUUGGAUGCAGAGUUUAAAACCUAAGGAACUCUCGUCUAUAUCAUGUCAUAUACAUGCACACAUAGAUGAUUACAUGCAGCAGAUUUCCAACGUUCCAUGAAAAUAGCCUCACCUGAAAUCUAAUUGUAACAACCAUAAAUUAAUGAUAUACUAAAAAAUAAAAGGAAACUCAGAGAAGAUUAAUAUAGACUGGAUACUCACAAAAUAACUUCAACGGAGUUGGUUACACCAAGACCUUCACUACACUCUACAACCUCCUUAUAAAUCGAGUACUUGGUGGUCUUUCUUUAACGAAGAACUCUUUCUUCAACAGGUUACUAAAGGAAAACAAAACAAAAGAAAAGGAGAAAAGAACCCCUAUUACAAAAGCCUUACUAAUAUUUAUAGCUCACGGUUCUCACAAUGACUUAUACGUGACUAACAUUUACUGUUGGCUCACCACUUUACUGUGGCCAACAUAAUCAUUUCAAAUUCUACCAUAAAUAUUCAUCUCAUUUUAGUUAAUUUAUAACUAUAUCAAAACAAGAAUUCAACUAAAACUGAACAGUAUACACACAUGUGAUCAAAAUUCCUCGACCGCUGCAAACACUGUGAGCCACCAUUUAUUAGUAUUUUCCAACAUAUCUACCAAUUAGAGGUCAUCACUUAAGAGGUCUCAGUUGGAAUGGUCCAUUUCUACACACACAAAGGCCACGAAUCCAUUAUUUAGAGUUCUUCUUCAAUUAUCCACUUCGAACACCAAAAAUUUAUACGGGUAAGAAGGAAAAUUGAUGGCGGAUUCGGGUUUCCCCUAAGGUGGUCCAUAUUCAAGAGUCCAAUUAUCUCCAGCGGCAAGUAUUCAGUUCUGAUAUCUCCAGAGCACAAUAUGACCGAUUAAUGUAUGGAUAUCCUCUUAAGUUGGAAAAACUUCUAACAAUAAAGAACAUCUUUCGUUACUGUUUAAAAGGGCAAACCCCAAUGGCUUUAGAACAGCAAAUUUGGUGUUGAGCGUGAAUCCUCAAAGAGUAAAAUAUGCCAAUGAAGCAUGGCCUUAUGGAGCCACCGAUGAAUUGGUCCAAUAUUUAGUGAGGAGAAGAAGGGAGCCCACUAACUUCCUUUACAUAGCUGUAAUAUACCUCUUCAACGUCUGUCUGCCCUAACACCUGGUUUUCGGGGUAACUCACCCGUUAGAACCUUUGGUGAUAUUGUUGCUGACUUUUCUAUUCCUACUGCAAGUUCUCCCACUUCCCUUAAUUCUUCCUGUAGUCCACCAAACAUAGAUGUGGAGGCCCUUAUGGAAAGUACGCAAGAGGCUAUAGAGGCGAAUUAUGUUAUGGUGCAGUUGGGUAAUAGUAGUCGCAAGAGGUAGAGGUUGGAAAGAGGGUCCUCUAGUGCCGGACAAAAUAGGAAGAAUAGAUUGGCCCGUCAUAAGCCUGCUAAGGAACCCUUAGUCUGGAGAGGGAGCCUUUUGUCCCUCCCCAAGCCAUCACUGGACAUCCCACCAAACCUGCCAAUAUUACAUACUCUCCUUCACACAUUUUGGUGUCUCUCCUCGUGGUUUCAAUCUUGGACGCUACUCAUUCUAUCUCGCAUACAUCCCCAAUUGGCAGUCUCUACUACACUCCUCAUUUUGAUGAGGUACAAACCUUCUUCUCAUGGAGAAAACACAUCAGUGCGGGAUAAUAUCCAUUUUCCCCUUUUAUUAUCCAACAGAAACAAGACAAGGAUUUGCCCCCAGAACUCAAAGAAUUCACCUACCCUUAUUAUUCUUCUAGGGAUAUUCAUAAACCUACCCUUUUCGAUAUCGUGGGUUCUUUUUCCAUGACGGCUGCAGAGUGGGGACUUAUGAGUUUGGCUCUCCAACAAGCUUGUGAUGAGAUCGAGGCUAGGCGAACAAAAUCUGAAAGGAUCAUUAUUUAUUUGGUGAACAAUCACUUGCCUAGCUUCGCCAAUCAUAUGAUGUCAUAUUUCGCCAAAAUCAUGAUCUCACAUAGUCUGUCUCCUCUUGGGAUACAAAGUACAAAGCUUUUACGGCCUGAAAAAAAGAGUUAAAAGAAAGGGUCCGUCAACUGGAAGCCCUUCAGAAAUAACACCUUGUAGAAAAAAAAGCAAAUACAAAUAGAGAAUAAUGAGGCUCUGAAGAAGUUUAAGGGACAUACUAAUGCGAGCAUUAAGGCAUAUUUGCCUAGCGUAAGGUCCAACUUGAUGUUGCAUACUUAAGGUGCGGAGGGUCCCUUCGAUCUGCACUACUUGAAAUCCAAAUGCAUGCAACAUCUCACCAAUACUAACCUUGGCUUCGAAGUCCUAAAUCCCAAAGGGGCUAAAUGAGAGGAAUUCAAAAAGAAAUGAAGGGAAUCCAACAAACACUUCUACGAUCAGGAUUCAGAUAUGACCAACUCUGAUUUUUCGGGAGUUACUGACCUAGAGGAUGAAAGCCCAAUAGAUGCUACCACUUCUCUAACCCAAGGGGAAUAUUAGAAUUUCUCUUGUUGUACAUCUAUAUUUUCUCUCAUCUCUUUUUGCUAUGUUAUGCCCAAAACCAGCUUAUAACAAUCUGCACAAAUGCAUCCAAUUCCAUAACACAUUAACCCUAUGAUAACUUAAGGGACUAAGUCAAAUUUAAGGUAUCAAGCAUAUAAGGCCUAUUCCCUAACUUUCUAUGUCCAAAAGAUCGACUAAAUCGAAGCUCUGAUACAACUAAAUUAUAACACCCUAUACUCGAUCCGAUCAUCGGGUCCAGGUACCAAGUGUCACAAUUAACCCGAAUAACUUAACAAAGUUUCUAACCUGAUUUACUUUCUGACUUAGACAAUUCCAAGUUAUACAUACAUUGCUACUAUUCAAUCUUACUCAUUUUCAAGAAUAACGUCAAUUUCCAAAAUUUAAACUCCUAUUAUAUUCCUUAUCAUACAAGCAUUAAGUUCUUAUAAUCAUUCUGUCUUAUUAAACAUGAAUAAUUAUUUACAAAUUUUAACUUGAGACUUUACUAUAGAUACACUAAAUUAAUCCCUAAGGCAUGACCUCUAGGGGUGCCCCUCUAAAUGCAUGAUACAGUUAUAGCACUGUUUGCACGAGCCUGGCAGUGUUUGGCUUGGUUCCUCCAUGUGAAUCUUAAACCAAUCCUUAAACAUGCAUACAAGGAAAGACAAUCAUAAGUUUGGAUGAACCUAGUGAAAUUCUAUACGAAAGAAAUCAAAGACCUUGAAUUUUCGAGGAAAUAAUAAUAAAAGCACAAAAUUUAAACUCCUUGAGUAUCGUAGGGGAUUCCGUAAUUUCACUAGUGUAGUUGAUGCUUUGUUUCCCCUAAGCUAACUAUUGGCAGACAUAUUCCUUAUUUUAGUCAUAAGUGUGCUCUUCCAAAUAACAAUUCCUUCUGAGGUUUAACCCUGUCCAGCUUCAUCUCAGACUUCCAUUUUAUCAUUCUCGAUUGACUCCUUAAAGAUAUCCAUAUACACGGAUAUACAAAUUAUUGACUACUACUAGAGGACUUGCAAUUAUCUUCGCCACGACGGUGGAUCCUUACCUUGAUCUACUCAUCCCACACUGAACUCAAGACAUUACCCUGGCCAAUAUCUUUCUUUGACUUAGCCUUUGCAUAAACCCUUCCUUAAGGAAGACCCAAUCUAGCAUAUUCGUUUGCAGUUUUAAUUUUCAGUUUUGAUUGAUUGAUAUCACCCCUCUUUCCCUAUGUUUUUGUAAUAACUUUAAUUUAUAUAGACUUUUUCAACACAUUUUUACUAGUAAUUCAUGCAAAUAACGAAUUUUGUAAUUUUAUUACAAAAUACUUAAAAAAAUUAAAGGCAAAUUUAUAUUUUUUUGUUAUUUACAUGCUAAUUUGACAUUUUUUUCCUAUUUAACACAAUUUUGUGCAAUAGGAGGAAAACUGGCCUCGAAGCUCACCUAUUCAAUAUUCGAUAACGUAGUAGUUUUCUGUAGCAAAAGUCAGGCAAAGGAGGGCUGAUAAUUAAUCAGUUAUGGACUUCCAAAAUUAAUUAGAAUUAUGGAUAAUGGACAAACUUGACCUAGCUAGGAAAUUGGAUCAGUGAAGUAGUCAAGCCUACUGCUCAAUGUUGAAGCCAAACCUUCCAAUUAAGGAGGAAAGAGCUCAAAUUUAGCUACAAACAGCCCAUCCGUCCAUUUAAUAUUUAAUUUAGAGUCCUUAAACUUGUAAAAAAAAUUACAAAACAACCUCAACAACUUUAUUAAGUGACCGUUCAACUCCCUCCUUAAAGAAUGCCUUGGACUAGAUAUUUUUAGCAAAGGCAUCUUUCCCAUUCCUUUUCUCAAGGUAGUCAGCCAUAGGAAGGGGGAUCAGUGUGCUACUUUUAGCAAAUACAAGUUUCCCCUACUAGCAUAAAUACUACCUCCUCACUCUCUCAUUCCAUCAUCCCUCAUUCAUCAAUCUUUCUCUUUUUUUCUUUCCUCUCUCAUUUUCCCAUUCUUCAAGUAAGUGGUGCAAGGAUUUAAGAGGAGCUCAUUCGACCAUUGGAGGAGCAUUUUUGCUUGAUUGCUAUGGCAAGGAGUUGAGCUCAAAGGAGGAGGAAGGGUCAAAGAACCACCGAAAAUGGUUUUGCAAUUCUUUUCGUUUCUCUUUUAAUUUCUUAUUGUUCAAUUUAAGAAAUCAUGUUUGCAACUAAAUUUAUUGUUUUUAAUAUAGUUAUGGAUGAUUAAUUCCUUCGGUGUUAAAUAAUUUAAUUUCCAUAGGUUAGGUUAUUUAUGUUGUUAGUGAUGUUAUGUGCCUCGACUAUUUAUGCUUCCAGAUAAAAUUAUGACUAUGUUAUUCAUGCAUUAUAAAUGUGGGAAUGCAACUAAAUUAAUAAUUAAAUCCUAACCGGAUAGUAAUUAUGGACACACUAUCUGAAUGGUGCAUGUUUAAUCUAUAUUCAAGAGAAUUAGGUUAAAGUUUUUAAUAAUUCGAGAGAACCUUAUUAUUUUGCAUAAUCCUAGGAUUCAUGUGAUUAAACUGUUUAGAAAAAUUAUUGUUACCUUACAUUAAUAUGUUUUUCUGCUUAUUAAUUUUACUAAGUUGUUUACCUAGACAUAUGUUAUACUUAAUAAUUUAAUAAGUUGAAUUCUUAGACUAUGUCUGAAAAGGUAACCUUGAAGUUGUAACAAACAUAGACAUAUGUGGAGAAGAGGUUAAACUUCAGACUUCGAGAGAAGCCAAAGUACUCGUAAUUAAAAUAGGAUUAAUAAAUACUGAGUUGCCAUGGAAUUUUCCGUAACAUCAUUAACAGUAUUUAAAUAUUUCUAAGUUAGGAAGGAGAAUUAUUCUGACACAUGCAUGAUAUUGUGAUUUUGCUGAAAGACUUGUGUACUCAUUCCAUCACUUAUUUAAUUUAAUUUUAAGCAUAUUUAGGUUAGUUUAAUUUAAUCAAACCCAUUACUUAAUUUUCAUCACCAACUAAUUUGCUAGUAAUUAAUUUUGCUAUGGAGAUGAUACUUGAUAUACUUAUCACUUUAUUACUGGUCAAUGAUUGUGUACACCUGCACAUCAAUCGAAUCAUCUUAAGACAUCUUGUACUUGCAAGGUAGUCCCAUAAGACUUUUCCACUUUAGACCAUUUUACUAAGAUUCUCCAAUUAACAAAUAGUUCUCGACGAACUAUCUCUUAUUUAGAUUGCCCUUGGCGGACUUCCUCAUUUGGUGGUCCCUGCAAACUUUCCCGUACUAUAUGGUUUUGAAGGACAUUCUCUUUCUUUGUAAAUUUUUGGAGGACUUUAUCGGAUAGACAAUUUCACCGAACAUUCUCUUCAAAGUGGUCCCUUGUGGACUUUCCACCUUUCUAGCAAACUAUUUAUCAAGUGCCACUUAAAAUUCAAAUUCGAUGAACCAUUCCGUAAACACUUAGCCAAUCAUGGUUCUAUUUUGGCGGUGCUUAUUUACAAACACCUCGAAGGAAAUACGUCGCGUUUAAGAUGCUUCUACCAGUUCCUCUUGCCUUCACAUUUCGACGGAUUCCUCUAUUUAGCACACUUACCCGCAUUUUAAGAUGCACCAUGAUCAUCUUAUCAAAAUAAUCGUCACGCGAGUCAUACACUAAUCUCCCCUUUUACGCCCUAACAUGCUUCCUGUCCGUCGUCUUGGAAGACUUUGUUUUUGCCAGGAGAUGUACCUGUUUACCACUGGAUAAUGCCAUGGGUAACCAUGGACUUUUGAUUCCGAAGAAUCAGUAAACCCCUUUUGAGGUGUCGCCUUGUAAGACCUGUAUACUGUUUACACGAUGUCACCCCGAAGGACAUAUACCUGAGGGACCAACAAAUAUUUUUUCCAUGAUGCCACCCAACUAACUUGAAUCCCAUAAUAAUCUGCUUCUUCCUCCAUUUUGCCAAUUUUCUAUCUUCACUACCCUGUGAAAAUAACUUCCUCCAAACUUUGCAUUUUAUCAAUAAAUGUUUACUCACGCAUGACAUUCCAAAUACUAUUGUAACAAUAAGUACACCAUACUUCAACACAUCAAUACUUGGAAAUCUUUAAGAAUUCAUACAACCUUUAACACCUAUGACAUGUUGGUUCACCGUGAUCUAUACAACCAUAGGUUUCAAAUAGUUCUUAGAGCAUAUAUAGACACAUACCACACAAGUAGCACACAUCCAUCAAUCACCUAGGAGUAGAGUUCAGAAGCUUACCUUAAACCCUUUAUCCUAACCAACUUAGUUGGUCCAAACACUAGAGCCUCUUUCAUCCUGUCAGCUAAGCAUGACAACCAUUCACCAAUUAAACUAAAGGUAUUUAACUUAAAACCCAAAAAUCUUGUACUUUAUAGGAACUUUUCAACGAUUUUAGAAAUCCUCAUCUUUCCAAAAAUUCACAAAUACAACAAGAUAGAAAAGCUUACCUGUUUAUCGAAUUCUCUACUCCCUUGUCUCAAACCUCACGAUCAUUGCCUCAUUCAGCGUUUUCCUCAACUUUGUCUUCUUCAGAACAACCGAAAGUGUAAAAGAAAAGGAAACAAAACAAAAAUCAGGAGAAUUCUGUUAUCAAAUUAAUCCUCUUCACACACAUAUAUAUAACCCUAUCUUGCACCUUAAUCAAAAUUGUACAUUUUUUUAUUUCUCUAGGAUAAACAUUUUGACUAAGCAAUCUUCUCCGCUAUCUUCAACCUUAUGUUUAUCGAGUGUGGGCUUGCUUCGAAUCAGAAAAUUUUCCACAAAAAUUACCAAUGAGGUAAUUUCGCGAUUUCUAUAAACUUUUCGGUGAAGUUGAAAAUAAGAAAAUAUAUUUAGAAGAAAUUAUUUCUUUAGAGAAUUUUCUCUCUACAACUUUCUCUUGAUUUCAAUUGUGUGUAAAUAAUGACCUAAGGCUCUCUUUAUAUAGGGAGAGCUUAGAGAGUUUAACUGUGAUUAAACUUAAUUACUUUAAUAUUAAAUUAAUAAAGUACUAUUAAGAUAAGUAUUAAAUUAAAUUUAAUAUUAAAUCUAUUAAAAUAAUAUUAUUUUUGAAAUAGAUAAUCUGAAAUCAAAUCCUCUGGUAAAGUCCUAGUAGGAUUGUAAUUCUUCCACUGCUCAACCAUCGAAAACUCACUCUUGUCGACCACUCUUUGGCCAUCGAAAUGUUGUCGUCAUAGUCGUCGAUACCCCGAGCUGGUUCGAUUUAUGCCGGUUUGAUCUGGGCCAGUGAUGAAUCAACCGGUUCGAUCCAACCAUCGGUUGGACCGUCGGCCUGGUUCGAAUAAUUUUUGGGUAUUGGUCUCAGUUUUGGGCCCUAAGCCUCAAUUUACGAUCUUAGAUCUAAUUUUCAAGUUCAAUUACCCAUUUGGCCAAUUAUCUAACUUGAAAAUUAAUUUCCAAAAAUAUCAUAUUAAUUUUAAUUAAUUUGAUUAAUUUAAUUUUACUUGAUCAAAUAUAAUUUUUCCAAAAAUCACUAAGAUUUUCCAAAUUAAUUUUUCAAGAAAAUUCUUUAAUCAAAUUCUAUAAUUGAACAAUUCUUACAACCGCCCAAUUUAAUUCCACAUCGAAUAAAUCGACUUCAUUAAAAUAUUUCCAAAGUCGUAGAAUUUUUUUCUAAUUCAAAAUUAGUCCAAUUGAGCUUUUGCUGAGCUAGCAGAUGGACCAAUCAGACAUAUACAAUUAGACUCUAGUAAUUGCAAUUAUGUCCAAAAGCAUCGUUCCAAUAAUUCACAGUUACCUAAUCAUGGAUUCAGUCCACAAGAAAUAUCAUGAUUGAAAAAUCUUUAUUGUAUACACUUUACGAAAGCAAUUCAUCCAACUGCUUUGUGCAAUGACCUCGUCAUGUGUGUGUUACCCUCAUAUGAUAUCCUUGAUUCAUUUAAGUUAAAUUCGUUCACUCAAUACAAUUAUAUUUUAUCUCAAUGCCACCAUUGUGUCUCCUUCAUGAUUAAUAUGAUCAGUAGCAAUAAAUGACUGUGAUAAAUUGCUCAUUCCAGAAUAAGCAACUUGUGGCCACGUUCCAUAUUUAUCAAUCCACACAAUUCCAAUGAGAGGAUAUCAUUAACUCUUUAUUUGAGCUAUGAACUCCAUUUUUUCUAGUAAAGUCAUUUCAUACACAAGUCCUAUACCCAACAUACCGGCUAUCGACUCGAUCAUCUUUAGAGCAUUAGCCUCCACUUAUAUCAAAGCACAUGAGUUGCAUACAUAUGGUCAGUGACUAACUCAGGAUUUACAUAAAUCACACCAUGAAUGCCACAAGUGAAUUAAUUUACAAACGGAUUCAGAAUUGAUUCAUCUUGAGUCCAGUCUAAUGUAUCAUUCUACCAAUGAAUACAUCUAUGUCUCUACCCGUGGAGUCAACUGCUCCGAUAAACAAGACUAUUCAUCUCCUCAAUUGGAAUUGCAAACGACAUGAUAAUCCUUCUAGGUAUUUGAAUCAAAUGCUCACUUUAAUUCUUUUACGGGAUUACAGACUCGUUUAGGUUAUCUACUAAAGUAAGUUGUGUUUCUCGCAAUGUAAACGUUCUUACAAUGCCACUUAUCAUCAGUUUUAAUUUAGACAAUCAAUAAGCUAAUAUUUUUUUGUCACAAUUUUGCUAUGCAUGAAAAAUGUGAAAGACAGAAAUACAAAGACAUAAUAGUGAAAUGUGAAAUUUAUUUAUUCAUCGUUCAAAUACAUAAAAAACAAUUACAUGUUUACUACAAUAUGGGCACAUUUGUCAACAACACAGUCUCCACAGCUCAAAAUAACCGUCCAUUGCUAAUCAUCUUGUCCCCCACUAAGGAACUAGACAGUUCCAUUCCAACUAGACCAGGAUUGAGACUCAGCUAUUCACUAAUCAGCCACACAAUUUACCAAGUUUUCCAGUAGAUCCUGCCAACUUACCAUCUUAUUCAACUAAUUCCCAACUCUCUUUUAAAUUCGAGAUAUUAGUAAAAAUCGAGUGUGAUACUAUAAUUAAGAAAUGUUAGUAUGUUUAAAUGGUUUAAUUUUAAUGUUUUCGUCGAUAGUUGUCAGGCAAUGAUUCUAGCAUCUCGUAACUCAGAUCCGAUAGUUGGUUUGGGCGAGGGGUGUUAUAUUUUGUUAACUCGAGGUCGGAUUAGGACCAAAUUGUAAAAUUUUCAAAAUGUUGGGUUGACAUCGUGACUACGGGAGCUCCUCAUCGUGAUGCAACAUACUGUCUUGGCUCGUCGUAAUGCUGAGAGUACGUCGUCGUGACUUGACUCUCUGUCUUGCCCUUGUCGUGACAUUGAGAAACCUAUGUCACAACGUAACCCUAGUUUUUCCACAAGUUAAUUCCAUAUAUUGUCUAACAAGCAUAUAUAUCAUAUAUGAAUUCCUUUAAGGCUUCAAUUGGUCAUUUGCCUUAAUUUCAACAUGUUAACAACCAUUUACGAAAACCUCAACACCCCUACGAUGGAAAAUUCAUAACCAUUUAUAAUAUCGAUUCUCAACAUGAUCAUUUGAAACAUUUGAAACAAGUAAAACCUUGGUACAUGCCAUCUUACCAAAACGGGAUAAGCCAUACAAAUUUAGUUGAAUUGAAAAUAGCGGUCUAGAUGCUGACUUCACUUUUUCAGGGCUUCGAGAUUACCUGUAGCUGUGCAAAAAAUAAACAAACCAUAUGUUGAGUGAUAAAACUUAAUGGUACUUUCAUGAUUCAGUAUAACAUCAACAUUUACAAUGAUCAUGCAUAACACCAUUACACAAUUUAGCCAAGUUAUAAUAUACCAACCUAAAAAUAUCACAUCUUAGAUAUGAAGGAGUACAUGAGUAUGGCAAACAACUAAUGCAUUUGUCAAUAUUUGCAAGGAAAAUAAUCUAUACAUACCAUUUGACAAUUACCAUUUUUCAUACCUUAUUAGCUAACACUAUCAAACAUAUAUCACAUAUCUAUAUACUAUUAACAUUAUAGUAUUCAUGUUUAAUGGCUUACAUAUUAUUUAUCUUAUUAUCAUACCAUCCAAACACAUUUUUGGAGUCUAUUGACUCAUUUAUAUUUAUUUCGGUAUCAUAUUCUAUUUUCAAUAUAUUUCUUUACAUAUUCAAUUUUUUCCAAUUCUAUUGGACUCGGGUACAUAGGUAAACUACAUACUAGAAGCUCUUAGGAGCUUAAACUACAACACACCAAGGCACCAAAGUACAAAGCCCGAAGGCAUCAAAGCAAAUAAAUAUACUAAUACAUCCCUCCACCACACCAUAUUAUACUCAAUGAUCCAUAACAAAUGCUAGAUCCUGGUAUAACUUGUAAUGAUCUCCGUACAAACACAUAUCUCAUACACAUUCAUAUACAACCCUAUUGCCAUGUCAAUUGUAUCCUAACCUUUUACUAAGUUCACAUGGGCAUAAAUUACAUAUAUAAAUUUUUCCAUACCUGUAAUCAUCUUACUCCGAUAUUCAUACCCUUUAUUCGGUCACAUAUGCAUUUUGUACCCUAUAUAUUGUUCUAUCGCAUAAUAAUUAUUUUUCAAUUUAGUACAAUAUUGUUAUCUCGGUCAAAUUCACAAUCACAACCUAUGACACCCCAAACCCAACCGAGAUGGACCGACCCAAAUUUGAAGCAUAUCCACCUAAGUGACUCUCUGGCUAACGACCACCCAAGACACCCCUCGACCUUAUAACACCUCAACCAUAUCUAAUUAUUAAUUAUUUAUUAAUGCAAAAGCAAAUUAUGAGCCAAUUUUAAAAUUUUACUAAGUAAUUUAACCUAAGGGCAUUUUCAUCAUUUUAACACCUAUGGUAAAUCUAAUCCAAUUUUUUUACCUAAGUGUUUACCGACCUUCUUUUAGUCAAAUUAUGCAAGCCUAAAAUUUUUAGCUUAAUUUGAGUUCGUUUACUAUAUCUAAUUCAAGUUUUAUUAUUAGGGACUAAAUUGUAACUUAAAUAAAUUAGAAUACAAAUUUAAAGAGACAAUAACUCAACCCCCCAAACCCACACGAUCGUGUCCCCCAGACCGUGUGUCAUUAAACGACCGUGUUCACAUCAUGAAAAAAUUUUAGACCGAUCACACACACCCGUUUGUGAUAGCUCUAGUCUCCAUACGCCUUUGUCACUUACCCACAUGCCGGUGUGCAACCCCUCACAUGCCUGUGUGGAUAGGCAACACCCGCGUGAAAAUCACUGCACCUUAUUUUGUGAAAAAAUCGUUUUAAAACUCGAUUUUGCAUAUUUUAAUGGCCAAUUAAACCCGAUUUAACUAUGAUUAAUUAGCAUACAUAUACAUACACCUUCAAUUGACUUUAUUAACAUCAACCAAGCCUCGAUUAUAUAGAAUUAGUCAAUCAAUUUCAUGCAUAACAAACACCGAAUAAAUCAAACAAGUGGCGUACCUCAGUCGCUAGUAAACCAUUCCAUGGAAGCUUUAUUUAAACAAUUGUUAGUACAAAUUUCAUGCCUCACACACCAUGUUAUCAAUCACCAUAUUAUCAAGAAAUAAUACACCAUAAAUUAUUUAAUCAUUAAACUCAAGCAUGUCUCAAAAUUAUUAUAAAACCAUCCAAAAUAAAAUGUCCAGUGCCUAAAGUCCAAUUACAACCAAAAUUAAACUAAUUCCCCAGAGUUCCACAAUGCCUAAUUACAUUCUCUAAAAAGUGUAAUAAACUCUCUACAAAAUCUACAUAUCUUGGAACUCUCUUACUCGGCUCCUCAACUCCUCAACUCCUCAAACCCGAUGAUUAUCUACACAAAUUGUGAGGGUGUGAGCUUUAAAAAGCUCACUGAAUAUUAAUAAAAGUGACUAGUAUAUCAACAUCCAAAUCAUGCUUAAACCACAUUCAAUCAAUCACCAAUUAUCAGCCAUAAUAAUGAAACAUGCCAAUUUAAUUUCCAUAUGUUUUACCAAUAUCAAGAAUCAAUUAUUCAUGGUUUACAAACAUCGAAAGAUAUAACAAUGAUCACACAUAAAUAUAUUGGCAUACACUUCUAUGGCUUAAUUGGGUGAUCAUACAUCCGAUAAAUAGAUCUCCGAACUCCCACAAAUAUCAAAUACAAUCCACCGAGUUGACUAGGCCAAAGCACACGCUUCCUUAUAAUGCCUCAAAUAACCCAAUGAGUGGAGACUCAUGCUCAACACUCCUUUAUCUACUCCAAACAAAUUAGUCCACCUAGAGCCAUAUGCUCACAAUGUCACAAAUAAAAGUGAGUACUUACAAAUCCUAUGGCAUGCCAACUAUAUCCAAUGGAUCCACCAUGCAUGUUGCCAAUAUAUUCAGUCAAACAUAGCAUAUAAAUUAGUCAUUAUUGUGCUCAAUUUAAUGUGACAAAAUGCUUAUGUGUAACAUGUAACAUAGCCAUUUAACAUCCAAUUAAAUAAAACAUCUCAUUUGUCAUUUUUCAAUGUUCAAUUACCAAUUGUAACACCAAUAUAUCAUAAUCACAAACUUCAGUAACCUUGCUCUAACCAUCAACAUAAUUAGCCUAAUUCAAUUACACAAAACCACCUAAACGCUCACUUACCAUUAUUCAAUAAAAAUUCAACUCUUGUACAUAUAAUAUCAUUCUUGCAAAAAUUAGUCAUUCCACCAUAAUUAAUUAAUUGAAAUAGUUAAUUAAGCUCCUAAUUAAAUAUAAAUGAGGGUCAAUUUACCAAUCGCCUUAGAAACACUCACCACACAAUUUAUUCUACCACAAACAAGUGAUCAACCAAGUGAAUCCAAGCUUCAAUUCCGGUUAACUCGGUCCUCUUCAAGAUUCGGAGCUUUCAACAGAGAUAAAGUAGACAUUACCAUUUUUCCAAUGCUAUAAUAAACAUGAAUUUUAAUUAACUAUACUAAUUGAAAUCCUCUCACAAAGAUACCUUACCGGAUUUGUAACAUCAAGACAAAAACUCAAUUCCUCACAAAAUCGAUCUCUCCAGCCCUCCUAAACACUUUCAAUCAUUAAUACUAGACCAAAUACACUUAUACUACGCGUCAAUUUCAUCUUUAAAUCAAUUUCGCAAAAUUCCAGAAAAUUAGUUCAUAAAGAUGAUGAAAUUCGAAUUUAUUUAAAUUAACUCACAAAUCAUGUUUAAUCUUGAUAAAUAAGAUCAAAAACCUUUUAAUAGAAGCAUCUUGAGUUGGAAAAUCCAUUGAUUUCUGACUUUCCAGUCAAAAUUUAAGAUCCACCAUUAAAGAACCAUGUGUUCUUGGAAAAAGAUAACAUUGAUAAAAAAAACCUUUAAUUGACUCUCAAAUAAUAUAAAAAUGUUUCUAAUCAUCAAAAAUAAUAAUUUAGGGUUGAAAAUUACCUUUGAUUCACUCUAAAUUUGUUGGUUCAAAAUCUUUGAUUCAAAAUAUUUUUGGCUACUUUUGAGAAUAAUUUUGGGUGAAUUGAGAGAGUAUUUUGAGAAGGAAAUUGGUUGGAUGUAUUCUUUGAUGAUAGAUCUUUACAAUCAUGCAAAGAAAACGAAUUUUAAAGCUCUCUAAUCUGAUGUAAAAUAUAUGAAAGGUGGGCUAGAUAUAUUAGUUUUAAAGCUGAAACCACUCACUAGAAAUUUAAAAAUUAGGAAAUUUGCCUAAUACCACUCCUAAAUUUGGUAUCACCACAAAACUCGGCCCAGAAGUUUCGACUAGAUCUCGAAGGUUACAUUGACCACCAAAAUGAUCAUAAAGCAAUUUAAAAAAGAAUUGUUUAAAACUUAUACCGAAUACAAUUUGCUAAAAUCAAACUAAAUCGUUUAACAAUUUAUGUUUUGAAACAACAAUUAAGUGGUGUUAAAAACAAUUAGGAAUAAGACAAUUUAACGUUUCUUGUACAGUUUCAAAAUGCAUCAAUUUUGCCAAUUGUAACUCAAAAUUUUGAAUUAGAAAUUGUGCGAAAAAUAUGUUGUUUUCUCAAAUGUGUACGAACUUUGAAACAAUAGCAGAAAACCUAAUGAAAACCCACGCGCGAAACUUUUGAAAUGUUGUUCAAAACUGAAUCACGUAGUUUAACGAAAAGUUCAAACCUUAACCCAUACCACAAUUUAUAUAAUCGCUUUACAAAUAAUCUUAAAACCAACCGUAUAAAAUUUAUGAUAAUUUUUAUUUAAAUCGAAUCAAACCAUAACUUUUUGAGAUCUCCAGCUGCCAAGUCCAGCUUCAAAACAUGACAAUUACCUAAAAGGAAGAAAACUAAGAGGGGCUGAGCUGCACGAGCUCAGUGUGAGUCUGAAACUAGUAUGAACUCAAAUGAAAAAGGUUACAAAGCUAAAAUCCCAUAAAAGAGUACACCGUUAAUGCUAGAAAUUCCUGAACCAACAGUCAGAAGUACAGAUACAUUCCCAUAAGCCAUUCAAAGUAACUCAUACAUAAAUCCACACACAUGGAAGCACUUACACAUCAAACUAUUGCUCAAAGGUAACUCAAUAUACAAGAUGUAUCCAAAACAUAUAUUAACUAUGCACACUUAUUACGUUAAUCAAAUUGUUGACACACCAACACUUACAAAGACAGACAUAUGACCAGAUGUGUAACAAAUGCAACAAAUCAAAAUGAUCCCAUCCCACUACCCAAACGCCACUCCGACCACCCUGCACGCCACUUAUGGGCUAUAUUAAGCCCAUCCACCCUGCACACCACAUAGGACCAUGAUAGGCCCAUCCACCCUACACACCACAAUAGUAGGUCUCAGCCACACAAAUAGUGAUAUGCAGUUGUGUUGACAUAUAUAUGAAAUAGUGUGAUAAACCGUUGUACAAAAAUAAUGCAGUUAAACUACCAAUUCAGUCUUCCGUCUCUUCAAAACCAAUAUCCCAAAAUUUUAUGCAAAAGUAUGUAUACAAGCAGUUCACUAACAGACUCAUAGAAACAAUGAUUCAUACUCAUUUGGAUAGAUUCAAAGUUAACAAGCUUGUACACAUUAAAAAAUAUGAACAAGAAAAUAUCUCGCAUUAGCACAUUUUCCAAUUAUUCAAACUCGACUCUCACGAAUUCACACACAUACUUAAAUCCAAGUGGUAGCGGAGUCCCAAACGCAAUUACCGAGGCUUAAUCGAAGGUCAGAUUACACAGAAACAUAGAAUGAGUCAGUUACAACACAAAAAAAUUCUACGAAACAGGGCCACACGGUCAUGUGUUCCGACUGUGUGGGAAGCUCUGGGCCAUGUGAAGGUCUACAAACCCGUGUGGAAAGAGACACACGCCCGUGUGAAAGUUACACACGACAGUGUGAUCGAGUUACAUGGUCGUGUGAGUAGCCCAUGUAACUCAUUGUCCAAAAGUGCCAAAUUAAGGAGCAGAGUAGACACAGUCGUGUAGGAAACUCACACGUCUGUGUGGCUAAGGAACACGGUCGUGUGCUCAAGGCACACGUCCGUGUGAAAAUUGAAAAAAAUCCCUAAUAGUAGCCACACGACCAUGUGACACCAAAAAUCAUCAAAAACCCUAAUUUCCCAAUGUCACACGGCCGUAUGGACCUCCCGUGUUUGGCAAACGCCCAUAUGGCCACCCGUGUGGUCACAAAACCAAACUAAGACAGGCUAAAAUCAAGAAUUCUGAUCAUUAAAUUGACCCACAAACAAUAUAGUUCAGAAACACACCUGAUUGACGUUCCCAGAAGCACCAACGAUCGGCUGAAAUAACUCAAAUUAACCAAUUUGAAACACCUGAUUUACAAAAGUACUAAACCUUGAAGAAAAUCGAUCUAACCAAGAACCAAAUUGCAAGAAACCAAUACACAUACUUAUCCAAAUCAACACUUGACAACACGAAGAACCCUUAUGACCAAAAACAAACAAUGCCGACGGUAAAACCCAGAAUUAAUUUGAAGAACAAACAUACAAUGACAAAAAAUCAACCAAAAAUUGAAAGUGGAAAAGAAGAAAAUAAUAAAAAGAAAGAGGAAAACAACGUGUGAGGGAGAAAAGGGAAAAAAACUAAUGUGAGUAGAAAAUAGAACGUGGAAAUUUUUAAGGGAACACUCCUUAUUUUCAAAUUAAAAGUAAAUAAAUAAUUAACCUUUAAAACAAAACUAGACUUAAACCAAAACUAAAAUAACACACAUGAGGACUUAAACCCAAGACCCAAUGAUAGAGUAACACUCAUUCAACCACCACACCAACAAGCUAAUUCUGACAUUAAAUUGUGAAAAUAAACUCAACUGCUCGACGUACUCAUUGACCCUAACUACAAACCUCAAAACUUCUAACCCCAAAUUCCGGGAUGUUACACAUUUCCCUUACUUUAUCAUUUAAUCUUUUCCCUCCAAAAUUUUGAAUUUUAAGGUUUAUUUGCCAUAUAAAAUAUUCUAAAUUUUCCCUUGUUUUACAAUUAAAUCCUAUUUAAUUAUUAUUUAAAUUUUACUCAAAUUACCCCUAAUAAAAAUUAUUUUAAAAUUCUUUUUCAACCUAAAUUUAUUAUUUUCACUCAUAAUUAUUUAAAAUCUUUAAAACUAAUUUUUUGAAAAUAAUUUUUUUGAUUUUUCAAAUUAUUGUUUAACCGAUUUUAGAUGAAAUUAACCUCCUAAAUUAAAUUAAAAAUUGUUAGAAACCUUAUAAAUUCCUAAUGUCACACUCGGAACCCGAAAAAUAUACCCGAAACUACUAGACCCAGUUUAGGGAUAUUACACAACCCCAUUUCAUCAUUAAACACACACAUUGCAUAUUAGAAAAUAUAUUUCAAUAUAAUUUUCACAUCACAUAUCAUAAUUUAAGUAUUUCAUAUCAUUUCCCAUUUUAUCCUUUUUAGUCCUCUACCUCGAUGUUUCAUAUCAAAUUCAAUCAAACAUUUCAAUAUACCCGAAACUACUAGACCCGGUUUAGGAAUAUUACACAACCCCAUUUCAUCAUCAAACACACAUAUUGCAUAUUAGAAAAUAUAUUUCAAUAUAAUUUUCAUAUCACAUAUAUAAUUUAAGUAUUUCAUAUCAUUUCCCAUUUUAUCCAUUUUAGUCCUCUACCUUGAUGUUUCAUAUCAAAUUCAAUCAAACAUUUCAUAUUAUCAUAAUAGAAUCACCUCAAUGAUUCAAAAAUCAAGAAACAUGAAUAUAAAAUCAAACAUUUUUAUCCGGAACCAUAAAAGUACAAAUCGGGGUUUUGCGCGUCACUCAUCGACGAUUUUCGCUUUUCUUUUCCCUCUUGGUUGUUUGGUGUUGUUUUUAGCUAAAAAUAAUCAUAAAAUAUAUCACAUUAUAAACUUUCAGCCAAAUUAGAAUAAAAUACCAGAUUUCACAUUUUUUAAUUUAUUCAAUUUAGUCCCUAAAAUCGAGACAAACAUAACUUUCAAUUUAGGGCUUCAGAUUAAAUUUUGAUUUCACCAAAAUUCAUUAGGAACCCUUUGUUUUCUAUUUCUACCAACAAUCCAUGACAAUUUUGCAUUUUAUUAAAUUUGCUCCCUAAUGUACGAAUCUAACAAUUAAGCUUUACAAUUUAGUCAUUUUUUAUAUACUAAGCUUAAUUUCUAACAAUUUUACACCAAUUUCAUCUAUUCGUAACAAUGGAAAACUUUUAAAAUGUUUAAAAGUUUUACAAAUCGGUCAUGGGCUAGCUAAAUCAAGUUUCCAUGACCUUAAAUCUACAAAAAUUGCAAGAAACAGACUUAAAAUUGCUUACCAAAUUAUAGCCAAAUGAUGUUGAAGUUUUUUUAGUUUUUCUUCUUCUUUGGGACGAAAACAAUAAGAAAAUGGAUGAAGAAUGACACCUCCACUAUCUUAAUCUUUUAUACAUAGCUUAAUAAAUAAUUAAGUUUAAUUUAUUUAAUUAAUUAUGCUUUCUUAACUAAUUAAUCAUUACUUUCUUAACUUAAUUAAUACAUGCACCAUUGUCUACUAACACAUGAUCAUUUCGACCUUUUUGGAUAACUGCAAUUUAAUCCUCAAGAUUUUUUAAUUAGAAACCUAUAAUGAUUGGACUUUUACAAUUUAGUCUCGAGGCCUUAAUUAACCAUAAUUUUGACUAAAUUACUUAACCAAAUUUUCAUUCAUCAAUACACUAACCCCGUAAAUAUCCCUACUUAAUAUUUACAAACUCGAUUUGUGAAAACGAGGUCUCAAAACCAUAUUUUCCCAUGCCACUAGAAGCCAAGGUCGUUACAAGUGAAGUAACCAUUGAUGGUACCCAAACUACAAUAAAAAUUGAAGUAACAUUGUGGAAUAUUUCUAUAUAUUCUUUAAAAAUAAAACUAGAACUAGAUAUAAAAAUGUAACACCCCAUACUCGACCUAGUCACUGGGUCCAAGUUACGAGAUGUCACAUUUGUUGUCAAAGUAACUACAACUUUCAUUUAUUUCAAAUAAAUAGUUUAUACAUUUCAUUAUGGUUAUUACCUAUAUACAAUAUGAUAUUUAAUCACAUUCAGAACUUGAACGAGCUUACAAAACAUCUUUCGAUAAAUUGAGUUCGUUUGAGGAGUAAAAUGUAACAUUUUCAAAACUAUUGGAUUGGCGUCGUGUUGUCGAUGUUAUCAGGUCACGACUAUGGAAAACCAAUGAGUGUCGUCGUGACAUGGGGGGUCAUUCUUCUACGAUUAUGUCUUGCCUGCCAUUCCUGGUGAGAAAUUUUAGGUUAGCACAAAUAUGAGAUCAAUUGAUCCAGAAGCAUAAUAGAUCUAAUUGUGGGAGAAAUUUUUCAAGGAGAGGAAAAAUAAUGACUUUUUAGAAAUGUUCCCAAAUUGGUCACAACAAUAAGGCUUGCAAGAACAAAUCAAAUGUAAGUUUUAAAUUUAGAAUUUAUUACAAUAGUUUUGCAAUUAUAUUGAAUGUUGUUUAACACAUUCUAUUGCUUACAGGAUCAAUCUGAAGCACUCAACCAACUACUUUAUCAACUCCAACAUCCCUUGUUGGAGGGCCUUCAAGACUUACUGUAAAUGUAAAUAUCUUAAGGAAAAUAAAUUAACUUUUUUGCAUUGUUAUAGUUAUUGAGGUUCACAUUUGAUACUUAAUGCAAGAUGCACCAAGACCUGAGUAUGUAUGCAUGACUCAUACUUUGAUGUAAGUGAAAGUUUGAUACGUUUAAAUUAUAUAGGUUUUAUUAGCACUUUUUUACUCAUAAUUUAUGAAAAUUUCGAGCAUGUGUGUUGCCAAUUGAGUCAUUUUAAUUCAUAUUGAGACAUUAGACAUAAUUUGAGUGAAGUUUGUAAUUUUAUACAAAUUAGUAUUAAUUUUACAUUAUUUUGCUAUUUUAUGUUACAGGCUAAUUUUUGUGCUCAAAUUGUUAUAGAUAGACAAUUGAAUUAAUAAGUAUGGGAGCUAAUUAAUAUCACACAUGAACAAAAGUAAUCCCUACCCCAUGUGGAAGGCAAGCUCACUAAAUUGGACUCACAAAUUUAAUUCAAAUCAACUUGGAAGAUGGUUACUAAAAAGAAUGAAGUCUGCUCUCAAUUAGGUUGUCAAAAUCGACCAAUAAGGGGGGAGAAUAGCCCAAAUUCGGCAAGCCAUCAACAGCAACCCAAAUCAACUUUGGAAUAAUUAACUUGGAGGCCUUUUUAUUUUUCAAAAAAUUUGAAAUCACCUCCCAACUAAUACCCAAGAAACCGUCCAACCCCUUGCAUGAUUCAUGCACGAAAUCAAGCAUGAAUCAAGCAACCAUCAACCUCUCUCUCCACAUUUCAUGGUCGGCCAAGCAAAGGAGAAAACCAAGGGAUCUCUAAGCUAUUUUUCACAAACUCCCAUGCCAUCCCUCUACUAUAAAUACCACCCCUCACUUCCCAUUCACUCAUCCUUAAAUUCACAACAUUUCUCAGCUUUCUUUUCUCCCUUCCACACAUAAGCCUUCCCAUUUCCCCAUAUCCUUUAGCUAGCAUUUUCCCUUGAGGAAAACCACACUUGGUCGACUACCUUGAGCAGCAUUUUGCAAUCACAAAGAAUCGGAGGAAGCCACCACGAUCGGUCUUUAGAGAACUGUUGAAAUCAUCAAGAGUUUCUUCUUUCUUAAUCUUAAUUUUUAUUCAAAUUGUUUGCAAAUUUUUUUGAUGUUUUUCCAUUGACAAUGAUAACUUAAUUUUGUUUUAGCUAGAAUGGUUACAUUAAUUUGAUAAAUUUUUUUACUCAUUCUUACGAUGUUUUGUGUUUCAGUUAUUCAUGCUUCCAAUUAAAAUCAUUUAUGUAUUUCAUGCAUUAAAAUAUAUUUGAAUUCAUUACAAAUAGUUGGUCGAUCCUAAUCAGAUGACGAUUAAUGGACGUAAUAAUUAGAAGGUGCAUGCUUCCUAACUUGAUAACAAUAAAGGUUUCGUAAUAACUCGAAAUAGCACUAUUACAUUACAUAGCUUUUAGGUUUGUGCGAUUAAAUUGUUUCAAACCUAACCUGUCCCUGUUACUUCACAUAAAUCCGAAGGAAUCCUUAGUUAAAUAUGGACAUAAAAAUAUACAUCUUUUCCUAAGUAUAAGAUUUCAAAAGAACUUAUAUGAGAUUCCAACUUAACUGAAUAUCGAGUUGCCAUGGAAUUUUUCCGGAACAUUGUUAAGCAUGAUGAAAAAUGAAUUGAGUCAAAUGUUGUAAUUAUUCUAGCUUAUUCAUGUUAUUGUUUGUUAACUCAUGAAAUUACUGCUAAAACAUCACCUUGCAUUUUAUUACAUUUGCAUUUAUGUUAACUUGCAUUUAGUUAAUUAAUUUAAUUUAACAUCUAUCACUCAAUAUUAUUGUGUUUUCCUUAACUAACUUAUGGAUAGUAAUUUUACCAUUAUUGAUUUAAGUAGAGUCCCUAUGGAGACGAUAACUCUUUUUACUUACUUAUUACUUGAUAAAGACUGUGUACACUUCCGGAAACCUACGUGUUACAAAGUCUGAGUUCAAAUAAAUAAUUAAUUAAAACAUGGUACGUUGGGUAUACAACUUCUACUGUAUGUAGCGUUAUUCCAUAAUAGUGGAAUUCAUAGCCCAACUAAAAGAUAAAUGAUAUCUUUUUAUCGGCACUACAUGAUAAAUGAAAAGUAAGCAUGGUCACAGGUCAUUUGUUUUUGCGAUAAAUAUCUUGAUUACUAUUUCAUAGUAAUUAAUUUUCAUGAAGGAAGAUAUAAUGAUUAACAUGAGAUAAAAUAUGAUCAUAUUGGAAGACCGGAUUUAUCCUAAAGGGAUUAAGGAUAUCAUAUUAGAGUAAUACGCUAAAGGUAAGGUCAUUGGACGAGCACUUAUUAAGUAGUUUUCAUAAUGGUAUAUAAUAAUCGAGAGCUUAGUCAUGAUACUUUAGUGGAGAGACUUCGUUACUGUUAGUUUAAUUGAUCAAACCGAAAAUGCCGAGAGGGGGUUGAAUUAGCUUUUAAAAAAAGAUUAUGGAUACUAGAGAGAAAUGAUAGAAAAUGAACACAAGAAUUUAGAGUGGUUCGGCCCCAAUUGCCUACUCCACUACCUUAGCUUUCCACAACUAAGUAUUUUCCAAAAUUCACUAAUUUGUUCAACCUUUGAGGACACGGUUUAACCUUACAACUCGCUUAAGAUUUCUACCCAAAUCUUAAGACACAACUCCUCCCAAAGGGAUGCAAAAAAGAAAAUAAGAAAUAAUCCUUUCAAAAUUGAUGUGUCUGCAAACUAAGCUCAUUUACAAUGAAAAACACUUGAGUAAAAGAAUGCAAAUAAGGCUCACAAGGGAUUGAAAGAAAAGCAUGUAAAUAUAUGGCACAAAGAUUGUUUUGAUUGGUCUUUAAGCUUGAGUAUUCUUUCUUCUUGUUGUAGGACCAUUAGAAGUUGGUACUUAUAACCUCUAAUUCAUUUCCAACCGUUGUGGUUGUUGAGAAAAUAAAUAGAGCCGUUGGGAUGAAAAUACUGUUGAGAGUUAACCAAGUCAAACUAGACUUGUUAUCACUCCUAUUCUUUAGGAUCUUAUUCAACUUAAAAUUCAAAUUCAAAUUCAAAUUGUGAAUAGCUGUAGAUAACACUCUGAUGUAAUCUUGUAUAUAUUUGCUAUCAAUAGUCGAAUACAAUAGAGCUGAAUUUACAAACCAAAAUCACUAUCUUUCAUGGUAUCAGACUGCCAGUAAAAAGGUUUCAAUCACCGCCUCCUCUUCUUUUUUUUUCCUCAUGGCCAAUUCGACUGUUUCCUCUCCACCUUCCAUGCCAAAUCAAAUCACCAUCAAGCUUACUCCCUCUAAUUACCUCCUGUGGAAAACACAAAUGACCCCUCUCUUAUAUAGCCAAAAACUCAUGCAUCAUGUCGACGGCACAGCAGCUCCUCCCAAGACCGUUGACAAUGCUCCUAACCCGGCCUAUGAGUCGUGGUUUCUUAAGGACCAAAUGGUUCUUAGAUGGAUCCUUGGCUCGUUGUCUGAGUCCGUGCUAUCUCAGGCAGUCGGAGCCACUACUGCAUUCGCAGCUUGGACAAACUUGCAUCAAACUUUUGCUUCCGGAUCUCGGGCUCAAAUCCGGACCCUUAAAGGCUCUCUUCAUGCCUUGUCUCGUGGCGAUGAUUCAAUCGUCAUAUACAUGGAUCGUGCAAAAUGGAUUUUUGAUCAACUCGGGGCUCUAAAUGCGGCUAUUUCUGAAGACGAUCUUGUCGAUCAUAUUUUACGAGGACUUGGUGCCGAUUAUCGACCAUUCGUUCGCAAUCUAGAGGCAAAACUACAGUCAACAUCCUUUGAUGAUUUGUUUAGCUUAUUACUUUCUGAGGAAUUACAAUUGAAAGCUGUUCAAGAGCCUCUUCAUCCUACUGUCGUUGCCCACUUUGCCGGCCGGCAGCCUUCUGCUUCCGCUAAUCGUGGACGGGGUCGUAACAGUAAGCGCAAUGGCAAUUAUUCCUGUCGUGGCUGAGCUGCCUCCCCGCCCAAGGAUCCAACAUGUUACAACUGCAAAGGACGUGGCCACACAAGUCGUUAGUGUCCCAGCCCAAGAUAUGCCGAGUCUUACCCCAAACCCUCAGGAAACUAUAGCUCGUCUCCUCAAACAAAUCCUAAGCCAUGGAUCGUUGAUACCGGUGCCACUCAUCAUUUGACAUCUGAAUUGGGAAACCUGGACAUUCAUUCUAAGUACACUGGUUCCGAUGAAGUCACUCUCACCAAUGAUAAAACCUUACCUAUCUCUCGUGUUGGCUCGUCUGUCUUAACUAUUAAUUCUCAUCCUUUCAAAUUGUCUAAUAUUCUUCAUGUUCCUGAGGCUAACCUAAAUUUAUUGUCUGUUCCUCAGUUUACACUCACUAAUGAUGUCUCUGUUGAAUUUUUCCAUGAUUAUUUUGUGGUUAAUGAUCAACGGACGAAGCAAACUCUGCAUAGAGGGUACAUCGAGAAUGGUUUAUAUCGUCUAGCCACUGAUCCAGUAUCUCCUGCUUGUCAUUCAGUUUCAUUGUCUACAUGGUAUGCUAGACUACGCCAUGCUUGCUCAAACACUGUCAAUAAAGUUCUUAGUUUCAAUAAAUUAUCUGCUUCUACUAAGCAUGAUUCAUCUCUUUGUGAAACUUGCUGUGUUAGUAAAUCACACAAAUUGUCUUUUUCGGAUUCUACUUAUGAAGCAAAACAACCAUUAGAGUUAGUUUGUUCGGAUUUGUGGGGUCCUUCUCCAAUUGCUUCUAGUGAUGGUUUUCUAUAUUAUUUGGCGUUUUUUAUCAUUAUAGCAAAUAUACUUGGAUCUAUUUUCUUCGUCGUAAAUCGGAUGUUUAUAAUUGCUUCAUUCAAUUUCGUGCUAUUGUUGAGAAAUACUUUGGUUUACCUAUUAAGCAGUUCUAAUCCGAUUGGGUUGGGGAAUUCCAAGCCCUUGAAAAAUAUUUGGCCUCUGAAGCUAUAAUCCAACGCAGCUCUUGUCCCCAUACCCCUGAACAAAAUGGCUGCGCCGGAAGCAAACACCGUCAUAUAACCGAAACUGGUCGCGCCUUGUUACAUCAUGCCUCUGUCCCUCCCAAAUUUUGGGAUCAUGCCUUUGUUACUGCUGUAUACACUAUCAACCGUCUCCCAACUCCAAAAUUACACCAUAAAUCACCCUACCAAGCCCUUUUUCAUCGUGACCCUGAUUACAAGUCAUUGAGAAUUUUCGGUUGUUGCUGCUAUCCCUGGUUGCGUCCAUACACCAAAAAUAAGCUUGAGCCUAGGUCUGCCAAAUGUGUUUUUCUUGGUUACAGUGUUCUUCACAAAGGUUAUAAAUGUUUAUCGUUGUCCACCAAUAAAGUGUUUUACUCACGCCAUGUUAUUUUUGAUGAAUAGGUUUUUCCAUUCAAGUCCAGUGAUGGGCAUGUAUCGAUUCUCGGUCCCCCACCUUCCCCGACAACCAUUUUUUCUCUUGGCCAUCGCUCCGAUUCUAAUCCAUUACCUGCUGUCCCACUACCUACAGCCCCAUGCCCCAACCAGCAGCUCCCAACUGUCCCAAGUACCCCCCCACGACUGUCGAUCAAUCUCUUACCAUCACCACCGUGUCCUCCCAACCUGCUCCCAUUGUUCCCAAUGACCCUAUCACAUUCCCGAUAGGUUCUAGCAGUCCCAAUGCUUCUCCUACCACUACUCAGGCACCUACCAUGCAUCAUUCAAUGACUUUACGCUCCCAUACUGGCUCACUUAAACCAAAGGUUUUUCAUGCUGCUGCGUCCACUACACUGUCAGCCCCUUCGUCAUACACUGGAGCAGCAAAAUAGCAAGCAUGGCGUGCUGCAAUGGGAGAAGAAAUUGAUGCUCUUCUAUCAAACGGCACAUGGGAUCUUGUUCCUCAUUCUCGAGCUUCGAAUAUCAUUGGUUGCAAGUGGGUAUACCGUGUAAAAACAAAAGCGGAUGGUUCCUUCGAUAGAUGUCGUGCGCGGUUGGUUGCAAAAGGGUUUCAUCAACGACCAGGCCUUGAUUAUGUUGAGACUUUCAGCCCUGUUAUAAAGCCGGCCACCAUAAGGUUAAUUCUUUCCAUUGCCGUCAAUCGUCAUUGGCCCAUUCGGCAACUUGAUGUUUCGAAUGCCUUUCUUCACUGGACUCUUGAUGAAACUGUUUUUAUGGAACAAUCACAGGGAUUUGUUGAUCAUUCUAAACCUGAUUUUGUAUGUGCUCUAAAGAAAUCGCUAUAUGGUUAAAGCAGGCGCCACGAGCUUGGUAUUUUUGCCUUUCGAAUGCACUACAAUAGCUUGGUUUUCACGGUUCCAAGGCUGGUAGUUCGCUAUUUAUAUAUUCCGGUAAUGACGAGUGUGCGUAUUGCUUGGUCUAUGUUGAUGAUUUGGUGUUGGCAGGAUCAUCCUCUUCGCUGUUACAACGGUUUAUUGCUCAACUUGGGAAGGUUGUUGCGCUCAAGGAUUUAGGACCACUAUCCUAUUUCUUGGGUGUUGAAGUUGCGUGGUUCUCGAGUGGUUUGCAGCUCACGCAAUCCAAAUAUAUCAAAGAUUUGCUCCAUCCUGCGAAUAUGCAAGAUACCUAGUCGGUUUCGACUCCUUCAACGCCGCAAGUCGACCUCACCGGCACUACUUCUUCUACCUUUGAUGAUCCUAAGCUUUAUCGAUAGGUUGUUGGGUCUCUUCAAUAUUUGGCACUCACUCACCCUGACAUAAUCAUGGCAGUGAACAAAGCUGCACAAUUUAUGCAUUCUCCUUGCCUCCAUCAUUGGCAAGCCGUGAAACGGAUUCUACGUUACCUCCGCGGCACAAUAGAUCAUGGUCUCGUGCUCUACUCUUCUCACCAAGCUUCACUUGUUGCUUUUUCGGAUGCUGAUUCGGGUGGCGGCAAGCUUGAUCGAAAGAGCACUUCUGCAUAUGUUGUCUUUCUUGGCUCCAAUCCGAUCUCUUGGAUUUCUCGUAAGCAAAAGACUGUCGCUCGUUCAAGCACGGAUUCGGAAUAUCGAGCUUUAGCAUCAGCUGCUUCGAAGGUUUAUUGUCUUCAGUGCCUUCUUCGGGAACUCAAUUACAAGCUUCCAACAACGCCGAAAGUAUGGUGCGAUAACGUUUCCGCUAGCUAUCUAGCUGCGAAUCUCGUUUUUCAUUCUCGUAGCAAGCACCAUGAGUUGGACUUUCAUUUUGUCCGAGACCAAGUACGCCAGAAGAAUCUUCUCGUCUCCUAUGUUCCGACCAUUGAUCAAAUAGCCGAUGUCUUGACGAAACCUUUAUCGACAACUCAGUUUCUUACGCUUCGAGACAAACUAAUGGUGACUUCCCCCAUCCGUUUGCGGGGGGCUGUUGAGAGUUAACCAAGUCAAACUAGACUUGUUAUCACUCCUAUUCUUUAGGAUCUUAUUCUACUUAAAAUUCAAAUUCAAAUUGUGAAUAGCUGUAUAUAACACUCUGAUGUAAUCUUGUAUAUAUUUGCUAUCAAUAGUCGAAUACAAUAGAGCUGAAUUUACAAACCAAAAUCACUAUCUUUCAAAUAACAGAUCAUUAAAUGCACCUGCAACAAAAAAUAUCGAUACUUUUUGUACGAGUACCGAUACCAGUAACAUUUAAUGUCUGAUUUAGUGACCAUUAAAGUUAGUUGCCAAGGAUACAAAAAGAUGAUUUAUCGAUACCUGGUAAAAGGUAACGAUUCAAAAUAUAUCGAUAACUUUUUUGUCAAUUUUGAAAGAUCAUGAAAAACAUAAUCCAAAAUUAGUAUUGAUAUAAAUUUUUGGUAUCGAUAUAAUUUUCAAGGUAUCGAUACUUAUUGUUUGUAUUCAAUUUUUUAUUCAAAAUAGAGAGCAGAAUUGGUAUCAAUAAAAUUGUACAAGUAUCAAUACAUUUUGGAAAACAUCGAUACUUCUUGUAUGGAGAAAUUUUAAAACUGAUUUAAAAUAGUUUGAAUUAAGUUGAAGAGUUUAAAUUUAUUUUCAGAACAUUGUCAAAAAUAUUCUAAGUGUUUAAAACAUGUUCUAAGAUAAUUGGAAGUUUUGAAAUAUUAUUCAUGCUUUGAAUUCUUUGUUCAAAAACAAAUUUUUUAUUUAAAGAUGUUUUGUUUGUUAUAUCAAAAUAAUUUAUCAAAUAAAGCUAGUUAAAUAAUCUCCCCCUUUUUGAUAUAACAAAACGUUCUGGUAAAAAAAAUUUUGAGUUUGUUACUCCCGUUUUUUAAAGUUCAAUUUGAAUCAAUGACUUGAUUUUUGUGAAAUUUGGAAACAAGGAUUUGACAUUUGAAAGUGGUCACUUGAUGUUGGCAUUAAAAGAUUAGUCAUAGAGAAAAUCAACCAAACACCAAUAAUUUACCUUUCUCUUCUUUUCUCUACCUUUUUGUUUUAUCAAAAAUCAACAAAUAAAGCUUAAGAGAAAGACUUUGUUAGUCCAAUAAAAGAGUAAGUAAUUGGAAAACCAAACAACUAACAUAGAUGUAUCAAAAUAAACCAACAAGUAUCUACAAUUAAGAUACCAAAAUAAACAUUAAGUUCUAACAUAUAGAUAAAAAAAUGUGCAAUGAAGAUGAGUGAAAUGCAUGAGAAAAUGAAACAUAUGCAUCCUAGUCUUCUUGAGGUGGAGGAAGAGGGAAUUGAGACAUUAGAAAGGUAAUAUUUUCCUCCAUCUUAGGCAUCCUAGAAUCUAGACCACUAACAUUAUUAUUAACACGCUGAAAGGCAUCAUUUACUCAAGUGCUUAAAGCCCUAAAUUCCUCAGUCAAUGAAGUAAUGGCCCCAACGAUGACGGUAGACACUUCGUUAGAAAGAAGCUGAGUAGAUGGUUGAGUAGAGGAAGAAUUCGGUGGAAGGUCUUGCUGGACUGGAGGAAUGCCAUCAUAGUCUUGUUUAAGUUCUUCAUCAUCAUCGUCUUGAGGAACAUGAUGGACAUAUUUAAUCCAAUUUUUUAUAGUAGGAUCCAUUUUAAAAUCAGCUCUAUGAAAUGUAAAAAAGUUAAUAACUUCAAAUUUGACAGCCAAAGGAGGAUUGAUAUUUGUAAGGAUGUUCAAGUAUUUAAAAAUGUAUGACAAGAACGUGCCAAAAGGCAAAGAGAGCUUACUCUCAAGCCUCUAACGAAUAUGUUUGGUAAUGUCAUUAAAUAAUAUCAAAGUCAAAUCUGAAUGCCUAUUACUAUGAAAAGAAUCAAUCCACCAAUAGUCGGUAGAUCAAAGAACGACAUGUUUUGAAAUAAUACGUAAUUUUUAUGUAUGCAAAAUGCAAUCAUGGAAAUUUAGCUCAGAUGCAAACGAGUGUCGAACAUUCAAUGCCAGAUUAUAAGGCCUUUCUCAUUCGACUCACCCCUAGGAGGAAGUUUCAAAAAUUCACCAAAAUUUUCUUAAGUGAGAAGAAUAGGAGUGUUUAUAAGAAAAAAAAUUAUAGCAACCAUAGUCUCACCAGAUUCAUCAUGUUCGAGUUUAGCAUUUGAAUAAAAUGCUCGAACAACAUUAGCAUAAGUCAGUGAAUGAAUUUUAAAAAGUCAAUUGCCAUUCAGUUAAAAUUUAAAGAAAUAGAAAAUUGAUUUUGGCUAAAAAUUUGAUAUCAAGGGAGCGAGAAACAUUAACUUUUUGUUUUAAAAAUUAUUGAUUAAAAUGGUAAAAGUCAUGGUUAUCUUUAAAACAAUCAUCAAAAGAAUUUGGUUGACCACUAAAAGAAUAUGAAGGACCAAAAUGAAGGCAUUUCCUGACCGACAUUCUAACUAACUAGACAAGAGUGACCCUUUUAGCAUUUAAAAUUUUGGUUGGAGAAUUUUAUCGAACACUUUGUGAGUAAAAUGUUUAAAGAAAAAUUUUAAGAGUUUGGUUAAAAUUAGGCAAUCUCCUACAUGAAAACACAUAUAAAUGUUCCAAAUCAACCUAAAACCACAAUUUCUAAUCAACAAUUAAAUAAAAAAAGUCAACAAUUUUCACAAUAGAAAGCAAAAAUAUUACCUUGAAAUUGCUUUAAAGUUGUGAAAUUGGAAAGCAAACUUGAACAAUCCUUGUAGAAAAUGAUAAUUUAGGUUUAUUUAUGUCAAGAUUUUAAAUAAAAUAUGUAGAAAUUAAAGUUUUUUAAAAAUAGGUUGAGAGAGUUUUGAAGAAAGUUUUUAGGGUUUUGUGAAUUAGUUGAAAAACACGCUGCAAGUACCUUAAAAGUCCCAUGAGUAUCAAUAUUUUUCAAAAAUUAUCAAUAAAAUGGUAUCGGUAUUGAUACCAAAUGCUGAAAUUGUUUUUCAAAGUGCAAAAAAAUUUCCCAACAAGAAUUUUAUGUUCUAACAGGUUCUAUACUAUCUUAGGAUGACUUAACAACAAUUUCUAAUGAGUUCAUAUGCUUGAAUAGGCCAAAAUUGAGUAUGAUGCAUAUGAAACAUAAAGUAUUGUGAGGUAUGCAAAAAUUAAACACUUUAAUCAAAUACGGUCUAAGUGAUCUAAUUCAAAGGCAUUCAAAAAUUUUAUAAUAGACUAUUGAUCAAGAUAAAUUAAUCAUGCAACAAUUAACCCCCUAACUAAUUUCAUAUAGGAGCCAUAAAAUCAUGCAUAGUUACUUUUGUAAUCAAUUUUAAGUCAUAAAAUAUUUUGAAAACAACAAAGUGCAAAAAUUCAUUUGAACACAAAAUUAAUGUAAGGUAGUAAUACCUAAUUCUCUCCUAAGUGUCCAAAUAUUUCUUUGUCUAAUGGUUUUGUAAAGAUAUUAGCUAAUUGAUUUAAGGUGUCAACAUACUCUAGAACAAUUUCUGCUUUUUGGACAUGGUCUCUAAUAAAAUGAUGUCUAAUCUCAAUAUGCUUAGUUCUAGAAUGUUAGAUGGGAUUUUUAGUGAAACAAAUAGCACUAGUAUUGUUACACUUGAUAGGAAUGGUAUCUACAUCAUUUCCAUAGUCCAUAAGUUGUUAUUUCUUCCGUAAAACUUAAGCACAACAACUACCGACAAAAAUAUAUUCUGCUUCUGUGGUGGACAAUGCAACACUAUUUUUUUUCUUUGAAAACCAUGAUACAAGCAUAUUGCCUAGGAAUUGACAAGUAAUGAAGGUACUAUUCCUAUCUAGUUUGUAUCCUCCAAAAUCUGCAUCCAAGAAUACAUGUAAGCUAAAGGAUGAGUAUCUAGGAUACCAAAGACCUAAAUUUGGAGUGUUUCUAAGGCAACUAAAUGAUAAAUGCAAAGAGUAACAUGUUUUAGCCUCAUUCUUAAUAUAUUUUUGGAUGAUUAUUUGAUUUAAAAUGGUGAAUUUUAUGCUCAUAAUCCUUUAAAUUCAUGCUUCUAUACUUAGGAGAGCAUUUGGGAGCAAGAGGAGAAACAAACAAGCGAAAACUAAAAAAUAAGAGCAAGUUACAAGAGCUACAUGGGCUACCACAUGGUCAUUUCCCAGACUAUGUAUAUUUCAUGAACUGCACUCCAAAAACUCAGAAAACCAUAAUUUUUACGUCUUUUGGGCAUUCUAAGACUUAUAUAUACCAAAUAUAAAAAGAGGGGAGCAAGCGGUCAGAGAAUACUCAAGAAAAUGACUCGAAAAAUGCCAUUGAAGUCGACUCUGAAGUAAAUUUCUAUCAAGAUUGAAUAUCUCCUUUUGAUUUCAUUGAAGUUUAUUAUGAGUUUCUUUGUUUUUUGUGGUUAUAUUGUCUUUGGGAUAUUUCUACUUGCGAUUAUGAACUAAUUUUCUAAAUACCUAAAGGAGAUGAACCCUAGGAUGGAUUUUGUUAUUUGAUUUCUAUUUUUACGCAAUAAAUACUUGGAUCUUGUUCUCAAUUAUGUGUGUUUAAUUCUUAGUUUAAUAUUUCUAGAUUAUUAAUCCAUGUUUGAUGUGCUUGAAUCAGAGGAGGAAUAGACCCUGUUUAAGAGUAGAUCUAGCAUAAUUGAGUGGAGUUGCAUGUAAGACUAGAAAUAUGACAACAUAAAUCUACUGGAUUAAAGUCAAAUCUAAUAGAGGAAUCCAUUGAUCGAGUUAAUGUGAUAAUAGGAGUUUUAAUUAAAAAGAAAUUUCAAUUAAUCAACCUAGAGUCAGUUGCUCUUUGUCUUGAGAGAGAUAUUAGCAUAAUUUAGGGAUUUCUACUAAUCAAGAUACUAAAUAAAGAAAUUAUGUAAUUUAGAUUGGUAAUGAUAGAUUAAGUCUAGGUGAAUUAUUUCUUGGGUAUUGUUUCGGUUCUUGGUUGUUUACUCAAUUAUUUUCCUAAUUUAUUCUUUGUCUUGUUCUUUAGUUAAUUUAAUUAGUCAAUUUUAAUUUUUAAUCAAUUAUUUCAAUUUGUCAGUUAAAUAAUAGAAAGACGGUAAUUACUAGUAUUUUUAAUCUUCGUGGGAAUGAUAUCUGUGCACACCUUAGUUAUACUACUAAUUGAUAGGUGCACUUGCCUUUUGUCAAAUUUUUAGUUGGUUUACGACUACAAUCACUAAAUAUUCUCUUAAGGGCUUGUAAAUGUGAUUCUUUAGGACAUGAUUGAAAUCUUGCACACAAGCAAGCACUAAACAUGAUAUCGGGUCCACUUGCAGUAAGAUAAAGCAAAGAGUCAAUCAUAGACCUAUAUAACUUUAUAUCAACACAUUUACCUUCCUCAUCUUUAUCAAGCUUUGUAGAAGGGAUCAUGGGAGUAGCUUAAGGACUAAGAGUGUUCAUCCCAAACUUCCUGAGCAUUUCCUUUGUAUACUUAACUUGAUUUAGAGUCCUAAAAAAAAUUUAGUUCUCUCAUCAAACUCAUUUGAAAUUCACCUUACAUUAGCUUAGAAAAUUCUUGACAAAGUAGAUCAUUAGUAGAACCAAAAAUAAUGUCACCAACAUAUAUUUAAACUACUAAUAAAUCAUUGUCUUUUCUUUUAAUAAAAAGUGUUGUGUCAACCUUCCCUUGACAAAAGCUUUUUUCAACAAGAAAAUUUUAUUAAUCUUUCAUACCAAACUCUAGGAGCUUAUUUCAAACCAUAUAAAGCUUUUGAAAGUUUGAAAACAUGGUUUGAAAAUUUUUGAUCUUUAAAAUAGGGUAAUGUUCAACAUAUACUUCUUCAUUUAUAAAACCAUUUAGAAAAGAACUUUUUACAUCCAUUUGAUAUAAUUUAAAAUCAUUAAAACAUGCAAAAGCUAAAAGCAUUCUAAUGGUUUCCAUCCUAACUAAGGGAGCAUAAGUUUCAUCAUAAUUUAUUCCUUCCUCUUGAGUGUAACCUUGAGCAACAAGCCUAUCCUUGUUUCUCACUAUGUUACCACUCUCAUUUAGUUCGUUCCUAAAUCUCAUUUAGUACCUAUAAUAGAUUUAUCACAAGGUCUUUCAACUAGGGUCCAUACUUUACUUCUCUCAAAUUGAUUUAACUCUUCUUGUAUAGCCAAUAUCCAAUAUUCAUCAUUUAAUGCAUCUUUGAUAUUUUUAUGCUCAAUACAUGAGAUAAAUGCAACAUAAUUACAAGUACUUCUAAGAGAAGAUCUAGUAGCUACCUCUUUGGAUGAAUCUCCCAAAAUCUUACCAUCCUUCACAUAGUUGAACUCUCUUGGAUGAAUGUCUUCCCUCUCCUCUAUUGUAAGCUCCUUUAGAGCAUAUUGUGUUUGUUCUUGAAUUUUUUUCAUUGGACGAGUUAUCAAAUUUAUCAUUAUUUUGAAAAUUUUAUGCAUCAUCAUCAUCAAUACAAUAAUCCUUUUAGGCAAACUUUAUCUAAGUCAAAAUCAAUUUUAGGCAAUUCUCUUACUAGGUCAUUUUUAGCUAGUUUAUGCAAUAUGCUCAUCUAGCAUAUCCUAGUUUUCUAUACCAUAAUAAAGAAUUUUUUUUCAUUUUUAACAACAAGGCAUAUGAGUGAAUCAUGCAAAUCAUCUAAAUGCACCAUAUAUAUAUUUCUUAUCCUAUGUCCUACAAGCAUAACCUUAUUAGACAAGAUGUCAACUAUUUUACAUCUAUUAGACUAAAAAAUGACAUUAAGAGCACUAUCACACAAUUGGCUAAUACUAAGUAGAUUAUACUUAAGAUUGUUGACAUAGAGAACAUUUUCAAUAAGAAUUGAAGAGCUUGUACCAAUAGAGUUGCUUCCUUCUACUUGUUUGUUAGAGUUGUCACCAAAUGUAACUACUCCAUUUUUUGGCUUCAAAUAAAUGUGGUCAAUCUUUUCACCAGUCAUGUGCUUCAGGCAUCCACUAUCAAGGCACCAUGAGUUUUUGAAUGAAUCCUCUACCUUGAAGCAAUGCCUCCUCUUCCUACAAACAUAUAAUUAAACUUUGAUUUUUGGUACUCAAAUUCUUUUGGGUCCAUAAGCAUUAGUUCCUAUAAUUUUAGUCCAUUUAGGUAUCUAUUUUGAAAGAAUGUCUUUAUCUUGAGUAUUUAUGAGUCCUUUAGGGGCCCAUACACUUUUAAUAAUUUCUCCUUUGUAAAAAAUUUGGGGACCUCUAUGUUUAUAGAAAUUAAAGUUAGUUUUGACAAAGUUUUGUUUUGAGCUUUCUCCUCUUAAAGAUCAUUUUGAUAAAACUUUUUUAGAGUGAGCUUUUUCACUCUUAAACAAAUCAAGUUGUUUUUGAUGAUCAUCAUGAACCUUUGAAAGCAAAUUAUGCAAGUCUUGCUUCUUUUUCUCAAAAUCAUUUAUGAUUGCUUUCAUGUCAUGAAUUUUACUUUCAAGUUCAUGAUUGGCCUUAGAGAAUGAACUAUUUUCAUCUUUUAAAUUUGAAAUAGUUUUCUUAUAUUUUGAAACCUUAGUUUCAAACUCCAAGCCUAGUUCAUCAUCAGCAUCUUGUAACUCAUCAAAGAAAUGAGAAAUUGAAAUAGAUGAGUUAGAAUUUACCUUUGGUUCAUCUAUGGCCAUAAGCCAAAGACUAGCUACUUAUUGAUCACCAUUAUCCGAUGAAUCCUCAUCACUACAAGUAGUAACAAUUACCUUGAGUUUUAAUUUGCUUGUUCCCUUCUUCUUCUUCCAUUAGAGACAAUCAAACUUGAUAUGUCCCGGUUUCUUGCAUUCGUGGCAUAUUAUUGGUUCCUUCUCCUUAAAAGAAUCAAGUUUGAGUUCUUCUUUCUUUUAAAACUUCUUACCUCUAUUGGAUCUCAUAAACCUCUUGAAUCAUCUAGCAAAUAUUGUCAUCUCUUGAUCCUCAUCCACAUCGUCACUAGAAUCAUCUUCUUCUAUUGUGGAUUUGAGGGCAAUACCAACCUUCUUCUUUUAAACUUUUUCUUCUUCUUUAUUCCCUCUUUUAAGUCUCAAUUCAUAAGAGAGAACAUAACUAAUCAACUCAUCUAAUGAAAGAGUUUCCAAAUUUUUUACUUCAACUUUGGCAUCCUAAAACAUCAACAAUCUUCUAAGCAUUUUCCACACUAAUUCUUCAUUGGGAUAGGUCUUCCCAUAAGAUAUGAGCUCAUUGAUGAUAAUGGUGAAUUUAUCAGACAUACCGUUGAUGUCCCCUUCAGGCUUCAUCAUGAACGUAUCAUAAUUAAGGGUAAGAGUUCUCACCUUUGAUUUCUUGACUUGGUUUGUACUUUAUGAGUGACCUCCAAUUUGUCCUAAAUUUCCUUGGCAUUGGAACAAGAUGAUACCCUAUUAUAUUCUUCCAGACCAAGUGCACAAAAGAGAGAGUACAUGGCCUUGACGUUGAGUUGUAUGUUUUUCCUAUUUUCCUCGUUUCAUUCCUUCUUACUCUUUGGAACUAAGAGCUCUCUUUCAUGCUUGAAAGGUAUGGAUGGACCAUCCAUGAUGAUGUCCCAUACGGCGAGAUCAUUGGCUUGAAUGAACAUCAUUCUGGUCUUCAAAUAAGAAUAAUUAGUACCAUUGAAGUAAGGAGGUUUAGAAAUGGAUUAAGACUCACUAAGAAAAAUGGAGCCGAAAGUAGACGUCAUCUUAUGUGGUUUGAAUAGGUGAAAGUUGAGCUACCUCGAGGAUCUUCUCUUGGUUAUUAGAUUGUCUUUUAGAGACUAGCUCUGGUACCAAUUGUUAGCUAAAUUGAUCAAAUCGAAAAUUCAAGAGGGGGUGAAUUGGCUUUUAAAAAAAAAUUGUGGAUGCUAGAGAGAAAGGAUAUAAAAUGAACACAAGAAUAUAGAGUGGUUCGGCCCCAAUUGCCUACUCCACUACCUUAGCUUUCCACAACUAAAUAUUUUCUCAAUUGCCUACUCCACUACCUUAGCUUUCCACAACUAGAUAUUUUCCCAAAUUCACUAAUUUGUUCAACAUUUGAAUAUAAGGUUUAAACUUACAACUUCUUUAACAUUUCUACCCAAAUAUUAAGACACAACUCCUCUCAAAGAGAUAUAAAGAAGCAAACAAAGAAAUAAUCCUUACAAGAUUGAUGUGUUUGCAAAUUAAACUCAAUUACAAUGAAAAACACUUGAGCAAAAAAAUGCAAAUAAGGCUCACAAGUGUUUGAAAGAAGAGUAUGUAAAUAUAUGGCACAAAGGUUAUUUUGAUUGAUAUUUAAGCUUGAAUAUUCUUUCUUCUUGUUGUAGGACCUGUAGAAGCUGAUAUUUAUACCCUCUAAUUCAUUUCCAACCGUUGUGGUUGUUGAGAAAAUAAAUAGAGUCGUUGGGAUGAAAACACCAUAUCAUUAAAUUCACCUGCAAUAAAAAGUAUCGAUACUUUUUGUACAAGUAUAGAUACCAGUAGCAUUUAAUGUCUGAUUCAGUUACCGUUAAAGUUAGUUGCCAACGAUACCAAAAGAUGAUUUAUCGAUACACGGUAAAAGGUAUCGAUAUAUUUUGAUAGGUACCAAUACUUUUUGUGUCAAUUUUGAAAGAUCAUGAAAAACAUAAUGCAAAAUUAGUAUCGAUAUAAAUUUUUGGUAUCAAUAAAAUUCAAUAGGUAUCGAUAUAACUUUCAAGGUAUCGAUACUUAUUGUUUGUACUCAAUUUUUUAUUCAAAACAGAGAGCAUAUUUGAUAUCAAUAAAAUUGUACAAGUACCGAUACAUUUUGGGAAGCAUCAAUACUUCUUAUAGGGAGCAGUUUUAAAACUGAUUUGAAAUUGCUUUAAUUAAGUUGAAGAGUUUAAAUUUAUUUUUAGAACUUUGUCAAAAUAUUCUAAGUGUUUAAAGCAUUUUUUAAGAUGUUUGGAAGUUUUGAAAUAUUAUUCAUACUUGAAUUCUUUGUUCAAAAACAAAUUUUUUAUGUAAAGAUGUUUUUGUUUGUUAUAUCAAAAUAACUUAUCAAAUAAAGCUAGUUCAACAGUUACUAAAUAAGUUUAUAAUUAAUAGACAAAAAGUUGGAACUUAAUAAUAAAUUAUUUGAACCCUAAUUAUAUAUGUCCAAUUAGUCCCUCAGAUAGCUCGUUGAAACCAUAAAUGAAUUGCAUGUAGAACCAAAUUGAUAGAAAUUAAUAGAAAUGAAUGAAAAUGUUGAAGUAAGAGAAAUUGAUUGCAUUCACAAAAGAAUGAAUUCUCGUUAAGUACAGAAAUGACUUAAGAAUUAAUUUCCUUAUAGAUUCUUUUACGGUUAAGUUGUUAUGACUUUAACAGAAUUAGAAUUGGGUUAAAAAAUUAUUUAAUUGAGAAAUUAAAUAAUAUUUAUUUUGGAAAAUUAAAAUUUAUCUUUAUAUUUGUAAAAUAUUGAAUAUAUGUAUAUACAAAAUUAAGGGGGUUGGAGGGGUGGUAUAUGUGGUACUUCUCCCAGCUUGGCAGCGUGGGUGAAUGGGAGUGCAAGAAUUCCUGGCAUAGGCUGUUGGCUAAUAUUUUAUGGCAAAAAGCGUAGCCGCGCUACCUUUUGAAGCAAAGAAUUUCAUUCUCACGCAAUCCACUCAUCAACAAUGUUCCAUCUUUUUUCAUAAAAAAAAAAAAUGAGUGUUCCAUCUCUGCUUUGAUAGCUCAAGGGCUAUAGCGAUGCGUACGAUUCUCACAAUGAAAAUGCAUGCAAUUCCCUUCCCAGAACAUGUCUCAUUAAACAUGCCAUUUAUUCCACAAUCAAUAUGUCUGAUAUAUAUAUAGUUUUAAUUUAUAAAAAAAAAAUUAGCAGUCGUGCAAACAAAUUGAUAAAAAGAAAUUACAAAUGGAAGGAACACAAUAAAGUUGUUAUAUAAUGAAUGAAGAAAAGAUGGAGAAGAAUAUAUACUUUUUCAUUAUUUGACCAUACUCUCUACUUUUGUUUUCCCUUUUAAACUUUUUAAGGGGAGUUCUUGUAAAUCAUUCAAUAAGGUAUUUAUAUGUUAAAAAUAUGUAUAACACUAUGAUCCUUCAACAAUCUCUUCCCCUUCUGAUGAGCACAUCUAGCACUAUGAUACAAGUUACUUAACAAAAAUGAUUGUUUAACAAUUCACCCCGAAUAACCUAUUUUUGUGUAAUAUUUAAACACAAGUGCUUUAAUAUAUACUUUCUUGACCACUUCAAUAGAGAUGGAUAAUAAGGUCAUUGCUUCCUCCUCCAUAACCCAUUUGAAUUUGGUGGCUAUAGGUCACCAAUUUUGAGUUAUCAACACGUAAAGCUAUGCUGGAUUUACAUAUAUGCUACUAUUUAUAUAAUCCAAUAUAAAUCUUUAUUUUAAAAUCAAAUUUGAUGUUAUUUUAUUAAAUGAAGGUUAGUUUUUAUCUAAAAUCUAAUUCAAAAUUUUUAUUGCUUCAAUUUGGAUCAAGUCGAUUACGUGUGCAACCUAGGAAGAGCUAUGACAGUCACAUAGUCCAUUUUAUUUAACUUGUCUACCCUCAUCUACCAUAGGCUUAAUGACAAUGAAAGUAUCACAAUCAACAUUUCUUUUUAAAACAAACGUGUCGCAUUAAAUUAAUUUACUAGUUGAAGGGCCAAACUGUACAGAAUCCCUUUAUUGGUAGCUAAUAUUAUUGUAUUACAACUAAAUACUUCACUUCAUCUUGGUUUUCUUUGGCCGAGUGGUUAAGGCGUGUACCUGCUAAGUACAUGGGGUUUCCCCGCGAGAGCUCGAAUCUCUCAGGCGACGUUUAAAGUUUUGUCGAAAUCCAGUGUUGCCAAACUUUUAGCACCCCAAUGCAAGAUGACAUGAUCCCACAACUUGGUCAUGCCUGACUGGCUUGCCCCAUCUCCGUCAACGUUUAAUUACAUAUGCACACGUGGAUGGCCUUUAUACCAUUGGAAAAGCCACCAUAAUUAAUCAACUUUACCAGUUCCAACUUUGAAAUGAAAUGCAAUGACCCCACUCAGUCAAGGGUGGUUAUAGCACAUUCAUUUGGAGCCUUCCACUAGAAGUAAUUCUUUUAAAAACUUAAUUUAACUCCAGCUGACUCCUCCUUCAAACAAACAAAAGUGUUAUUUUUUGUAUUCAGUUGAGUGUUUAAUUUAUAAAAGUGUUUGAUCGAUCUUUAAAAAUGUCAAAGGAUAUAUAAGUUCGAGUGAGCUGAAAUGUAUUAUUUUUUAUUUAUGAAUACUUUUAAUUAUUGUGUCAAAAAAAUAAAUAUAAUUAAAAUUUAUAAUAAAAUUAUUAAAAAAUUUAUUAGAUAUAAUUUUAUGCACUGUGAAUAAAUUAAAUAAUCACAUAUUAUUAAAAAUUUUAAUUUAAGGUUGAUUGACUUUAAAUUAUAUAAUUAAUUUAAAGAGCAGAGGGUGACCGCUAAUCACUUGUGAAAAGUCAGGCUUCAAAAAGUCAGGCACAUCGAAGGACAACCAUCAAAUAGAGAUGGCCUAUGCCUCUGAUUAGCAAUUACUCAUCCUCUUAUCACAGCUCGACACGUCAAAACGUCUAAUGACUUUGUCCCUCCGUUAUAAUAUUAGUUCCUUAAGGCUGUUUAAAAAAAAAAAAAAUACGUCUCCUUUGUAACGCAAAUUGCGGGGCAAAAGCCAGGAAUUAGGAUGGAGUUAAAAAUGGUUAUAUUAACGUAGUUUUACCGUUUUAGUUGAAUAUUUAACUUCAAAAGGGAUUAAAUUGAAAUAUUUAGCUGCCAAUAAAUAUCGCUUUUGUGGGUAUAAGUUGACAAUUAAUUGGUAAUUAAAAACCUAUCAGUCGAUGUUUAAACGACUUUUUGAACUAAAAAUUUGCUUUAUUAAUUAGUUGUUAAGCAGUUAAUUUUAUUUGAUAGUUUUCAAAAUACUAGUUAGGAGUGAAACAACCAUAGAAAAUUGAAGAGAAUUUCCUAAAACUACCAGACACCCCUUAAGUGGUCAAAGACCAUGCAUGAACGUAUUUGCAGAUGAAAUUAAUAAGAAACCAAAUAAAGCCAAAAGUCAUAUAAGGAAGAAAAAAACGUGAGACCGCCCAAUCCACUUCACUCAACUCAAAUUUCCAACUAAUAUUUUAAAUAUAAUUAUUAUUUUUAUAUUUAAAAUAUUUCAAAAGUUAUUGUUUUUUCAUUUAUUUUGUGGGUAUGAUAUUUCAAAUAUUUUCAUAUAUGAAAUAUUUCAAUUAAUUAUUUUAAAUAUCAUUAUAUUUAUUUAUAAAAUAUUUUAAAUACACAUAUAAAAAUAUAUAAUACAAAAAUUUACUACAUUCAUGAUAUAGAUUAAAAAUAAAUAUUUCACAUAUAAAAAUUAUAUUUACUAAAAAUAAUAAUAUUUAUAAUAUUAUUUAAUUUUAUAAAUAAAAAAAGUUAUUAAUCAAAAAGAUGAAUUCAAAAUAAAAGUUUUUAAAACAAUAUAUUUAAAAUAUUGAUUAAAAAUAAAAAAAACUUAAAACAACGUGAAAUGAAAAAUAAAAAUGUAUGUAAAAGAAGAAUCGAAUCUGGGACUCAAAAGAUAAAACCACAAACAUUUAACACCCUGUGUCCAACACGUGCUUUCACACUCUCUCUUCAAAAAUAAUAUAUUUCCUUAAAUUUUCAAAAAAUCGACUUUAUCUAACUAAUUAAUUUUAUAUGUGGUAUUUAGCAUACUAGGGUUAACCCUUAACUACAUAUAAAAUAUAUAUAACCUAUAUUAUUUUGAAAUUGCCGACUUGCUUCCACCUCCACCUGAUAGACCUGUGGCGGGCUCCAGCCUAUGUUGGAGGGAUAUUUUUGACUUUGAUGAAACCCACAAAAAAAGAAAGAGACCAGAGGCAAAAAAACGCGUAUACAAUAAGAGACGGCCCAAGAAGUGUCCCUCCAAGUUUCCCGCAGCACCCGUAUUUCCCAUGUGUCUUAGCCGAACCACGUGACCACCGCCGUCGCAGCUAUAAAUACGUUCCCCUGCCCACAAAGCAAAUCACCCCAUUCAUUGGCUGAUUUUUCUUGGUUGGCAUAUGUCUCAAAGGCCUAACGUUCCCCACUCUUCUUCAAUAGCUUUUGGUCUCCAUUCUCAUCUCCUGGUUUCCAGUGAGAUGAACCCUAAUUCCAACUGGUCUUAAUAGUUUCAUCUCUUUCUUUUUCUUCUAUUGAUUUUUUGUUUUAAUUUCUUUUAUUGCCUUUCUGAAAAAAAGUAAUUGCCUUGUUGAUUUGCAAGCAAAUUUUGGUAAAGUUCUUAAAUAUUUGAGUUUAGAUCUUCUUUGAGAGUGCCGCUAUGGGAGUGAAGGGCUUUGUUGAAGGAGGCAUAGCCUCAAUCGUGGCCGGGUGUUCGACCCACCCGCUUGAUUUGAUCAAAGUCCGAAUGCAGCUCCAGGGUGAAAGCCAUGUUCCCAAUCCGGCUGUUCAAACACUCCGCCCUGCUUUAGCCUUUCAGACAACCACUACUACCACCUCCUCUGCUAUCCACAUGCCUCCUCCGCCGGUGCGUGUUGGACCUGUGGCCACCGGGAUCAAGAUCUUCCGGACCGAAGGCGUCGCUGCUCUUUUUUCUGGCGUCUCUGCUACCGUCCUCCGCCAGACCCUCUAUUCCACCACCCGCAUGGGACUCUACGACAUCCUAAAACAGAAGUGGACUGAUAAAGAGACCAAAACAAUGCCUCUCUCGCGGAAAAUCACCGCCGGGCUAAUCGCCGGGGGGAUCGGCGCUGCCGUUGGGAACCCAGCCGACGUGGCGAUGGUGCGAAUGCAAGCUGACGGACGCCUCCCCGUAUCUCAACGUCGUAACUAUACCAGCGUUGUCGACGCCAUCACUCGCAUGACCAAACAAGAAGGCGUCACCUCCUUGUGGCGCGGCUCAUCGCUGACGGUGAAUCGUGCGAUGUUGGUGACGGCAUCGCAGCUUGCCUCCUACGAUCAGAUCAAAGAGAUGAUUUUGGAAAACGGGCUGAUGAAAGAUGGGCUGGGGACACACGUGGC